CUCUCAUUCCGGUCAUGCUUACUCGUCGUUUCCUGCUAUUGCAUGUGAAGUAAUCCUCUCUUCCCCUACUCCGGGUUCUACAACCUGAACUUCUCUUGUACCCUUCCAAUUCCUCCUCCCAAAUUUUCAAUCUCAUUGUUUUGUUCUUGUGGACAAGUUGAAAUUCCACAGUCAUUAACAUUGACUGCACUUGCUGUGAUUUUUUGUCUUUUGUUGCCACCACAGUACAUAGCUAGAAAGGCUGCUUCUUGAACUUCUUUAGUCACCCCACGACAAAUGGCAACACCAUUCCCUUCUUCUCCUGAUAAAUGCCAUUUGAUCCUUGUAAUGGCAGUUUUAAUGGUAAAUGUAUGUGGACAAAACUUACACUUCAGUACUUUAUUGAUUAAUGAUCCAACCAUUUUAUCCCUCUUUUCAACAUAAUUCCAAAACCGAUCAUUUGAUUCAACCUAUAGAAAAAAAAGGGGGGGGGUCAAAAUAUAGAAUAAAAAUCACAUCUGGAUGGAUGAGAAACUACUUCAGUGCUAUUACCCUUAUUUUGCUAUUAAAAUUGACAGUCAGUUUAUUGGAAAAAGACGACGAUAAUUCAGUUAGAAUUCUUACUUGUUGAGUAUUUAAACCCCUAAUUUGACUUUGCAAGGAAGUGUCAAGGCCAGGAUUUGAGGCAUUUGACCUAGCAGUUUGAUUUUGCAAUUCUUGGACUUGGACGUUAUCCAUCUGUGACCUGUAUAAAAAUGAAGUGAUCAUAUUAUAAAACCAAAAAUCAAUGGUGUUAUUAUAAAACCAUUCAAUAUUUGGUAGUCUCUCUUAAACAGUCAAAAUCAAUGGUGUAUCUAAUUAUCAAAAAGGUUUUAAUACCGUGUUAGAACACAACAGCUAGAAGUCAAUCAGUACCUCGUAGAGUUGCCAGAGUUUCGAAGCAGGAAGUUCUCUUGUUGCAUAUUGUCUAUGUCAGGAAUUACAGCAGCUUGAUCGACUUGUCCUUGAUUAGAAGGAAAUUGAAUCCUGAAUCAAAAACCAUUCGUAAGCAAUAUGAAGCAUUACAUACUUAUGAUUAUCUUGUUUGGUUUAUGUUCAAGCUAUGAUGUUACGGAAAAUACUAAAAAUGAAAAAUUGGAUACCGGGGAGCAGGAAAAGAAGGUCCAGGUUGAUUGAAGCCACCAUGUUGAGAAGUGGUUGCGUUCGGUGUCAUAUAGCCAUGUCCCGGCCGAGGUUGAUGAGUAUUGGAGUACUGAAGCCUGAAUAAUAUUCAAAUAGUUAAACUUAGAACUGUUAUUCUCACAAAAAAGAGAGAUAGAGAGCUCAAAAAGACUUGAAAGAUCCUCGUCAAUUUUGGUCAAGUUCAUUGUUUUCAUGAUUAAAAAAGUGUAUAUUCGAGGUUAAUACCUUUGAUUCAUUGGAGGUUGAGGUCCAGGUAGCAUCGCAGGCACUUGAUUCCUCAUUGGUAACUGAUAAUUAGUCAAUUGUUGGUCCCUGAAUUAGCAACACUUGUUAGUAAUUUCUUUAUACAUAUGCAUAAUUCUUUGCUAUUAAUCCACUAAGUAUUUGAUAUCAUUUUAGCUUACCUCAAAGGAUUGGCACAUUGAGGAUCAAAUAAAUUAUGAUUAGGCUGAUACCUAUAUUCAAACAUAAUGAAUUCACUGAUAAGUACAACAACAAGAGGAAGAAGAAGAAGAAGUUAAAUAAUGAUUGAAAAACAUUUUUUUUUUUUUUCAGAAAAUACUAAACAUGAAAAAUUGGAUACCAGGGAGCAUGAGAAGAAGGUCCAGGUAGAUUGAAUUCACCAUGUUGUGAUGUGGUUGCGUUCGGUGUCAUAUAGCCAUGUCCCGUCUGAGGUUGAUGAAUAAAGGAAUAAUGAUGCCUAAUUCAAUGGAAAUUGUAGCAAAUUGGAGUAAGCAUGAGUACUCACCAUGGUUUCAGGAAAUGAAGUUGGAAACUGAGUUGUUUGUUGAAUACUAUCGUUGAUCACAUUGUUCUGUCCACCUUGAUCAUUGCAUAAUAUGGAGCCUUGGUUGUCUGCCGGCCUGCUUCCAUGGAAUAAUAUAUAGGAUAAACUGAAGUAACUAAAUUGCAAGCAAUCAUCUUCUGAUAAAAUAUGUUUAAGAAUGACGUACAAGAGAAAUAGUGAUUCAAGAUCGAACUCUGUCAAGUCAUCCAUAGAUGGUUGGAACCCUUCCAUCUGACCAAAAGUACAAGAUGAUUAGUACAUACUGAGGUGAAAAAAGAACAGAAAGCACAUCUGAGUGGAUUACUGGGUACACACGUUACAUAAGUCAAAAUAAAAGAAAAACAAAUAAAUGGUGAAACGCAUAUUUUAAUGGCAGUCCCAUUAAUUGGAAAAGAAAAGGGUGAAUCUAAGAAAAGAAAAGCCUUUUUUAUUAUUUUUAAUACUAAUAUAUCAAAAAAUAUUAAUUUAAUAUAUUUUUUUAAAUAAACAGAUUUUAAAAAACAAAUUAUAUUUUGAUUGCGGGCAUAACAAUCCUGGCAGUACCGUUGCCGUUUUUUAGUUUACACAUUCUCUGGAGCGUCGAUUCCACAUUGAAGCAAAUUAAAAGAAUAAAAGCAAAUAUUAAAUGAUUUAAUAAAAGUGACUAAUGAAAAAAGUGCUUAAAUUCUACAAACAGCUGAUAGAUAGUCGGAAUCCCUUGAACACAUUUGAUAUUUUAAUUAUUCUUAUUUUGUUUAUUGAAAGGUAAUUACCGAUCAAGUUAAUUCAUUGAAUCAUUGUAAGAAAAAAAAAAGUAGAAAAAUACUGAAUAAAAAAGAAUGGCAGUCCCAUUAAUUGGAAAAGAAAAGGGUGAAUAAAAAAUGAGUUAAAAACACUACUUUACCUACCCAAUUAUGAAGCUUAGAAGAAGAUGCCUAGAAAAUGUAAACACAUGAAUAUGAGAAACAAUAAUAUACUUUUCUUUUUAAAAUAUUUUUUAUUUAAAAAAAUCAAAGUUUUUGAAAAGCAUGUGCUCUAACAAUAACAGAUUAAAUAUGUGAUUAAUAGCAUGUGAUUAAAGGUUUUCAGUCGAUGCCAUUACAUGCAGUCAAAGACUCCAUCCUUACUUUAAAUAAACAAAACCUACACUCAAUAAUAUGUCCUAGUUUUUUUGGCCAGUGUUUUUCCGUGGUUGGAUUAAUUUUUUUAAAAUAUAAAAAUAAAAUAUUAAGAGUGAAGAAAGUUUGUUGGGCGAUAUUAUUAAACUUGUUCAGGGGAGUUAAUAUUAAAAUCUUCUAAUCUAAUUUUUUAUUUAAUUUAAAUUUUUAAUUAAAUUAUAUGAGAAUUAACUCAGUUUAAAUCGAUCAAUAUCCAAAUACAACUUAGAAAACUAGAAAAACAUGGCCUAGCUUUUAAAAAAACUUCUAGAUAACUUUUUUUUUUAUAUAUAUAUAUGCUAAUUCGGCCCAAAUAUGAAAUAGACAAAAAAAAAAUUAAUGAUAAAAAAAAGGAAAGAAAAGGAAAAAAAACAGAAAAAGCAAAACACUAUCGGUUACUAUUGUAAUCCAUAAUGAAAUGAGUAUGGGUGAAUAGUGAUUCUCUUACACAUUUUAGUUUUUCUUUUAAUUAAUAAAAAAAAAUAUCCCACAAAACCUGAAAACUAAUAUAAUUUGAAUUAUUUUAACAAACUUAUAAAUCACGUUAAUCUUAUAAAAAAAUAAAAUAAAAAUUAAUAAAUUAAAGCUGAAUUAUAACCAGCCUAUUAUUAAAUAAACAAAAAAGGCAAAACACCUUGAAUUACAUACUAUUGUAAUUUACAAUGAAAUAGGUGUGGAUAUAUAGUGAUUCUCCCAAGUCUCUUAGCUUUUCUUUUAAUGAAAAUUAAUAACCGUAUAAUAUCUUUCUUGUGGAUGCUCUAUCGUUGCUAAAUUAAAACAUCUUUUUUUUCUUUAUCUACAAUUAUGUGAAACAUUUAAAAAAAAAAAACAUUGUUAUUUUAGUUUUUUUUUUAAUAAAUACCAUCAUAAUAUGAUGUGGUUUUGUUAUUUACUCAAGUUAUUCAGUUAAUAUGUGAGUCAACCAGUAAACUAAACUUUGGAUUACGUUUCUUAACUAUUCGUAAGCUUCCUAUUUAUUCUUAGUAAUCAAAAUAUUUUUUUUAUUUUUAAUAUUAAUAUAUUAAAAAAUAUUAAUUUAAUAUUUUUUUAAAAUAACCAGAUUUUUUAAUAAACAUAACUCUGAGUACAAAAACAAUCAUGUUUAGAUUGCGAGCAUAAGCAUAACAAUCUUGACAGUACCGUUGUUGUUUGGACUUUGAGAAGGAUAAAACGAAAGAGUUAGAAUACAUUUAAAAUAAAAAAUUAAUUUUUUAAAAAUACUUUUAAAAUACAAAAACGAACUAAUAAUAAAAUAAACUUUCAUACACUUAUCAAAAUCCCAGGAACGCAACAAUCAGGCAUUAGCUUCAAGCAACCAGAGGGAGCUUCACUGCAGUAGAACACUUCAACAUAGCUUGAUUUGCUAUCCAAUCUGCACACCAGUUGGAUAGCAAUUUCUUUUCAUAACAUUUACCUUUGUAAAAACUUUCUAUUUAUUUUUAGUUUUAAUAUCAAAUUCAGUCUUUAAUAUUUAUCUUCAAAAUUUUAAUAUAAAAUUUGACGGUCAAAAUUUCACUUAUUUUUAAUCAAUUAAAUUGAACAAAAUCUUGUUAAGUCAAACAUCAACUCUACAUUGAAUUGUUUUUUCUUCUUAGACCACAAGAGCUCCAUAACAAGUUUAUUGAAAUAAAUUAUCAAAUGAAAUUAAAGGAAUUAUGAUGCCUUGAUGGAGUUUGAGGCCAAUUUUAUAUAAAACUUAAUGAUAAAAAAAUAUCAUAAAAUUUCUAAAUCUCCCAAUUGUUGUCUGUUUGUUUAACAGUAAACAAUUUGAAGAAGCUCGAGAUCGAUACACUAAACAUAAAACUUUUUGCAUAAUACAAGCACUUGCUAAUUCAAUGGACAUUGUAGCAAAUUGGAGCACUCACCAUUGUUUCAGGAAAGGAAAUUGGAAACGGAGUUGUUUGUUGAAUACUAUUGUUGAUCACAUUGUUCUGUCCACCUUGAUCAUUGCAUGAUAUGGAGCUUUGGUUGACUGGAACCUCCGGUGGCGACCUGCUUCCAUGGACAGUGACGACAUUAAUUGGAAAAGAAAAGGGUGAAUCUAAAAUAAGGAGUUAAAACAGCAAAGAAUCUUGAAAAGACGAAAACAAUGAAUUCAACGUUUAGGGUUAAUUUAAUCAGUAUGAACACCACAGGGCAUGGAUUAUAAAAUCUGAGAAAAAGAUCUAUCUAUUUAUCAUGGAUUACUUUAAAGAUUCAGACAAGAUGAAUGACAAAUAAUUUACCUGGAUUCAAGAUGUUCUUCAAGUGCUAGCUGGUUUGCUUGAGCAGUGAUCAGCCAAAAGAAAAGGAAGAGAAAUCACAGAUCACAGAAGAAUUUAUGGCUUAGAAAAAUAAUAAAGUUGCAGUAUACAUAAAUCUAGUUCGCACUGAUCAUGAGAUGUGGAAAGGAAAAUAGGGAAUUCUAUAAUGAGAUGAGAUGUGGAAAAGAAUGUUACUGCCGCUAGCUCCCUUAAAUAAUACUAUUUAUUAGUAAGGUAUUGUUUGAUAGGAAGGAAGUUGCCAGGAAGCAACCCAAACAUUACAUUAUAUGAUAUAGAAAGUUAACGUGUGGAACCGCCCCCUUUGAAGAAGCUGCCAAGAAAAUGUAAACACAUGAAUAUGAGAAAGAAUAGCAUAUUUCUGCAUUGUGUGAAUUUUUUUUUUUUAAUUAUUUUUAUAUUGCAAUGUAAAAACAAUUCAAAAAUAUUAAUUACAAACGGUCACUUGAUAUAAUUUUACAGACUUUUAAUUAGCCUCACUCAUUUGACCCAUGUCAUGGGUUAAUGGUUCUCAGCAACUCUCCAUUCCGUGACCUUUCUGGCCCUACCUAGAACAACCAACACCCCGACAAAAAUAAUAAUAAUUUUACAGUCGAAUCAUGUUUUUUAAAAACUUGAUAUUUUUUUAUUUUAAAUUAAUUUUUUUAAUAUAUUUAGAUUAUUUUAACAUUUUAAUGUUAAAAAUAAAUUUUAAAAAAUAAUAAAAAUAUUAUUUUAUUAUAUUUUUAAAUUAAAAAAAAAACAAUUAUUAUCUCAAUAUCAAACAUUAUCUUAUUCUAUGAUACUAUCCUUGGAACUUUUCCACACCAAUGGAAAUUUGUUUUUCCCAAACACCCUUCUACAAAUUUAUAUUUUUAGCCCUCAGACCUAUAAAGUAUGAUUUGCUAGCCAAUCUGCACACUAGUUUCCCAUUAAUACAAAGAUGAUCGUGUUUUUUUGGUGCCAAAAUUGUCGGCCAAUAAUUUUCCAUUUUUAUCCGAGUUUUUAAUGAUUUUUUUAUCUCAAAUUUAUAAAUUAAAAAAUUAAUAAAAUAAAAUUUUGAAUCAAAAUUAAAAAUCAAAAUUAAAAUGAAAAUGCAAAAACUUAGGGAACAGAAUUUUGAAAAACACGCCAGGCUACUUUUUGAUUUCAGUAUCAUAUUUGGUGUUCACAGUUUCAAUUAUUUUUAAUGAAUUAAAUUGAAUAAAAUUUUAUCACAUCAAAUACCAAUUUAAAUUAAUCUUCUUCUUUUUUACCUUUUUACCUUGAAAACUUUAUAAUUAAUUAAAAUAAAUUAUCAACCUCAAAUUCCCAUGAAUAUAAAAUUAAAAAUAAAAUAAUCAGCUCAAAUAAUAAUUAAUUAACAUCUUGCCUGAUAGCAAGGAAGUUGUCAGGAAGCAACCCACCGCUCACCUACCAAACAUGAGAGUGUUUGGAGAUUAUUUUGGUUUUUUUUUUUAUGGCCAUAUAAAAAAUAUAUAUUUUUAAUUUUAAAAAAUAUAAUGUAUAUUGAAAAAAAUUAUUUUUUAAUAAAAAAAAUUAUCACAUCUCCAUACCAAACACCCAUAUUAUAUUAUAAGAUAUAAAAGUUAACGUGUGGACCCCACAAAUGUUGAAACUUCGAAGAAGCUGCCAAGAAAAUGUAAACACAUGAAAUUUUCAAAAAAGAAUAGUAUAUUUAUGCAUGCUGUAAAUGUUUUUUAAAAAUAUUUUUUAUUUAUAAAUAUAUUAAAAUAAUAUUUUUAAAUUUUUUACUUUUUAUAUCAUAAUAUCAAAAUAAUUAAAAAAUAGUAAAAAUAUAUUUUUAAAAAACACAUUAGGAUUGUAAAGAUAAACCAGUUCUAACAUUUAAAUUGUUUUAAAAGUAUUUUUAAAAUAUAAAAAUAAACAGUGUUUAAGGUGUAUUUGGUAGUUUUUAUCCUUCUGCCUUUGAGUGUGUCUAUCAGAGCAGAGUGAUUUUACUUAACCAUGAAAUUUUUGUGAGAUAAAUUAUAAUGAUUUUUUUUUCUAUUUUACUAAUAUACCCAAGGUGUUUAUAACUAGAUGCUACUUGCUGAGGUGUAUAUUAGCAACAGAGGAAAGCAUACAAAAGUAACAAAAAAAAAAAUGGAUAGUAAAGACGAAAGCAUAUCAAGCUAACAAAAUCAACCCCACCAAUUCUCAAAUAUUCAGAUUUUAAAAAACAGAAGGAAAUAAUAAUUUAAGAAGAAACAUGUUUUCAAGCUGUGUCAAAUGCAGAAUGCUUUAAUUAAUACGAGGAAAAUCUUGUUGAUAAUAUAGUUCGGUAUAGCGCACUGCCAGUUUAAAAUUACAAUCAUUAUUGAUUUUUAAAGUAUUUUUUAUUUAAAAAUAUAUAAUAAUUUCAGAAUCAUGUUUUUUAAAAAAUUAAAAUUUUUAAUAAUUUUAUAUUAUUUUAACAUUUUAAUGUUAAAAAUAAAAUUUAAAAAAUAAUAAAAAUAUUAUUUUAAUAUAUUUUUAAAUAAAAAAAAUAAUUUUAAAAAAAUUAUUAUCACAUUAUCAAACAAUAUCUUAUUUUAUGAUAGUAUACAUGAACUUUUCCCCACCAAUGGAAAUUUUUUUUCCCAACACUCUUCUACAUAUUUAUAUUUUUAGCCCUCGAUCUAUAAAGUAUGAUUUGCUAUCUAAUCUGCACACUAGUUUCUUAUUAAAAAAGUUGGUAUUCCGCUAAUUGUUGUGGUUGUGAUUUGAAAAAAAUUAUUUUAUAAAAAUUAUUUUUAAUUGAGGUUGGUUUAAAAAAAAUAAAUGUUUGGUUAAAAUUAUGGUUGAAAUUAAGGUUGAACAAAAAAUAGUUAGUGUUUGGUUAAAAAUGCUUUUGAAAUUGAGGUUAUAAAAUAAUUUAAAAAUAUAUAUAUUAAUAUUGAUGCCUUUUAAUUUAAAUAUUAUAGAUUUAACUAUUUCUAUUACAUCAUGAAAUAAAUAAUAUUUUAUAUAAAAAUAUUUUUUAUUGUUCCAUUAAACUAUCUAUAAUUCCAUCAUGUAUGAAAUACGUCUAACAAGUACUACAAUUUUCAUAAAUUUUUUAAGAGCGUAACAACAUCAGAUAAAAUAAAAUCAGGAACAAAAUUGAGAUUGCGAUCAAUUUCUGUAAAUGCGGCAUCAUAAAGCGAUCUCCGUUUAAUUUAUGUAGUCAUUGAAUAAUGUUUAACACUAGUUUUCUGAAUAAAAUACAAUUAAAAAUUAAAUUUUUUUUUAUUUUUUUUUAUUUUGUUGGGUCAGACUUGAUUUAAUAUAUUUUUAACGUUGAACUGGAUUGGUCCAAUCGAAACAGUGGAACAUGCUCCACUGUUCCAUGCAUAAAACCCAUGACCAGGGAUUACAAGAAGCAACAACGAGCUGCUUUUUGCAACUUAUAGCUGUGCCACAAUUAAUAGUGGAACCCACUGGCAUAACUGUGGCAGGAGAAUUACCAAAUAAUAAAAAUUGUGGUUGCGGGUCAACUUUAUCUACAGCUACAAUACCAAAAUUAAGAACCAAUAAUAUUUAGUAAUUUUUUCUAUCUUAAAUUUAUAAAUUAACAAAAUAAAGUUUUAAAUUAAAAUUAAAAACCUCCAGUAAACAGAAUUUUGAAAAACACACCAGACUACUUUCGAUUUCAAAGUUUCAAUAAUGAUAGGAAGGAAGUUGCCAGGAAGCAACCCACCGCUCACCUACCAAUGAGAGUUAACGUGUGACCCGCCCCAAUGUUCAAACUUCGAAGAAGCUGCCAAGAAAAUGUAAACACAUGAAAUUUUCAAAAAAGAAUGGUAUAUUUAUGCAUGCUGUGAAUUUUUUUUAAAAAAAAUAUUUUGGCAUUUUAAUGUUAAAAAUAAUUUUUUAAAAAUUUUUUAGAUUAUUUUUACAUUUUAAUGUUAAAAAUAAAUUUUAAAAAAUAAAAAAUUAUUAUUUUAAUAUAUUUUUAAAUAAAAAAAUUAUUAUCACACCAUCAACCAUUAUCUUAUUCUAUGAUAGUAUACCUGAACUUUUCCACACCAAUGGAAUUUUUUUUUUUCCAACACCCUUCUACAGAUUUAUAUUUUUAGCCCUCGACCUAUAAAGUAUAAUUUGCUAUCCAAUCUGCACACUAGUUUUCCAUUAAAAAAUUACUAUUUUAAGUGCGUCCAGACUGGUUCAAAGUGAAUUUCACAACUUUUCUGUGAGAGCUUCAACUCUACAUUGAAAUGUUUUUUCUUAAACUGUGAGAGCUUCAUAAUAAGCUUAUUGAAAUAAAUUAUUAUAAUGAAAUUAAAAACAAAAAUGCUUAAAAAAAAACAGAGAGACGCCGUGUUUUCUCUAUUGCUACAUGGUAAAAGUCUGAGCAUAUUUAUUUAUUUAUUUUUAUUUUUAUUUUAAUAAUAUUACUGUUAUAUCUACCGCCUGCAAAUCAAGAACGGUAGUUUCAUUUAAAAGAUUCUAAAGUUCAUAUUUAGAAAAAUUAGCAGAAAGGACGAAAACACAACAAAUCAUACCCAGAGAAGCAAUAGCCAGAAACAAGCUACCUCAAGUCUUGCUCCACCUGGCUAAGAAAUGCAGCGUGCCCACUUGGAAUUACACAUCAUCCAAAUUCCAGGGCAAAUAAUUGGUUGGAUUUGUUUUUCGAGGAGUCAUCUCAAAUUUGAAAAUAAAAACAGAAAAUAGAUCCAGCAAAUGAUUCCAAAUAUCUUCUAAAAAGAACAAUGAAAUAUGUUUUUUUAUUUACGGUAAGGAAAGAUAUUAAUGGAAAAAAUAAAAAAAAUCAAUUUAAAAAAUAUAUAAUAAGUCAAAAUCUAGACUUAAAAUCUAACUCGUAUCAGGUUUCUAGUUGAAUUGAAUAAUUGAAUAAGAAGGUGGGAAUGGGAGACAGCAAAAGGUGUCAAACAGAAAAAAAGAAAAGAAAAAAAAGAUCCAUAUUCCAAAGGAGAGGGUCAAAGAUUGCGGCCGAUUCAAAGGACGAGCUUAAUCUCAUGAAUCAUUUUUUAACUUUAUGUAAGACUUGACACGUGUCCUCUAAACCCUCCUGCCCUCCGAUCCUUGCUAAACCCUUGUUCUGGUCGUAAUCAUCCAUUAGCGUAAACCUAUGCUUCUCUGACUUUGAUCCCAAUAAACCAACCAUGGAGUUGGUGGUAAUGUAAUUGAUAUUACUUUUUUAAAUUAUUUUUAUUUAAAAAAUAUCAAAUAAUUUUAAUGUGUUGGUAUUAAAAAAAUUAAAAAAUUAUUAAUAUAUUUUUAUUUGAAAAAUAUUUUUUAAAAACCAUAUGUAGAAUUACUAAACACCCUUAAGCCAGUGGACAAAGACACAAACGAAAAAUACAAAGGAAAAGGGAUAAAAGCAUAUAUUUGGAGAUGAUAAAGGGCAUUGAGAUCAAAGAGGAUAAGUUUUCCAGUGAUGGGAUUGGAUGUUGAUGAAAGAUUGUGUGGAUAAGAGCAUAGUAAUUAAUUUUACUAAAAAGUUCUUCAGUGACCUAAUUCUGGCCCAACAAAAUUAUCAUUAUCCAAUAACAAUUUGAUUAAUUCAGUGUUGCUUAAUCCCAGUUUGCUAUUGCGUUUUAAAUGGUAUUGGUUAAAUUUUAUUUUUUUAUAUAUUAUUUUGAUGGGUUGAUAUAAAAAUAAUUUUAAAAAAAUAAAAUAAUUUUAAAAAUAUUAUUAUAACACCAACUUAUGAAAUUUUCUUUAUUGAUUAGUGAAUUUGAUUAGACUAAGAAUCUCCAUCACAGCCCAACAUCAUUAGCUUAUCUGCCAUCCCUUUCAAGAGAAGAAGAUUUCGAAUCAGUCCAUUCAUUCCCAUCUGUAGCAUCUUUCUCAAGCGUCAAUGGAGAAUUACUUCUGGAUUCUGAGUUGCCAAUAAAAAACAAAAAACCCUUAUAAACUAGUUCGUCUCCCAGUUCUUAAAUUAGUUUCCACAUUGUUUUUCACAAUUUUUAAGAAAAGAAAAAAAAAAUAAAAAAUGAUCAUAAGCUAUAUAUCUAACACUCACUUGAAAGAAACUGAUAACCAUGCAAGCAUUUUACAUGGCAGUAUUUGAUAUGGGGUAAGAUUUUGGAGACAAAUUAGAGUACUCAAAUUGAAUGUACUAGGUGAAUUGCCUGCGCGGUGCUGCGGGUUAUAACAUGAACUGAGCAAAAUCUAAAGGCACUGAGAUCAAACUGAGCAACCACACAGAGUAAAUCUGAAAACAUUGUAACCAUUGAGAUCGAAACUGAGCAACCAUUUUGGAAAAAAUAAAAUUUAAAUUAUUUUUUUAAAUGUUUUUUAAUCAUUUUAAUAUUAAUUAAAUAAAAUUUUAAAAAAAAUUAUUUUAAUAUAUUUUUAAAUAAAAAAUAUUUUGCAACGCAACUUUUACCUCACUUAAAUAAAUCCUUAUUCUAUUGCACAUAAACAUAUGUUUUCAUGUAUAGUGGAUUAACCAAUCUUUUUAGUUUUCUUAUAUUAUUCAUAAAGAUCGAAACGCUUAAAAAUAAAAUUUUAAUAAUCAAGAGAAAAAAAAAUAGUUGAAUUUUUGUACCUUCCACAAGAAAAAUAGAUAGAUGUGUGAAAUUUUAUUCUAAAUAUAUUCUUAUAAAAAUUUCAAAAUUCCAAUUCAUGUUACUCGAUUAUUAUUCUUUUUUUAAGUUUCUUCUCUCUCUCUUUUUUUUUCUUUUUAAUCUGUAUUAUGCAUUUUUAAAAUAUAAUUUAUUGCUAGUUAAUGAUAUAAGAUGAUUUGUACUAGUGAAUAGAUCUAUUAUUUUAUUAGGUUACUUUAAUGAUAAAUCAAUAUAGUAUUAAUUUGUUUUUGGGAUUUUCAUCUUGGAAAUACUCAAUAGGAUGAAAAUAUAAUAUUAAUUAAACUUUAAAUUAUAAUUAUUUAUCUAUCCAGUUAAACAACUAUGACAGUUCAAUAGUCUUAAAAGAUAAUGAAAUAUAUAAAAAAAUGAAAAAUAGUAUUUAUGUUAAUUGUAAGCACACGAUAUAAAUAAGGAAUAUUUCAUAUUAAUAAACGCUUUACGAGUCCAAUCAAUCAGAUGUUAAUUAACAUAAAGAAAUUAACAUGGUGUUUGCAGAGAAUGAAUUGUAGAAAGAGAGAUUGAGAGUGUGAGCAAUAAAAGAUGAUGCUUACCCUUUAUUCUAUAUUAUAUUAUAAUAUAGAUCGAGAAGAUAACCUUACAGGAAAAAGACAUCCUUUGCGUGAGGAUGCUCCCCUCCAUUACUGUCUCCCACCAUUCUUUUGAACUUACAUAGAUGUUUUUAAGAGAAGAAUAAAAGAAUAAAAGAAAAUAUAAAAUGAUUUAAUACAGUACAAAAAUUAGUUUUCAAUACAGAUUAAAAUAAAGCAAAGUGACUAAUGAAAAAAGUACUUGAAUCCUACAAACAGCAGAUAGAUAGUCGGAAUCCCUUGCGCACACAUUUGAUAUAUAGAUAAUUAAAUCAACAUUAAACCAAAUUAAUAUAACCCUUUUGAAAAAUCAUCCACUACUUUUAAAUAAUUAAUUAUCCCUAUUAAGAAAAUCCAAUGACGACAAUGUAUUUAAGGAGCAAUAUUAAAGCAAAGAAAUUAAAUCAAUACAGGUAAAUAAAUGAUCCAAAGAUUAAUCCAUUCAAUAGAAAAAAACGUAACUGAAUCCAUAAACUGCAUAAAUUCGGAGAAGAAUACUUCUCAACAACAAAUUGAGAAUGAUAAAACAAAAGAGUUAGAAUAAUUAGAAAUCUGAUCAAUUUAGUUACCCAUCACUGUAUUAGUCAUUCCUUUCCUCAUCUGUGCUCUCUUUUUUUCCCUCUCUCUAGUGCAAUUCCCACACGUCUUCUUUAUGCCAAAUAGCCCUCUUUACAGAGGAGGCAGCUCCCUUUCUCAAAAGCAGGCAGCCCUCUUUUUUAAUCAGAGACUAACUUGUAGCACUUUACGAUACCUUUCCAACGCAUCAAGAAUCAGAGCAAUCCGAUAUGUGUGGAAAGUUAUGAUUAAAAUACUUUAAGUGUAUCAAGGCUGUUUCUAAGAAAAAGAACAUUACUUUAAGUUUAUACAGGCUGCUGUUUAAAAAGUCAAGAAAAUAAAGUUUUGGAUUAAAAUAAAAUAAAAUAAAAACUUUAAGGAAAAAAAAAAAGCACGCCUAUGAAGCUUGAUAGUAUAUCAAAUUAAAUAGAAGCUCGAUUAAAAAAUGCCCUUUAAUUUCUAUUAUUUCUAUUCACAUUUUAGCAUUUUAUUCCAAUGACAGAGCAUUUGGAAUGCACUUUCAUAGACUCAUCAAAACCCCAGGAACGCCAUCAAGCUUUAGCUUCAAACAACCAGAGGGAGCUUCAGUGCAGUAGAAAACUUCAACAUCUACUAUGAAGCUUGAUUUGCUAUCCAAUCCACACAUCAGUUUUCCAUUGAUACAAAGAUACCGUAUUUUUAACCAUCUAAUAGUAAAAGUUUGUAAUCAAGGGGUUUGCUCCCUCUGUGACCUUAGGUUCGAGCCUUGUGGUUAUUAAUAUUGAUGAUCAUUAACUUCAAGAUCUAUAAGAACUGGAAGCUUACUUGGUCAUUAACUUCAAAAUCCGUGAGAAUUAGUUAAGAUGCGUGCAAGUUGGCCCGGAUACCCUCAAUUAAUAAAUUAAAAAAAGCUGUAUUUUUGUUGCCGGAAAAUUAUCCACCAAUAACUUUUUAUCUUUUUCCAAGUUUUAUAGGUGACUUUUUUCUUUCAUCUCAAAAUCAUGGAUCAAAAGUGAAUAAAAUAAAAUUUCGAAUCAAAACUAAAAAUAAAAAAAUAAAACAUGCAAAAAGUCCAGGGAUCAAGAUUUUAAAAAUCACGCCUAUACUACUUUCUAGUUUUAAUUAUGCGAAGUUCAAUCUUUUUUCCUCUACAAAUUAAAUCAUGUACGUAAACCUGUUACCUACAUUUUGUAAUAUUUCUGGAUCUGCUCUUUGAUUCAUCAAGGACAGAGUUGAUUGCAGCUUCGUCAUAGAAAAGUUCGUCUUCUUCAUCUUCUUGGUUGGCGAGGAAAUAUAAGUGGACUCUUCUCCAGUUUAAGGAUUCCAACCUAGCACAUGAAUGAUAAAGGGCACAGUCAUCAUUUAAAUAAUAAAGGACAUCCUUAGCAUUAGGAUGCUCCCAUUCCAUCACUACUCUCGCUGUUGUAACCCAUUUUUGGGUCCCCACAUAUAAAAUAAUAAAAUAUAAAAAAAUUCAAAAAAAUAUAUUACAAAAAAAAUAUAACAGUGAAAAAUGCCAGAGCGUCAUAAACAUGCUAAAAAAAUUGUUUGAAGAUUUUCAAAAAUAUAAAAAUUAUUUUUUGAUAGUAUAUCAUUAACUGAUGAGAGCCCCGAUGAUAAAGAAAAUUCAAUUUGUGGAAGAAAAAUGCAAAAUCAGAAGUUUAUGGACUCAAUUAAAUUUUAUUGAAGGUUUAAUUGAAUUUAUGGAGAUUUUAAUUGCAAGAAAAAUUGAUUUGGAGUUAAUUUGGGCUUUAAUUAGGAAGAAAUUAAUUUUCUGGGGUCAAAUUAUAAUUUUGGAAGUUAAUUUGGUCAAAUCAGGGGCUUAAUUGCAUAAAUUAUUGAAGUUUAUGGCCAAUUAGGGACUUAAUUGAAGAAAUCCGAGACCAAGGACUACAUUGUAAAAACGCGCGAAAAUGGAGGGCCGAAAUUUGAAUCUGAUGCUUUUGGCGCCUUUUCCUAUUAAAUGAAACGGCGCCGUUUCAUUCACUGUUGCAAAAAAAAAAAAAAACAGAAGCCCAAAACGGUGCCGUUUUGACGGCACUGUAGCUCUUCUUCUUCCCCUGGACACACGAGGCAGGGGAAGAAGAAGAUUUUUUUCUUCCCCUUUUCGCCUAAUUACUUUCCUUCUGCUCAAAAAGACGCCGAAACAAGGACACCACUUGCCGACCACUUUCCACGUGUUGGACGGGCGUUGGACGGGCGGCAGCACACCGGCCACCACCAUGACGUCCCCCCCCUGUUUUUCGCCUAUAAAACAGGGGAGGAAGAGAAGAAAAAAAAAAAAAACAGAGGGAGAAGGAGAGAGAGGAGAGAAGAGAUAGAAGAGAGAGAAGAGAAGAGGAGAGAAGAAGAAGAAGAAGAGAAGCAGCAGAAGAAAACGAAGAAAACAGAAGAGAGAGAGAGAGAGAGAGAGAGAGAACCACCGCCGGCCUCCGCCACCAUCGCCACCGUGCCUACGCCGCCAGCAGCACCGCCACGACGCACCGCAGGUAAUCUCUCGCCGCCCUGUCGCCUUCUCCUUUGCUGCCUCCCCGUUUGCAUGCAGAACGUGAAUUAAUUCACGUUCUGCAGCUGAAGAGGCUGGUUACUGUGCUUAGCACAGUAACCAGCCCAUUUGGUAAUGGGCCGGUUGGCCCAGCCCACUGAUAUGGGCCGGACCCGGCCCAUUUCAAAUUUUUUUUUCCAGAAGUUUUACAAUUUUUCCAGCACAUUUUUUUUUAAUCAAUUUUGCUUAAUAUCGGUAUGUAUUUUACAUUGUGAAAAUAUAAAUUCGGUAUUAAAAUACCCGGUUUUCGUCCCGCGGUACUGUUCACACGUCACUAUUCAUACGGUACUGUUCAUACGGUACUGUUCACACAUGCAUAAAAAAAAAAAAUCAUGAAAUAAUAUUUUACACUAGUUUUCUGAAACACAAUUAAAAAUAAAAAAAUAUUUUUUUUAUUUUAUUAGAUUUAAUAUAUUUUUAGCGUUGAACCGGAUUGGUCCAGCCAAUACCGUGGAGCCAUCAAUGCAUAAAACCCAUGAACAAGGAACCAAUUCUCUAUUGUUCAUGUGAAGAGUGAAUCAUGACUUCACUGUUCAUGGGUUGUCUCGUUACAAGAAGCAGCAAAGAGUUGCUUCUUGUAACCCAUGGCUAUACCACAAUUAAUGGAGGAAUCCACUAGCAUAAAACUAUGCCAAGAGUAUUAUCAAACAAGAAAAAUUGUGGUUACGGGUAAACCUCGUCCACAGUCACAAUAUCAAAAUUAUCGGCCAAUAAUUUUUCGAGUUUUUAGUAAUUUUUUAAUUUUAAAUUUAUAAAUUAAUAAAAUAAAAUUUUAAAUCAAAAUUAAAAAAACUCCUUGAAACAGAAUACACCAGACUACUUUUUGAUUUCAAAGUUUCAAUAAUGAUAGGAAGGAAGUUGCCAGGAAGCAACCCACCGCUCACCAACCAAUGAGAGUUAACGUGUGGACCAGCCCCAACGUUCAAAUUUCGAAGAAGCUGCCAAGAAAAUGUAAACACAUGAAAUUUUCAAAAAAGAAUAGUAUAUUUAUGCAUGCUGUGAAUAUUUUUUUAAUAUUUUUUAUUUAAAAGUAUAUUAAAAUAAUUUUUUAAAUUAUUAUUUUUUUAUCCACCCAUCAAAAUAAUUUAAAAUAUUAAAAAAUUAUUUAAAAAAAAAUCAAAAUUUUUAAAAAACACAUUGUGUGUGGUAAAGAUAAACCUGUUCUAGAUUAAAAGAGUGUUUGGUUGUGCGUUUCAACCUGCGUUUCACCAAAUUUUGAAUUUUUUUUUUGCUAAAAUUGAGUGCGGUUUGUACUUUUUGGAUCGUUUUGAUGUGCUGAUGUUAAAAAUGUUUUUUAAAAAAUAAAAAAACAUCAUUGGCAUGUAUUUCAGCACAAAAAACUAUUUGAAAAGUAACCGCUACCACAUUACCAAACACACUCUAAAUGUGCAAAUGAGAGUGAGACUCAAAUCUAAUUACGUAACAAUUAUUAAUUGGGAUGAAAAGAAAUUAAAAGACAAAUAACCAAUAUUCUCAAGGUGUAUUUCGUAGUUCUUAUGCUUCUGCCUUUGAGUGUGUAUAUUAGAGCAGACUAGCAGAGUGAUUUUACUUAACCAUGAAAUUUUAGCGAGACAAAUUAUAGUGAAUGUUUUUCUAUUUUACCAAUAUACCCAAGGUGUCUAUAACAGAGUGAUGCUACAUACUGAGGUGGAUAUUAGCAAUAGAGGAAAGCAGUGUUGUAAAAUCUAGACCGGGCUAGCAGGUCAACUAGAGAACUAGACUAGUCCGGGUAGGAUAAAAAACCGGCCAAAAAAAAGAGGUAUAUAUAUUAAUUUUAUUGAACGAUCACCCGAGUAGGAACAUACAAAUGUAACUAAACAAAAUAAUAGCAAAGACGAAAGCAUAUCAAGCUAGCAAAAUCAACCCGCCAUUUCUCAAAUAUUCAGAUUUUAAAAAACACAGGCAUAAUAAUUUAAGAAAAAACAUGUUUUUCAAGCUGUGUCAAAUGCAGAAUGCUUUAAUUCAUGCGAGGAAAAUCUUGUUGAUAAUAUAGUCUGGUAUAGUACAAUGACAAUUUGAGAUUAGAAAGGAUUUUUUAUUUAAAAAUAUAAAUAAUAUUUUUUUAUUUUUUUAAAAUUUAUUUUUAAUAUUAACACAUCAAAAUAAUCUAAAAACACUAAAAAAUAAUAAUUUAAAAUAAAAAAAUAAAAAAAUUAACUUUUUUUUUAAAUACAUUUACAAUAUAAAAUAAAAAAUGAUCGUAGUAUUUGCCUGGUGGCCUCCCUCGGGACACAACGCUGCACUUCCUUAAAUGAAAAUAUUUAAGUCGGUAGCUGCAUGAGGUUUUACCUCAGGGUUUAAAGCAUCAGACCUCAUCCUCAAUGAACAUGAACCCACUCUGUAGAUUAUUAGUUUUUAUUUUUAUUUUAUUUUUCAAUCCAAGUACUCCAUGGCUGGACCUUAUCGUCUUGAUCCAGAAAUUGAUUGCCAAGAAUCACUUCGUACAGUAAACAGACUUUGUACAGUAAAUAUAAUUUUAUCUUUAAUUAAUUGGUUGGAAUUGUUUUCUGAGGAGUCAAUUCAAAAUUUGAAAAUAAAAACAGAAAAUAGAUCCAGCAAAUGAUUCCAAAUAUCUUCUAAAAGAACAAUGAAAUAUGUUUUUUUUAUUUACUGUAAGGAAAGAUAUUAAUGGAAAAAAUAAAAAAAUCAAUUUAAAAAAUAUAUAAUAAGUCAAAAUCUAACUCGUAUCAGGUUCCUAGUUGAAUUGAAUAAUUGAGAGCGAAACGUGUCAAGACUGACACGAGUUCAAAAUAGACUCCACAACAGGAAAAAAAAAAAAAAAAAGAUCCAUAUUGUGGCCCGUAGUAGUAUUCCGGAGGAGAGGGUCGAAGAUGGCGGCUGGUUCAAAGGAUGAGCUUAAUCUCAUGAAUCAUUUUUUAACCUUUAUCGUAAGACUUGACACGUGUCCUCUAAACCCUCAUGUCCCUCUUCCGAUCCUUGCUAAACCCUUGUUUUGGUCGUAAUCAUCCAUUAGCGUAAAGCUAUGCUUCUCUUGACUUAAUUUGAUCCCAAUAAACCAAUCCAUGGAGUUGGUGGUAAUGUAAUUGAUAUUACUUUUUAAAUUAUUUUUAUUUAAAAAAAUAUCAACAUAAUUUUAAUGUGUUGGUAUUAAAAAAAAUUAAAAAUAUUCUAUUAAUAUAUUUUUAUUUGAAAAAUAUUUUUUAAAAAACCGUAUGUAGAAUUACUAAACACCCUUAAGCCGGUGGACAAAGACACAAACGACAAAAUACAAAGGAAAAGGGAUAAAAGCAUAUAUUUGGAGAUGAUAAAAGGGCAUUGAGAUCAAAGAGGAUAAGUUUUUCAGUGAUGGGAUUGGAUGGUGAUGAAGGAUUGUGUGGAUAAGAGCAUAGUAAUUAAUUAUUUACUAAAAAGUUCUUCAGUGACCUAAUUCCGUGGCCCCACAAAAUUAUCAUUAUCCAAUAAACUAUUUGAUUAAUUCAGUGUUGCUUAAUCCCAGUUUGCUAUUGCGUUUUAAAUGGUUACUGGUUAUUAUAACACCAACUUAACUUAUGGUAAUUUUCUUUAUUGAUGAGUGAAUUUGAUUAGAUUUAAGAAUCUCCAUCACAGCCCAACAUCAUUAGCUUAUCUGCCAUCCCUUUCAAGAGAAGAAGAUUUCGAAUCAGUCCAUUUAUUCCCAUCUGUAGGCAUCUUUCUCAAGCAUCAAGGAGAAUUACUUCUGGAUUCUGAGUUGCCAAUAAAAAACAUAAAACCCUUAUAAAGUAGUUCGUCUCCCAGUCCUUAAAUUAGUUUCCUCAUUGUUUUUCACAAUUUUUAAAGAAAUUUUACGACUGCUGGGCCUUGACUUGUCUGUUUAAUUUCUAUUAGUCUUAUUCACAUUUUAGUAUUUUAUGCCAAUGAUAGAAUGCACUUUCAUAGACUCAUCAAAACCACAGGAACGCAAUCAAGCUUUAGCUUCAAAACAACCAGAGGGAGAUUUAGUGCAGUGGAGAACUUCAACAUCUACUAUGAAGCUUGAUUUGCUAUCCAAUCUUCACGUUAGUUUUCCAUUGAUACAAAGAUACUGUAUGUGUUUUUGUUGCCAGAAAGUUGUUCGAUCAAUAACUUUUUAUCUUCUUCCAAGUUUUUUUUUUUGUGUGAUUCUUUUUUCCUUUCAUCUCAAACUCAUGAACUAAAAGUUAAACAAAAUAAAAUUUUAGAUAAAAAAAAAAAAUAAAAAAUAUAAGAUGCAAAAAAUUAUAAGGUAAACAAUAAACUAAAUUUAGAAUAUGUCUCUUACUAUUCGUAAGCUUCCUAUUCCUUUUUAGUUUUUCUUAAAGUUAUUCUAUUUGAUGUCAUGAGUGUUCCAUUGAGAGAUAAAAAAGAAGACAAAUUCCCAUCCUCUUCACCUUCUUACAAUGCAUUACAGUAAUAUCUCUAAGAGAAUUGUAAAUCAAUUUUUGCAUUGCAAAUACUUUUCAGUUCCGGUAAAUCAAACAAUUUCAGAAUUUUCCAAGAUAAACAGAUUUUUAAAUACACUCAAACAUAAUUUUAAAUAUAAAAACAAAUUAUGUUUUUUUGAUUGCGGCAUAACAGUGAUGGCAGUACCGUUGUUGUUUGGACUUUGAGCAGCAGUAGAUAUCUCCAGCGUACUGUUACCUGCCGGCUAGAAAAUGUAUGAUGCCGUUUUUUAGUUUAAUAGAGAGAGGGCAGAAAGCCUUAAGAAAAUAAUUUCACAUUCUGUGUGGUAGAAACCUGAUUCCACCCAAAAAAAAAAAAUAACACGGUAAUUGAAGCAAAUUAAAAGAAUAAAAGAAAAUAUAAAAUGAUUUAAAAGAGAACAAAAAUUAAUUUUAAAUGCAGAUUAAAAUAAAGCAAAGUGACUAAUGAAAAAAGUACUUCAAUCCUACAAACAGCAGAUAGAUAGUCGGAAUCCCUUGCGCACACAUUUGAUAUAUAGAUAAUUAAAUCAACAUUAAACCAAAUUAAUAUAACCCUUUUGAAAAAUCAUCCACUACUUUUAAAUAAUUAAUUAUCCCUAUUAAGAAAAUCCAAUGACGACAAUGUAUUUAAGGAGCAAUAUUAAAGCAAAGAAAUUAAAUCAAUACAGGUAAAUAAAUGAUCCAAAGAUUAAUCCAUUCAAUAGAAAAAACAUGAAUGAAUCCAUAAACUGCUUAAAUUCGGAGAAGAAUACUUCUCAACAACAAAUUGAGAAUGAUAAAACAAAAGAGUUAGAAUAAUUAGAAAUCUGAACAAUUUAGUUACCCAUCACUGUAUUAGUCAUUCCUUUCCUCAUCUGUGCUCUCUUUUUUUCCCUCUCUCUAGUGCAAUUCUCUCACGUCUUCUUUAUGCCAAAUAGCCCUCUUUACAGAGGAGGCAGCACCCUUUUUCAUCAGAGACUAACUUGUAGCCCUUUACGAUACCUUUCCAACGCAUCAAGAAUCACAGCAAUCCGAUAUGUGUGUGGAAAGUUACGAUUAAAAUACUUUAAGUGUAUCUAGGCUGUUUCUAAAAAAAAGAACAUUACUUUAAGUUUAUCCAGGCUGCUAUUUAAAAAGUCAAGAAAAUAAAGUUUUAGAUUAAAAUAAAAUAAAAUAAAAACUUUAAGGAAAAAAAAAAAGCACGCCUAUGAAGCUUGAUAGUAUAUCAAAUUAAAUAGAAGCUCGAUUAAAAAAUGCCCUUUAAUUUCUAUUAUUUCUAUUCACAUUUUAGCAUUUUAUUCCAAUGAUAGAGCAUUUGGAAUGCACUUUCAUAGACUCAUCAAAACCCCAGGAACGCCAUCAAGCAUUAGCUUCAAACAACCAGAUCCGGAGCUUCAGUGCAGUAGAAAACUUUAACAUCUACUAUGAAGCUUGAUUUGCUAUCCAAUCCACACAUCAGUUUUCCAUUGAUACAAAGAUACCGUAUUUUUAACCAUCUAAUAUUAAGAGCGUGUGAUAAAGGGGUUUGCUUCCCCUAAUAUUAAGAGCGUGUGAUAAAGGGGUUUGCUUCCCCUGUAGUUUCAGGUUCGAGCCCUGUGGUUAUUAAUAUUGAUGACCAUUGAAGGCUUACCUGGUCGUUAAUUUCAAGAUCCAAGAAAAUUAAUCGAGGUAUGGACAAACUGGCUUAAACACUCAAGUGAAUAAAAAUAAAAUAUUUUAUUUUUGUUACCGGAAAAUUGUCAACCAAUAACUUUUUAUCCUUUUCCAAGUUUUUUAGGUGACUUUUUUCUUUUAUCUCAAAAUCAUGGAUAAAAAAUGAAUAGAAUAAAAUUUCGAAUCAAAACUAAAACUAAAAAAAUAAAAAAUGCUAAAAGUCUAGGGAUUAAGAUUUUAAAAAUCAUGCCUACGCUAACUUCUAGUUUUAAAUAUUUAAAACAAGGCUCCAUAUAUUAUCAUAUAUUCAUAGAGACAUACCAAUGUAGCUUUUGAUGUUUACCGGUUUGGGUAUGUCCAUAUGCUUUUAAAUAUUUUUUAAAAUUUAUAUUUGUUUUAAAAAAAUAUUAAAUUAAUAAUUUUUUAGUUGUUUUUAAUGAUUUUGAUGUAUUGAUAUUAAAAAAAAUCUAAAAAUAUAUUUUUAAAAAAUAUUUUAUAUAACAGUAUCAAACACAUGAUAACCUUGUCCAAAAGCUUUCGACCGAGCAUAAAAUGGUUUUCAACCCAAUCAUACUUUUUCCUCAUUAUAAAUAUAAAAUAAAGUUCAAGUGAAGUAGGGUCCAAUCUUAACUGGUUCAAACAUUAUUGUUAGAACGUGACAGUGUCCCAGCAUUAGUAGUGUAGCACGUGCCAUGUCUUAAGCUUAUGUGAUCCGAAAACAAGGCAAUUGGUGUUUGAUGGAAUUAGCUGUCACUAAAAAUAAAAUAAAAUAAAAUCCUCCGUGAACUAAUUAAUUACUCAAUUAAUUCCUAAAUUAGUUUUUUUAUUGUUUUACACAAAAUUUAUAUAAAUAAAAAUAUUUUAUUAGAUAUUUUAGAUACUCCACUAUUAUAAUAUUUUAUUUAAGUUUAGAUUUUUAUUUCAAAAUUGAAUUUUAUUUAAUGUAACAAGUAUUACGAUGUUUUUUUUAUCUGAAAAUUUUUGAAAUAUUAUUUGAUUUUAUUAAUUUAAAAACAAAUAAUAUUUUAAAAGAGUACGAAAUGUUGUAUAAAAUUUAUAUGUAUUUAUUUUCUGAUAUACGUGUUCCAAGAAUUAGCAGGGAUACGAUGUUUUUACAGCAGUGCUUUUAUGUUAUCGGUCAUGGACCCGAAACACGGUUCAUGACAAUAACGCAAAACACAACAAACAUUGAUGCUAUGCUGAAUCCUUGAAGUGCGUCUAACAAAAUCUCAAUAUCCGGAAUGCCUCUUCUUCCAUGGCAUCUUGCCUAACUCUUGAUUGUCUCAGGUCCUCCAAGGCAUUACUCCACUCUUUUUUUUUUUUUUUUUUUAUUAAUGUGGAUGUCUGGACCAGCUUGCACACACCUCGACUAAUCACACGGGCCUUGAAGUUAACAACCAUGUAAGCCUCUAGUGGCUAUUAUAUGAAUAUCCAUAGAGCUCGAACCUGAGACCACAAAAAAAAAAAAACUCUUAAUUUCAAACUCUUAUCACUAGACCACUUUCUAGAUGGUUGCAUUCCUCCACUCCUUGGUUAACUAUCUCAUGGAGGUUAACUCCCCCCAACUCUCUUACGGAUAAAGUAAGGAAGCCAUUUACACUUCAUAAGAAACCGUAAUAUAACAAACAGAGGAUCUGUAAGUUUCAGAGAACGACAUCAAUUUAAUUAUGCGAAGUUCAAUCUUUUUUCCUCUACAAAUUAAAUCAUUUACGUAAACCUGUUACCUACAUUUUGUAAUAUUUCUGGAUCUGCUCUUUGAUUCAUCAAGGACAGAGUUGAUUGCAGCUUCGUCAUAGAAAAGUUCGUCUUCUUCAUCUUCUUGGUUGGCGAGGAAAUAUAAGUGGACUCUUCUCCAGUUUAAGGAUUCCAAUCAAGCACAUGAAUGAUAAAGGGCAGAGUCAUCAUUUAAAUAAUAAAGGAUCGAACAUCCUUAGCAUUAGGAUGCUCCCAUUCCACCACUGACUCUCACCAUUCUUUUGGAUGUACUCCAUCACUCUAAGAGAAGGGGGAUGAGAUAGCUGGCCAUUUUCAAGCAACGGAAGAUGAAUUGCCAGCCUUUUCAGCAUCUGACAAUUUGUUAUCCCAAUUUGUUGGAGAGAAUCGCAGAUCGAACUCUUUAAAAAUAGAAAUAUACCAUGAUAAGAUGGAGAUGAUGGUGGAGCGGAGCGGAGCAGAGCCAAGAAGACGAAACCAAGCUCUCCAUGUUAUAGCACUUCCAAAUGUCGGUACUGGCAUUUAUUGAAAUGAAACUUAAAAUCAACUGUUUUGAAAGCCAUUUGAUAGCUAGGAACUCAGAAUCCAUGAGAUUAAGUAUUUGGCAAAGCCUUCCCCGUGAUCGGAGCAAUCUCACUAAUUUAUCGACGGAAUGGCUAGAAUUGUCUUCCUCUUAACUAAUCUUUAGCAAAUUGUCUUAAUAUGGUUUUACCAAAAAGAAAAUAAUAAAUUUGUUCUAUUACUAUCAACUGCCAGAACUCCUGACAAGUAAUUACGACCAGUUUUUUAACAUCCAAGCUCUUGUAAUCUCACAAACGCUUGAGACCCAAACCCAAUCAACAGAUCAGAGAACCUUUAUUUGUCAAGGCUCCAUACACUUUCUCGACAAGAACCGGAGGAGGAGGCUGUGGGGAAUUCGAUGGUUGAAAAAGGAACGUGAAUUAUGCUGGAGAGCAUGCAGGUGGCGAUGUGUUUGGAGCUUAGCCUGGUGUUCCUCCAAAUCCUUACUAAAUUAUUACAAAGUAACAUUAUAAUAUUUUUAAAUCUGUUUAAUUUUUUUGGUUUAAGAUCGUGUUUUUUUGUUGUUGAAAAAUUAUCCUUACAAAGUAACUUUUUAUCCUUUUCCAAGCUUUAUGGUGAUUUUUUUAAUCUCAAAUUCAUGAACAAAAAAAGGUAGCAGCGUGAAGCCUCGCCAAAAGCCCAAGAUUAAAAUAACCAUGCUCCUAGCCCAAGCCCGCCAACAUCACCCCCAGCAGAUUGGAAAAAUGCUCAUAACCAUUCCGGAAAAACACACCUAGGCUACUAUGGUAUACUAGAAAGUGGAAAUAAAUCGAUAUUAAUCAUCAAAUAAAUCGUUAGCAGAAACCAAAAAUAAAUAAAUAAAUUGUUCAUGCUACUCCAUCUUAUUGAUGGGAAUGGCUUUUGACCAGCAUACAUACGACUCUGCUAAAAUUAUCUGACAAAUUAUCAGGCUUAUAAAAAAACUUAAUAAAAUUAGAAAAAAAAUUAUCAUUUUUAUUUAAUAAAAGAAUAUUAAAAAUAUUAAUUUAAUAUUUUUUUUAAAAUAAACAGAUUUUUAAAUGCAAUCAAACAUAAUUUUGAGUACAAAAACAAAUUACGUUUUGAUUGCAAGCAUAACAAUCUUGGCAGUAAGUACUUUUAUGAUUUUAUUUUUGCAGCCACGUACAUGCUUUAGGAGUUCUUUUUAUUAAAUCAAUAUUAAAGUAAAAAAAAUUAAAUCAAUACAGAUAAAUAAAUUAACUAAAUAUAAUCAAACAAUUAAUCCAUUUAACAGAAAAAACAUUACUGAAUCCAUAAACUACAUUAAUCCCCUUUCUUUUCUUUUCUUGUUUUUUUUUUCUCUGGUGGAAUUCCCACACAUCUUCUUUUUUUUUUCUCUGGUGAAAUUCAAUAGGAUGAAAAUAUAAUAUUAAUCAAACUUCAAAUUAUAAUUGUUUAUCUAUCGAGUUUAAAAAAAUAUGACAAUUCAGUAGUCUUUAAUGAAAUAAAAAAAAAUAAAAAAUGUUAUUUAUGUAAUUGUAAGCACACUAUAUUAUAUUACUUUACAAAGGGACGAAGGACAUCCUUUGCAUUAGGGUGCUCCCACUCCACUACUGACUUCCACCAUUCAUCUGGAUAUGCCUCGAUUGUUUUAAGAGAAGGGGGAGGAGAUGGCUGGCCAUUUUCAAGCAACGGAAGACAAAUUGGCAUCCUCUUCAGCUUCUUACAAAAAAAUACCUUAAUAUUUUUAAGAGAAUUGCAAAUCAGCUUUGCACUGCAAAUGCUUUUCAGUUCUGGUAACCUAUCCAGUUGCAGAGUUGUUAACUUUGGGAGAAUGACUUCCGUGAUGGAAUUGGAGGUGCUGCUUUCUUCAUCUGUUGUUCCUAUUAUCUCCUCCAUUUUCUCACAAUUGGAAACUUCAAUCCUUCUCAGGUUUACGAGGUUUGGCAGCAACACAAGCGGGAACAGCUUCUUUAUACUUUUACAGUAAUAACAAAAAAACUCUUUAAGACCAGAAAAUGUACCGUUACAUGAUGGCAAUCGUGGUGGAGCAGAGCAGAACCAAGAAGAUGAAACCAAGCUCUCCAUGUUAUGGCAUUCCUGAAUGCGGAUGUGCUCCAGUUCAGUUGCAUUCUCUAAUGACAAAACAUCACAUAAACUUCUUGCAUCGAUGCAUUCACAAAUCAGUCCUUGAAUGCCAUUUAAGAACUUAACCUGAAAAUCUCUAUCUCCGUUGAUACUCAAAUUACCCAACCCAACUGUUUUACUUAAAUUUCCAAACAAUUUCUCUUUCAAACUAAGCACCUCUCCUACUAAAAUUUUGUAUGUGCUUAAUGAUUGAAUCCCAUCCCGAGAUCUGAGAUACUCCACUAAGUCAGAAAAACCUUUGAAAUGGCACUCCAAAGUUUCCAAAUUUCUCAAGGAUCCUACUUCCUUUCCUUUAACUGUUAUCGGAGCAUCUUCGAUAAACUUUUUCUUCAGUACAAAGACUUGCAGGUGAGAGAGUUUUGGUAAUAUCCCACUAGGAAACUCCUUUUCACCACAUCCAUUCAUUCUAAGAUACCUCAGGUUGGUUAGGCAUUCCAUUCCUUGCGGCAUCUUUUCAAGUCGAGUACGAGCGAGAUCCAACCUCUUCAGUGCCCUGAGCUUCUUUAAUGAUGGAACAUAUCUUAAGUUCUCACACAUUUUGAGCAAUAACGCAGUGAGACUCACCAAAUCAGAGACAGAGUCUGGCAAGUUUUCAAUACCUGUGCAAGACAGAUCGAGGACCUUGAGCCCAUGCAAUUGCUUGAAAAAUGAAUCAGCAAUAAAUCGCAACCAAGGAUUUUUACAUAGCAAUAGAGUUGAUAGAUUGGGACACCUUGGUGAAUAGCUGGAAGGAAUUUCUUCGAUCUCGUUUCUCAUUAGUGAAAGCAUCGUCAGAUUCUCCGUCCACUCCUCUGCAUCUGGCAACUCUUUUAACUGCACACCUGCUUUAACCAUGACUUGAUAUUCGUCUUGCAGUAUAUGGAUGGCCAUGUCCCUAAUCAAGUCAUGCAUCUUGAUAUAUCUAGUAUCAUCAUAAACCAUUUGAGCACUUUCCAAUAGGCAGACAUAUUCAAGUCUAUUAAGCAUCGUGUGGCCCUCAUCAAAUGCAUCUCCCCUGCUCCUCAUUCCUUUAAUAAUUCCCUCAUCGAUCAAAUAACCUAUCAACUGCUCCCUUUGAAUCACACCAUCUUCAGGAAAUAAUGCACAGUAUAAGAGACAUUGUUGUAGUGCUAAAUCACCUAACCGAUCAUAACUAAACCUCAAUAACUUGAAUACCUUCUCAUCCAUGUCCCUAAAUUCUGAUUCUCUCAAUUUCUUCAAUGUAUUCCUCCACUCAUGUAGAUCAUCCACUCCCCUCAAGCUUCUUGCCACUGUAAUAAUUCCUAGUGGCAAACCAGCACAUUCCUUUGCAAUAGCUUUCGCAAUUCGUUCCACUUCUGGUGAAAGUGCUACAGCACGUCCAAGUUUCUCCAUGAACAAAGUCCAAGCUUCUCCAUCAGAAAGUGGAUUCACUUUGAUUUUACGGUGGCAAGCCAUCCGAUGACAAACCGUUUCUGAUCGAGUUGUCAUAAUCAGCUUGCAUCCUUUCAACUUUUCAGGAAUUCCCACUUCGUGUAGCUCAAAAUUAUUCCACAAAUCAUCUAAAAUGAGAAUCCAUUUUUGUUUCUUCCUUAGUUCUUCUGACAACUUGGCAGCUCUAUGCAGUUCAUCAUUUUUUCUUGAAAGAUCUAGAUCAAGAUGUUCAGCAAUAAGAAUCUGCAAUCUAUUAAUGCUGAAAUCUUGAGACACAGUCACCCACCAAACAUUAUCACAAAUAUCUGGUCUUUGUAGAAGCUCAUUAUGGAUAUGUUGCAGUAUUGUGGAUUUACCAACUCCCCCCAUCCCAUAAAUGCCAAUGGUUGGGACUUUAUCAUCCAUUAAGAAAGACCAUAUCAUAUUUGUAUUCCAUUGGAAUGCUCGACCCACUAGCUUUGUUGAGCUAGUAGGUAAUGGAACUCCUCUAGUCUUGUUGCAUUUCAGACUUUCAGAAGAUCUAGCUCCUGCGCCAGCCUCCUCCAUUGGUUCUGUCCUCACUCUAACCAUGUCCAACAACGCAUCAUGCCUAUUUACAUCAUUGUUUACUGAUGGAGCACAAGGUUGAUCAUAACAUCUUCCAAUGUCAAGACAAAAUUGGGAUGAAUCUCCUCGAGGCUCCAGAAGCUGCACUUGCUCUGUUCUUGGAAUAGUCUCAAAUGCAUCAUGCUGAAAAGAUCCUUCACCAGUGUUUUCCAUGUCAUUUUCUGCUUGUAAAUGCGACUGAAUUCUCUCUUCUCCGGGACCUUGUUCCACGCCUUGAACUCCCACUUGUACUGCUUUGCUCUGUUCCAACACUCGAUCCACGGGUUCUGUCCUCGUUCUGCUCUCGAGUGCCCCUUCGGAAACUCCAUCUUCUUGUGCUCUCAUUCCGGUCAUGCUUACUACGUCGUUUCCUGCUAUUGCAUGAGAAGAAAUCCUCUCUUCCCCUACCCCGGGGUUCUACAACCUGAACUUCUCUUUGUACCCUUCCAAUACCUCCUACCAUUGUUGAGAUUGAACUUGCUGUGAUUUUAUGUCUUUUGUUGCCACCACGCAUAGCUAGAAAGGCUGCUUCUUGAACUUCUUUAGGCACCCCAAGACAAAUGGCAACAUUAUGCCCUUCCUCUCCUGAUAAAUGCCAUUUGAUCCUUGAAAUGGAGGUUUUAUUGGCAAAUGUAUGUGGACAAAACUUACACUUCAUCCUACCCUUAUCACUUUCUUCAACAGAAUUCCAAAACGGAUCAUUUGAUCCAACCUUUUCGACCUAUAGAAAAAAGAAGUCAAAGUAUAGAACAAAAAUCAGUCAAAAUAUGGAAUAAAAAUUGACGGAUCAAGUUACAGAACAGAAGUUUCCGGAUUGAGAAACUAUUUUGCUAUCAAAAUUGAUAGUUAGUUUAUAGCACAAUCAUAGGGGAAAAAAGACUACGAUAAUUCAGUUAGACUUCUUACUUGUUGAGUAUUUAAACCCCUAUUUUGACUUUGGAAGGAAGUGUCAGGGCCAGGAUUAGAGGCAUUUGGCAUAGCAGUUUGAUUUUGCAAUCCUCGGACUUGGAAGUUAUCCAUCUGUGACCUAUAUAUAAAUGAAAUGAUCAUAUUAUAAAAAAUUUCGAUAAUUGUUAGUCACUCUUAAGCACUAAAAAUCAAUGGUGUAUCUAAUUAUCGAAAAGGUAUUAAUACUAUGCAGAAAAACUAAUUGUUUUUUUUACAGAAAAUACUAAAAAUGAAAAAUUGGAUACCGGGGAGCAGGAGAAGAAGGUCCAGGUUGAUUGAAGCCACCAUGUUGAGAAGUGGUUGCGUUCGGUGUCAUAUAGCCAUGUCCCGGCUGAGGUUGAUGAAUAAAGGAGUUCUGAUGCCUGAAUAAUAUUCAAAAAGUUAAACAUAGAACUGUUAUUCUCACAAAAAAGAAAGAUAGAGAGCUCAAAAAGACUUGAAAGAUCCACGUCAAUUUUGGUCAAGUUCAUUGUUUUCAUGAUUAAAAAAGUGUAUAUUCGAGGUUAAUACCUUUGAUUCAUUGGAGGUUGAGGUCCAGGUAGCAUCGUAGGCACUUGAUUGCUCAUUGGUAACUGAUAAUCAGUCCAUUGUUGGUCCCUAAAUGAGCAACAUUUGUUGGUGAUUUCUUUAUACAUAUGCAUAAUUCUUUGCUAUUAAUCCACUAAGCAUUUGAUAUCAUUUUAGCUUACCUCAAAGGCAUUGAUGGUCCAGGUAACAUGGGAUUGGCACAUUGAGGAUCAAAUAAAUUGGGAUUAGACUGAUACCUAUAUUCAAACAUAAUGAAUUCACUGAUAAGUACAACAACAAGAGGAAGAAGAAGAAGAAGAAGUUAAAUAAUGAUUGAAAAACUUUUUUUUUUUUUUCAGAAAAUACUAAACAUGAAAAAUUGGAUACCAGGGAGCAGGAAAAGAAGGUCCAGGUUGAUUGAAUUCACCAUGUUGUGAUGUGGUUGCGUUCGGUGUCAUAUAGCGAUGUCCCGUCUGUGGUUGAUGAAUAAAGGAAUUAUGAUGCCUAAUUCAAUGGACAUUGUAGCAAAUUGGAGUAAGCAUGAGUUCUCACCAUGGUUUCAGGAAAUGAAGUUGGAAACUGAGUUGUUUGUUGAAUACUAUCGUUGAUCACAAUGUUCUGUCCACCUUGAUCAUUGCAUAAUAUGGAGCCUUGGUUGACGUCAGCCGGCCUGCUUCCAUGGAAUAAUAUAGAGGAUAAACAGAAGAAUAACUAAAUUGCAAGCAAUCAUCUUCUGAUAAAAUAUGCUUAAGAAUGACGUACGGUGUCAUAUAGAGAAGUGGUGAUUGAAGACCGAAAAGAUCAUCAUCCAUAGAAGAUGGUGGGAACCCUUCCAUCUGACCAAAAGUACAAAAUGAUUAGUACAUACUGAGGUGAACAAAGAACAGAAAGCACGUAGCAAAGAAAAAAAAAAAGUAUAUAUAUAUGAGUGGAUUACUGGGUACACACGUUACGUAAGUCAAAAUAAAAGAAAAACAAAUAAAUGGUGAAAAGCAUAUUUUAAUGACAGUCCCAUUAAUUGGAAAAGAAAAGGGUGAAUCUAAGAAAAGAAAAGCCUUUUUUUUAUUAUUUUUAAUACUAAUAUAUCAAAAAAUAUUAAUUUAAUAUUUUUUUUUCAAAAUAAACAGAUUUUAAAAAACAAAUUAUAUUUUGAUUGCGGGCAUAACAAUCCUGGCAGUACCGUUGCCGUUUUUUAGUUUACACAUUCUCUGGAGUGUCGAUUCCACAUUGAAGCAAAUUAAAAGAAUAAAAGCAAAUAUUAAAUGAUUUAAUAAAAGUGACUAAUGAAAAAGGUGCUUAAAUUCUACAAACAGCAGAUGGAUAGUCGGAAUCCCUUGAACACAUUUGAUAUUUUAAUUAUUCUUAUUUUGUUUAAUGUAAGGUAAUUACCAAUCAAGUUAAUUCAUUGAAUCAUUGUAAGGAAAAAAAAAAGUUGAAAAAUACUGAAUAAAAAUGAAUUGCAGUCCCAUUAAUUGGAAAAGAAAAGGGUGAAUCUAAAAUAAGGUGUUAAAAACACUACUUUACCUACCCCAAUUAUGAAGCUUAGAAGAAGAUGCCUAGAAAAUGUAAACACGUGAAUAUGAGAAUCAAUAAUAUACUUUUCUUUUUAAAAAUUUUUUAUUUAAAAAAAUUAAAAUAAUAAUUUUUUUUUAAAAAAAUAAUAAUUAAAAAAGAAAUAAAAUUCAAAGUUUUUGAAAAGCAUGUGCUCUAACAAUAACAUAUUAAAUAUGUGAUUAAUAGCAUGUGAUUAAAGGUUUUCAGUCGAUGCCAUUACAUGCAGUCAAAGACUCCAUCCUUACUUUUAAUAAACAAAACCUACACUCAAUAACAUGUCCUAGUUUUUUUGGCCAGUGUUUUUCCGUGGUGGGAUUAAUUUUUUUAAAAUAUAAAAAUAAAAUGUUAAGAGUGAAGAAAGUUUGUUAGCGAUAUUAUUAAACCUAGUCAUGGAGUUAAUAUUAAAAUCUUCUAACCUAAUUUUUUAUUUAAUUUAAAUUUUUAAUUAAAUUAUAUGGAAAUUAACUCAGUUUAAAUCGAUCAAUAUCCAAAUACAACUUAAAAAACUAGAAAAACAUUAAAAAAACUUAUAGAAAACAACGUUUUUUAAAAAAAAAAUAUUGAAACAAUGAAAGAUUUGAUUGAUCCCAGUCCCUCACGACUGGAGUCAUAGAUUCUAUUGAGUUUAGUAAUUUUUUAUAAGUUUUUUUUAUUUAAUUAUAUGAUAAAAAUAGAUGCUUAAAAAAUUGAGUAUCAUCCCUAAAAUAAAUAUUUAUUUAAGAUUUUAAUAACCCUAUAGAAAGCAAACAAAAAUAAAUUAUUUAGUCUAUUUCCAAAUCAAUCUACUAUUGAAGGAUGAAAUUAAAAAAAAAAUCAAUUAAAAAAAUUAAAAGACUAAAAAAAAAAAAAACAUAUUCGAUCAAUGGGUAAACCUGUCAAACUUGUGGCUAGUACAUAAAACCUAUGAACCAGGUUAUGGACUUAACUAAGAUUAUAAUUAUUUUGGCUAGUACUGUCAAAAUUAUUUUUUUUUAUAAUUAUAAUCUUAGUUAAGUCCAUAACCUGGUUCAUGGGUUUGAUGUACUAGCCACAAGUUUGACAGGUUUACCCAUUGAUCGAAUAUGUUUUUUUUUUUUUUAGUCUUUUAAUUUUUUUAAUUGAUUUUUUUUUAAUUUCAUCCUUCAAUAGUAGAUGAUAAAAAAAAUAUAAAAUAAAUAAUUGUAAAAUUAAACAUCAACCAUACACACACACACUAAUUCGACCAAAAUAUGAAAUAGGCAAAAAAAAAAAAAAUAAUUAAAAAAAAGGAAAGGAAAGGGAAAAAAAAACAGAAAAGGCAAAACACUAUCAAUUACUAUUAUAAUCUAUAAUGAAAUGAGUGUGGGUGAAUAGUGAUUCUCUUACACCUUUUAGUUUUUCUUUUAAUUAAUAAAUAAAAAAAAUAUCCCACCAAACCUGAAAACUAGUAUAAUUUGAAUUAUUUUAACAAACCUGUAAAUCACGUUAAUCUUAUAAAAAAAUAGAAUAAAAAUUAAUAAAUUAAAGCUGAAUUAUAACCCGCCUAUAAUAAAAUAAACAAAAACAAAUUUUUAAAAACAAAAAAAAAGGGCAAAACACCUUGAAUUACGUACUAUUGAAAUUUACAAUGAAAUAGGUGUGGAUAUAUAGUGAUUCUCCCAAGUCUCUUAGCUUUUCUUUUAAUGAAAAUUAAUAACCGUAUAAUAUACUUUCUUGUGUUUGCUCUAUCGUUGCUAAAUUAAAACAUAUAUUUUUUUUUUAUCUACAUCUAUGUGAAACUUUUUUAAAAUAAAAAUAUUUAAAAAGAUAAAUGUUAAAACAAAAACAUUGUUAUUUUAAUUUUUUUUUUAAUAAAUACCAUCAUAAUAUGAUAUGGUUUUCUUUUUUACUCAGGUUAUUCAGUUAAUAUGUAAGUCAACCAGUAAACUAAACUUUGGAAUACGCUUCUUGACUAUUCGUAAGCUUCCUAUUUAUUCUUAGUAAUCAAAAUAUAUUUUUAUUUUUAAUAUUAAUAUAUUAAAAAAUAUUAAUUUAAUAUUUUUUUAGAAUAAUCAGAUUUUUUAAUAAACAUAACUCUGAGUACAAAAACAAAUUAUGUUUAGAUUGCGGGCAUAAGCAUAACAAUCUUGACAGUACGGUUGUUGUUUGGACUUUGAGAAUGAUAAAAUAAAAGAGUUAGAAUAAAUUUAAAAUAAAAAAUUAAUUUUUUAAAAAUAUUUUUAAAAUACAAAAACAAACUAAUAAUGAUAAAUAGACUUUCAUACACUUGUCAAAAUCACAGGAACGCAACAAUCAGGCAGGCAUUAGCUUCACUGCAGUAGAAAACUUCAACAUAGCUUGAUUUGCUAUCCAAUCUGCACACCAGUUGGAUAGCAAUUUCUUUUCAUAACAUUUACCUUUGUAAAAACUUUCUACUUAUUUUUAGUUUUAAUAUCAAAUUCAGUCUUGAAUAUUUAUCUUCAAAAUUUUAAUAUCAAAUUUGACGGUCAAAAUUUCACUUAUUUUUAAUCAAUUAAAUUGAACAAAAUCUUGUUAAGUCAAACAUCAACUCUACAUUGAAUUGUUUUUUCUUCUUAGACCACAAGAGCUCCAUAACAAGUUUAUUGAAAUAAAUUAGCCAUGUCCCGGCUGAGGUUGAUGAAUAAAGGAAUUAUGAUGGCUUGAUGGAGUUUGAGGCCAAUUUUAUAUAAAACUUAAUGAUAAAAAAAUGUCUAAAUCUCCCAAUUGUUGUCUGUUUGUUUAACAGUAAACAAUUUGAAGAUGCUCGAGAUCGAUACACUAAACAUAAAACUUUUUGCAUAAUACAAACACUUGCUAAUUCAAUGGACAUUGUAGCAAAUUGGAGCACUCACCAUUGUUUCAGGAAAGGACAUUGGAAACGGAGUUGUUUGUUGAAUACUAUUGUUGAUCACAUUGCUCUGUCCACCUUGAUCAUUGCAUGAUAUGGAGCUUUGGUUGACUGGAACCUCCGGUGGCGACCUGCUUCCAUGGACAGUGACGACAUUAUAUUGUUUUUUGCGAAUAAUAGGAUAAACUGAAGAAUAACUAAACUGCAAGCAAUGAUUUUCUGAUAAAAUAUGCUUAAGAAUGACGUACGAGAGAAGCUCAGAAAUAUCUUCUAGUGAUUGAAUACCCAGCUGAUCCCAUGUCAUGUUGUCAACCUCCAUAAAAGAUGGUUGGAACCCUUCCAUCUGACCAGAAAAGAUCAGAAAAGACAAAAAAAAACUGAGGUCUAAAAAGAACAGAAAGCACAGAUCAGAAAAGAAUAUAUAUAUAUAUAUAUAUAUAUAUGACUACUUGUUUGUUAAAGAAAUUCGGAUGAAAAAUAUGAAAUAUAAAUGUUGUUGUUAAUGAUUUAAUCCUUUGUCUUUUAAGAUAAAUUAUCAUACUCAAAUUCUUUUUAUGAUAGAUAGAAAGAUGCAGUAUAACUGUUGAAGGUAGAAGAGCUGAUUGUUUUGACGGGGUGAACAAAAACCUCUUUCAACUCCUCUUUAUUCAUAAUUUGGGGAGCAAAACAAAUGCAAGAUUCAUUGUUUACUGUUAAACAAACCUCUUUCAACUCCUAUUUAUUCUUUUUUAAUUAUUCUUAUUUUGUUUAUUGAAAGGUAAUUACCGAUCAAGUUAAUUCAUUGAAUCAUUGUAAGAAACAAAAGUUGAAAAAUAUUGAAUAAAAAUAAAUGGCAGUCCCAUUAAUUGGAAAAGAAAAGGGUGAAUCUAAAAUAAGGAGUUAAAAACAGCAAAGAAUCUUGAAAAGACGAAAACAAUGAAUUCAACGUUUAGGGUUAAUUUAAUCAGUAUGAACACCACAGGGCAUGGAUUAUAAAAUCUGAGAAAAAGAUCUAUCUAUUUAUCAUGGAUUACUUUAAAGAUUCAGACAAGAUGAAUGACAAAUAAUUUACCUGGAUUCAAGAUGUUCUUCAAGUGCUAGCUGGUUUGCUUGAGCAGUGAUCAGCCAAAAGAAAAGGAAGAGAAAUCACAGAUCAGAGAAGAAUAUAUGGUUUAGAAAAAUAAUAAAGUUGCAGCAUACAUAAAUCUAGUUCGCACUGAUCAUGAGAUGGGGAAAGGAAAAUAGGGAAUUCUACAAUGAGAUGAGAUGUGGGAGAGAAUGUUACAGCAGCAAGGUCGCCUCAAUAAUAAUAAUUAAUUAACGUAUUGUUUGAUAGGAAGGAAGUUGCCCGGAAGCAACCCAAACAUAUUACAUUAUAAGAUAUAGAAAGUUAACGUGUGGACCCGCCCCAUGUUCACACUUCGAAGAAGCUGCCAAGAAAAUGUAAACACAUGAAAAUGAGAAAGAAUAGCAUAUUUCUGCAUUGAGUGAAUUUUUUUUUUUAAAAAUUAUUUUAUAUUUAAAAAUAUAUUAAUUUUUUUUUUAUAUUGCCACGUAAAAACAAUUCAAAAAUAUUAAUUACAAACGAUCACUUGAUAUAAUUUUACAGACUUUUAAUUAGCCUCACUCAUUUGAACCAUGUCAUGGGUUAAUGGUUCUCAACAACUCUCCAUUCCAUGACCUUUCCGGCCCUACCUAGAACAACCACCAUCCCGACAUAAAUAAUAAUAAUUUCACAGUUGAAUUAUGUUUUUUAAAAAACUUAAUAUUUUUUUAUUUUAAAUUAAUUUUUUAAAUAUUUUUAGAUUAUUUUGACAUUUUAAUGUUAAAAAUAAAUUUUAAAAAAUAAUUAUUUUAAUAUAUUUUAAAUAAAAAAAUAUUAUCACACCAUCAAACAUUAUCUUAUUCUAUAAUAGUAUACCUGAACUUUUCCACACCAAUGGAAUUUUUUUUUUCCAACACUCUUCUACAGAUUUUAUAUUCCUAGCCCUCGACCUAUAAAGUAUGAUUUGCUAUCCAAUCUGCACACUAGUUUUCCAUUAAUACAAAGAUGAUCGUGUUUUUUUGUUGCUAAAAUUGCCGGCCAAUAAUUUAAGAGGUGCGUUUAUUUAAGAGGUACAUCAGUUAAUGAGUUUGGAGUACAAAUUUAUAUUUUCCAUUUCUAUAAAGAGAUAGUGUUUUUUUUUUCUGCCAAAAAUUAUCAACCAAUAAUUUUCCAUCAUUUUCCGAGUUUUUCAGUGACUUUUUGUCAGUUAAAAAUAUAAAGAUUUUUGUGGUGAUUUUAGCCCAACUUUGGGGUAUCGAGUCUCCACUGAGAAAUUAAAAGAAUAGAAAAAAAUAUUACAUGGAGACAAAUUAAGAGAAUAGAAGAAAAUAUUAAAUGGUUUAAUAGAGAAUAAAAUUUAAUUUUAAAUGCAAAUUAAAAUAAAGCAAGGUGACUAAUGGAGAAAGUAGUGGAAUUCUACAAAGAGUAGAGCGUCGGAAUCCUUGCACACAUUUGAUAUUUUAAUUAUUCUUAUUUCGUUUAAUAACUCAAUUGGAAGUUCAAUUCCCAGAAUUUCCGCUUUCGAAAAAUCAUUCAUCACUUUUAAAUACGCAAAUGAUUAUUAAGAAAAUUCAACGACAACAAUAUACUGAAGAGCAAUAUUACAGUAAAGAAAUCAAAUCAAUACAAAUAAAUAUAUGAUCCAAAUAUAAUAAAGAAUUAAUCCAUUUAAUCGAAAAAAACAUGACUGAAUCCAUAAACUACAUGACCCCUUUUUCUAAAGGAGGCAGCCCCACUUUUUCAUCACGUCGCCGUGGUCCCACACAUUUUUAAGUGCGUCCAAGCUGGUUCAAAGUGAAUUUUACGACUCCUGAGCCUUGACUUGUCUGUGAGAGCUUCAACUCUACAUUGAAAUGUUUUUUCCUAAACUGUGAGAGCCUCAUAAUAAGCUUAUUGAAAUAAAUUAUUAUAAUGAAAUUAAAAACAAAAAUACUUAAAAAAAAAACAGAGAGACGCCGUGUUUUCUCUAUUGCUACAAGGUAAAAGUCUGAGCAUAUUUAUUUAUUUAUUUUUAUUUUUAUUUUAAUAAUAUUACUGUUAUAUCUACCGCCUAGAAAUCAAGAACGCUAGUUUCAUUUAAAAGAUUCUAAAGUUCAUAUUUAGAUAAAUUAGCAGAAAGGACGAAAACACAACAAAUCAUACCCAGAGAAGCAAAAGCCAGAAACAAGCUACCUCAAUUCCUGCUCCACCUGGCUAAGAAAUGCAGCGUGCCCACUUGGAAGUACACAUCAUCCAAAUUCCAGGGCAAAUAAUUGGUUGGAAUUGUUUUCUGAGGAGUCAUCUCAAAUUUGAAAAAUAAAAACAGAAAAUAGAUCCAGCAAAUGAUUCCAAAUAUCUUCUAAAAAGAACAAUGAAAUAUGUUUUUUUAUUUACUGUAAGGAAAGAUAUCAAUGGAAAAAAAAAAUCAAUUUAAAAAAUAUAUAAUAAGUCAAAACCUAGACUUAAAAUCUGACCCAUAUCAGGUUCCUAGUUGAAUUGAAUAAUUGAGAGCGAAACGUGUCAAGACUGACAAGAGUUCAGAAUAGACUCAUGAAUCAUUUUUUAACCUUUAUGGUAAGACUUGACACGUGUCCUCUAAACCCUCCUGUCCCUCUUCCGAUCCUUGCUAAACCCUUGUUCUGGUCGUAAUCAUCCAUUAGCGUAAACCUAUGCUUCUCUUGACUUUGAUCCCAAUAAACCAACCCAUAGAGUUGGUGGUAAUGUAAUUUGUAUUACUUUUUAAAUUAUUUUUAUUUAAAAAAUAUAAAAUUAAUUUUAAUGUGUUGGUAUUAAAAAAAAUUAAAAAUAUUUUAUUAAUAUAAUUUUAUUUGAAAAAUAUUUUAAAAAAACCGUAUGUAGAAUUACUAAACAUCCUUAAGCCAGUGGACAAAGACACAAACGACAAAAUACAAAUUAAAAGGGAUAAAACUUAAAAGCAUAUAUUUGGAGAUGAUAAAAGGGCAUUGAGAUCAAAGAGGAUAAGUUUUCCAGUGAUGGGAUUGGAUGGUGACGAAGGAUUGUGUGGAUAAGAGCACAGUAAUUAAUCAUUUACUAAAAAGUUCUUCAGUGACCUAAUUCUGUGGCCCAACCAAAUUAUCAUUAUCCAAUAAACUAUUUGAUUAAUUCAGUGUUGCUUAAUCCCAGUUUGCUAUUGCGUUUUAAAUGGGUAUUGGUUAAAUUUUAUUUUUUUAUAUUUAUAUAUUAUUUUGAUGUGUUGAUAUAAAAAUAAAUUUAAAAAAAUAAAAAUAAUUUUAAAAAAUAUUAUUAUAACACCAACUUAUGAUAAUUUUCUUUAUUGAUUAGUGAAUUUGAUUAGACUUAAGAAUCUCCAUCACAGCCAACAUCAUUAGCUUAUCUGCUAUGUUAGAGAAUAAUAUAAAUCAUAUUCUGGGACCUCAUCUAACAGCUUAAGCUAUUAGGUUGAGAUGGUUCUUUGACAUGGUAUUAGAGCCUUGAUGACCAAGCGGUCACGAGUUUGAAUCUCACCAUCCCCAUUUAUUUGAUAAAAAUUAAGCACAAGACAAUGUAGACCUGUGCAAGUUUUAAGCCCAAAGAGCUUUCACUUGAGGGGGUUUGUUAGAGAAUAAUAUAAAUCAUAUCCUGUAACCUCACCUAACAACUUAAGCUAUUGGGAUGAGAUGAUUCUUUACAUGCCAUCCCUUUCAAGAGAGAAGAUUUCAAAUCAGUCCAUUCAUUCCCAUAUGUAGGCAUCUUUCUCAAGCAUCAAGGAGAAUUACUUCUGGAUUCUGAGUUGCCAAUAAAAAACAAAAAACCCUUAUAAACUAGUUCGUCUCCCAGUCCUUAAAUUAGUUUCCUCAUUGUUUUUCACAAUUUUUUAAGAAAAAAAAUAAAAAAAGGAAAAAUAAAAAAAUGAUCAUAAGCUAUAUAUCUAACACUCAUUUUAAAGAAAUUGAUAACCAUGCAAGCAGUUUACAUGUCAGUAUUUGAUAAGGGGUAAGAUUUUGGAGACAAAUUAGAGUACUCAAAUAGAAUGUACUAGGUGAAUUGCCCGCGCGGUGCUGCGGGUUAUAACAUGAACUGAGCAAAAUCUAAAAGUACUGAGAUAGAACUGAGCAACCACAGAGAGUAAAUCUGAAAACAUGGUAAGCAUUGAGAUCGAACAGGGCAACCAUUUGGAGUAGGCUGUUAGCACGCUGCCAGAACAAUUCAAAAAGGGCCUAAGAUUAAACAUCCUGAGUGCAAAUAAUGGUUGAGCCAGAUGAAAUAAAAAGCAAAGAUGCUGGCAAAGCAGGACCGACAAUGGAACUCCAUGAAGAACAGCAAAAAAAGCAUGGGAUUUUGACGGUGCUGCUCAAAAGUGUGGAUGCGCGGUCUAAGCCCAGAAGGUCUCCUGUUGCGAGGAAAUAGUGUUAGCUUUCAUCUAAAAGAUGAUAGGUAUUGCCAGGCCAACGCUUAGGGAAAGCAAGGUAAUGUGCAAAAGAAUUGGAGCAAUUAACUGUAAUGUUUAAAACUUUGGAAAGCUACCUGAGGCAACACCAAGCCCACCAACAGAUUGUAAAAAUGCUCAUUACCAUUUUGGAAAAAAUAAAAGUUAAAUGAUUUUUUGUUUUUGUUUUUCAAUCAUUUAAAUAAGAUGAUAUUAAAAAGAAAUUUUAAAAAAUAAAAAACAUUAUUUGAAUAUAUUUCUAAAUAAAAAAUAUUUUCCAAUACAACUUCUAUCACUCUUAAACAAACCCUUAGUCUAAUGCAGAGAACAUGUCUUCAUAUACAUUAUACAGUGGAUUAAUCAAUCUUUUUAGUUUUUUUAUAUUGUUCAUAAAGAUAAAAAAAAAUAGUAUCUAUUAUUUUAUUAGUGAUGAUAUAAGAUAUAAGAUGAUUUGUAUAUAUAUAUUUUUUCCAAUACAUGUCUUCCUUUUUUUUCUUUUUAAUAUAUAUUUUUAAAAUAUAAUUUAUUGCUAGUUAAUGAUAUAAGAUGAUUUGUAUUCGUCAAUAUCAAUAGAUCUAUUAUUUUAUUAGGUUACUUUAAUAAUAAAUCAAAAUAGUAUAUAUAUAUAUAUUUGUUUUUUUUUUCUGGGGGGGAGAUUUUCAUCUUGGUGAUACUCAAUAGAUGAAAAUAUAAUAUUAAUUAAACUUCAAAUUAUAAUUAUUUAUCUAUUCAGUUAAAACAAAUAUGACAGUUCAAUAGUCUUAAAUAAUAAAUAUUUCAUAUUAAUAAACGCUUAACGAGUCGAAUCAAUCAGAUGUUAAUUAACAUAAAGAAGUUAACAUGGUGUGUGCAGAGAAUGAAUUGUGGAAAGAGAGAUUGGGAGAGUGUGAGAACUAAAAGAUGAUCCUUACCCUUUAUGGCUUUAUUCUAUAUUAUACUAAGGGACGACUGACCAUAACAUUACAAGGGGACGAAGGACAUCCAUUGUUUUGGGAUUCUCCCACUCCACCAGUGUCUCCCACCGUUCUUUUGGAUAUGCUCGGAUGUAUUUAAGAGACGGGGGAGGGGAUGGUAGGCUAUUUUCAAGCAACGGAAGAUAAAUUGGCAUUCUCUUUAACUUCUCACAAUACUUUACAUUAGGGGUGUUCAAAAAAAUCGAUUAACCAAAAAAACCGAGAAAACCGAUAAAAAAUUAACCAAGAAAACCGAACCGAGAUAGAAAACCGAUUAAACUGAUUGUUAAAACCAUAAAAUCUUGCCAGGUUCGGUUCGGUUCCGGUUUGACCUCUUAAACCGAUGAACCGAACUGGUAGUAUAAAUACCACGCACACAGUCACACACAAACACAGUCACUUGACACUCAGUAACCCUAAAUCUAAUUAACAUUCUGAACUGAAGAAUGAAGCCGCUGCCCACACCAAAAACUCAAAGAGCAAAGAGCCAAAGACUCUUCCUUCUGCCCACAGAGCCCCACACCAAAGACGAUUUAUCGUCUUCUCCCUUCUGCUGUUCUGCAUCUGUCUUGCCCUUCACCAUCAAAUUUCAUCCUUCCUCUUCUCCCUUCCGCAUCUGUCUCUUCCAUCGAUUUGCAUCCUUCCUUUGUCUUCCCUUCUGCAUCUGUCUUGCCCCCUGCUUCUCUCUUCACUUGCAGGUUGCAGCAGAACGACAGGGCUCCUCCAUUGGUAAGAUUAUCUUCGUGUGCUUAACUGCUUAUAAGUCCAACAUAAUUAUUUUCAAACUUUGAUGCUUCUCAGUUCUCUGACCUUUGCUUCUCUUUUUUUUAUCCUCAGGUUCACCCCCUUUUCCAUUUAAUCAAGAACUAGGGUUUUUGCUUCUUUCUUCAGGUUAGUCCCUCCUUCCCUGCCCUAUCUUCUUUUUGUUAAUUUAUGUUGGUAUUGAAAUAUGCUUGUUCAUUUAUGUUGGUAUUGAAAUAUGCUUGUUAAUUGUUAUAGUUUUUUUGUUAGUUUAUCAAUUAGUCAAAUACUCAAAUGUGUUUGUCACCUGUUACAACAUUUUUUUUUUCAUGUUUGUCGCCUGUCGGGUGAAUGAGUGAAUAACUAAAUAUGUUUUUUCAUGAUUAUCGGGGAAUCGGGGAUUGGGUUUUUUCUAAACCGAAAAGAAUUGGGUUUUUUCAUGACUGUUCCUUCAUUUUUGGUUCCCAUAGCAUGAAUGUCAGACCGAUUAGUAGGGAGAAACAUAUUCACUCAUUCCCAUAGCAUAAAUACUAAUCUGACAUUCAUGCUUAUUUAUUUUAAAAAAGAAUUAUGAUUCUCAGACCGAUUAAAGUCCAAUUUGCUGGUUCAAACAAUUUUCUCCCUACUGCCACUGCCAGCUUCUCAUAUGAAGUUAUUGAUGGUUAUUUUGAGGAUUCAGGUGUAUCAUCUACUUGAAGUAUUUUAAUCUAGAAUCCCAAACUAUUCACAUUUUUCUAGGGGAUGGUAAAUGAGAGUUGGCAUUAUACAUAAUACUAAACUCCUCCAAUGCUACAGUACAGCUAAAAAAGUAGAAUUUGUUGCAGCAGUGAUAAAUUUUAAAUUCUACACAUAAUUUUAAAGAGACUAACAAACAAAACUAGUUCAUUAAUAGCUGCACAGACAAAUAUACAAGGCAUCUUUCUCAAUUAAUUUUUUUAGAUCACAAAACACACUUUCAGUUUCAGUUCCAGUUCAAUUAAUAGCUGCAAAUAAUGUUUUUUUUCAUUAUUUUAUAAUCUGUUUUAAUUUCAGAUGGAUAAUCGGGAAGAUCAUACACCAAUUGAAUCAAAUCCUUCAAGUUCAGAACCCCAUUCUUUUCCUAUUCCAGCUCCAGUCCUAGUUGCUACUUCUAGUACAAAUAGCAACGCUGAAAGUGAAGGUAAUCCAGCUUCUAGAUCUAAUAAAGAAAACACAUCUCAGAUUUGGGAUCACUUUAAAAAAAUUAGAUGGUAAUGUUAAGCGCUCCUAGGGCUGCAUGUAUGUAUUGUGGAAAAGAUUAUGCAUGCCAUACUAUACUUAAUGGGACUAGUAACAUGUGGAGUCAUCUAGGUGUAUGCAAAAAAGUUUCCUUUUGUGAUUGACCGAAAACAAAAACUUUUAGUCUUACAACCUAGCCUAUAAUAAAAGGGGGUAAUAUGGAGAGGAAAAUCUGGUGACUAUUAAGGCGGUGGGUUAUAGUUAUGAAGAGUGUAGGAAAGCCCUAGGAAAAAUGAUUAUACUUGAUGAGCUACCUUUUAACUUUGUUGAAAACCAAGGAUUUAAAUCAUUUUGUCAAGUAAUGCAACCUAGAUUUGAUGUUCCUUCUCGUUUGACGAUUUGGAGAGAUUGUUUAAAAAUUUAUGUAGUUGAGAAGGAAAAAUUAAAGAAAGCUCUUAAGGAUCAACGUGUAUGUUUAACAACCGAUACUUGGACAUCAAUCCAAAAUAUUAAUUAUAUGUGUUUGACUGCCCAUUGGAUUGAUGAAGGUUGGAACUUGAAUAAAAGAAUUCUAAACUUUUGUCAAGUUUCUAAUCAUAAAGGUGAAACAAUUGGCCAAACAAUUGAGAGUUGUUUGUUAGAAUGGGGAAUUGAUAACAUUUUAACAGUUACAGUAGACAAUACAAGUUCAAAUAAUUUGACAAUAAAAUAUUUGAAGAGAGUAACAAGUAAUUGGGCAACUAAUAUAUUGUCAAAUGACUUCAUGCAUGUUAGAUGUUGUGCACAUAUUGUUAAUCUUAUUGUAUGUGCGGGAUUGAAAGAUAUUGAUGAUUCAGUUGUUAAGAUUAGGAAUGCAGUGAGGUUUGUUAGAUCUUCUCCUUCUAGACAACUUGUUUUUAACCAAUGUGCGGAGAGGUUGAAAAUUGGGAGUAAAAAAUCUGUUUGCUUGGAUGUUGCAACUAGAUGGAACUCUACAUAUAUGAUGCUAGAUGGCUGUAAAUUUGAUGUGGUUUUUAUGAGGUUAGAAGAAACGAUCCUAGGUAUUUGAGUUACUUUGAGGUUGAUUCAAAAGGAAAACAAAAAAACUUAGGUCCUCCUGCUUUAGAAGAUUGGGAAAAGGCUAGAUCUUUUGUCAAGUUCUUGAAACUAUUUUACACGGUUACAUUGAAAUUUUCUGGCUCAUUGUAUGUGACAUCUAAUUCUUUCUUCAUGAAUUGAUUUCCAUGCACACAAGCAUAUCUCAACUUUGUAGAAGUGAAGAUGUUUAUGUAAGUAAAAUGGCCAAGAAUAUGAUGGCAAAGUAUAAAAAAUAUUGGGGGGAUCAAGAUACACAAAACUUUUUGUUGUAUGUGGCGUUGUGUUAGAUCCACGUUUCAAAUUGAAGUAUGUGAGAUUUUGUUUUGGAAGAUUGUAUGAUGUUGAAGAGGCUGAAAAUUUUACAAUUAAGGUUAAAGAUACUUUGCUAAGGUUGUUUGAGCAUUAUAUGAAUGUUGAUGAGAAUGUUGAGGUGUUCAGUGUUGGAACUAGUAUAAAUGAAAAUGUUAAUGUUGAUUUAAUGGUGGUAAAUGAUGAUAUGUUGGAUGACUUUCUCAAUUCAAAAAACAUUUAGAGGAAGAAGGGGUGUCAAAAAAAAAAUGAGGUUGAGAGGUAUUUGGGUGAUGAUUGUGAGGAUCCUAAUGAUUUUAAAUUAGAUAUUUUGGGUUGGUGGAGGUGUAAUGCUACAAAAUACAAGAUUCUUUCUAAGGUGGCACAACACGUGUUAGCUAUUCCGGUAUCUACAGUUGUUUCUGAAGUAGCUUUCAGUACUGGUGGUCGUAUUUUAGAUCCAUUUCGAAGCUCUUUAUCUCCAUCGACAGUGCAAGCACUGGUUUGUUGUCAGAAUUGGUUGAGUUUAGCAUCAAUUCCAAUCAACAUCAGCAAUUACAUGGAUUAUAUUGAAAAUUCUGAGAUGAUUGAGUCAGGUAAUUUCUUUUACAAAUUUAAAUGUAGUUAUUUUAUAAUAUCAUUUAUUUACAUAUGUUUAAUCUAACUUUUUAAUUUAUGUUUUUGUAGAAUUUGGUGAAAGUUUAAAAAUCUCAACUGAUUGUUUGUAAGCAGUAUUGGUGGCUUGGUGCAAUUUUGGAAUAUAAUUAUUCUGGGUAAUUAAUUUACUUUACCUUGUUAAUUCCCUUUAACAUUUUUCAUACUUAAAUUAAUUCUUUCAAUAGUUGAACUCUAAUAUGUUGCUGAUUUGCUAGUGUUUUUUUUUAUAUAUAGCAUUAUCCUUACUAGAAUUUUUGGAUACCCAUGCUGCUGUUGCUGGAAUUUUUGGAUGCUAGUCUUGUGUUUUUUUUUUUCAAUUUAUGCCGGAUGUUUAUGAUAAUUUAUUGAUGGUUACUAAUGUAUUCGCUUGUUAAUGUUAACUUUUCUAGUGCGAACAAACUUUUAAUUUGAGGUGUUCAAAUUUGAUCAUGCAUCUUGCAUAUUGAAAUUGAUUUAUUGCAUUGCAUACAUAUUGAAAUUGAUUUAUUGCAUUGUAUCUGUCAAAUUAAAUUCAUGUCUAAAUUCAUGUGAAGAAUUAAAUGGUUUACAUUCCUUGGAUAUAUGAUUUUCUCAGCAUAGCUCAUUGCCUGCCUGUAAAGUGUAAAUCAUUUGAACAACUUCAGGCUUAUAAACCAGGAAACAAAACAUGAAAAAUAAAUUUAUUUGUCAUCAGUCUUGGGAUGCCCCUUGAAUUUGAAGUUGUCUGCAUAAGUGCAUAUGCAUUAACCUGAAAGGAGAAGAAAAUUCGGAGUGACCAGGAGAAGAAGAGCCUUGCAGAUGGCACUUCCACAUUGCAUGCAUAUUGAAAGAUAAGUGUUCACUGUUCAGUAGGGAAUUCCUGUUUAUGGCAGCCAAGCUGUGAAUUAAUUCAGGUUUCUGUAACUUUUAAAACUCAAUUUACUGUAAGGCUAAGUGAAUUUUAAAAAAACUGAAAAAAAACCCGGAUUUAAUGAAGGGAUUAGGUUUCCCGGUUUUUUCCAAAAAAAACCGGAUUCAACCGAACCAGACCGGCUCGGUUUGAACCGGUUUCCGGUCCGGUUCGGUUAAAAUUUAUCUAAAAUAUUGAAAUUCGGUUCGGUUGGUUUUUUAAGUCUAAACCGAACCGAAUCGAACCGUGAACACCCCUACUUUACAUCAAUAUCUUUAAGAGAAUUGCAAAUCAAUUUUGCACUGCAAUUGCUUUUCAGUUCUGGUAAAUAUCUCAAUCUUAGAGCUCUUAACUUUGGGAGUUUUAAUUUUGUGAUGGGACUCGAGGUGCUGCUUUCUUCAUCUGUUGUUCCUAUUAUCUCCUCCAUUUUAUCAUAGUACCUCACUUCAAUCCUUUCUAGGUUUACGAGGUUUGGCAGCACCACAAGUGGGAACAACCUCUUCAUACUUUUACAUCCAACACAAUAAAACUCUUUAAGCCCAGAAAACAUACCAUUAUAUGAUGACAAUGGUGGUGGAGCAGACCAGAACCAAGAAGAUGAAACCAAGCUCUCCAUGCUAUUGCAAUCCUCAAUGAUGAUUUCCUCUAGUUCAGUUGCAUUCUCUAAUGACAAAACAUCACAUAAACUUCUUGCAUCGAUGCGUUCACAAUCCGGAACUUGAAUGUCAUUUAAGAACUUGACCUGAAAAUCUCCAUCUUUGUUGAUACUCAAAUUACCAAACCCAACUGUUUUAUUUGGAAAAUCAUCCAUGUCUACCCAACAAUCCACCAUUCCUACUAAAAUUUUAUAUGUGCUUAAUGAAAUGGCAUUUCAAAUUUUCCAAAUUUCUCAACUGUUAUCGGAGCAUAACUAGUCCCCAUAAACUCUUCUAGUGCAAAGACUUGCAGGUGAGAGAGUUUUGGUAAUAUCCCACUAGAAAACUCCUUUUCACCACAUCCAUUCAUUCUAAGAUACCUCAGGUUGGUUAGGCAUUCCAUCCCUUGCGGCAUCUUUUCAAGUGCAGUACAAGAGAGAUUCAACCUCUUCAGUGCCUUGAGCUUCUUUAAUGAUGGAACAUGUCUUAAGUCCUCACACUUUCUGAGCAAUAAGGCAGCGAGACUCACCAAAUCAGAGAUAGAGUCUGGCAAUUUUCAAUACCUGUGCAAGACAGAUUGAGCCCAUGCAAUUGAUUGAAAAAUGUAGUGAUUGUCAAUUAUUUUAUCUUGACCACUGGCAAAAAUUUGUUAGUACAUGAUUUCUUGUAACAAAUUGCCACGUAUCACCAUACUCCCUGUUUUUUUCCUGCUGAAAUAAGUCUUUGGAUCUGUUUUGGUGGGACUAAUAUCAACAUAAAAUGAGUAUCCCUAUUUUUCAGGCAUCAGAAUAUUAUGCUCACUUGGUUGAUUUUAUAAAGGAGUUCUGAUGCCUGAAAAAUAUUAUGCUCACUUGGUUGAUUUUCUAGUUCCAUUAGGUGCAUAAAAAAGAGAUAGAGAGCUCAAAAAGACUUGAAAGAUCCUCGUCAAUUUUGGCCAAGUUCAUUGUUUUCAUGAUUAAAAAAGUGUAUAUUCGAGGUUAAUACCAUUGAUUCAAUGGAGGUUGAGGUCCAGGUAGCAUCGCAGGCACUUGAUUCCUCAUUGGUAACUGGUAAUUAGUCCAUUGUUGGUCCCUAAAUUAGCAACACUUGUUAGUAAUUUCUUUAUACAUAUGCAUAAUUCUUUACUAUUAAUCCACUAAGCAUUUGAUAUCAUUUUAGCUUACCUCAAAGGCAUUGAUGGUCCAGGUAGCAUGGGAUUGGCACAUCGAGGAUCAAAUAAAUUAGGAUGAGGCAGAUACCUAUAUUCAAAUAUAAUGAUAUUAGGCAGAUAAAUAGAACAACAACAAGAAGAAGUUAAAUAAUGAUGAAUAUUAUGUACAAGAAGAAUUUAAAUAAUGAUUAUUCUCACUUAGUUGAUUUUCUAGUUUCAUUAGGUGAUGCAAAUCAGGAGACUCUUGAAAGCUGAUUAAAGCUUAUUAGCUGUAGUUAUUAUUUUCCUAGUUAGCUGAUAGUUUCCGAGUCAGAUUAGUAUUAGAUCGUAACUCCUUAGCUGUAGGGUAUUUAAGAGGGGAACAGAACAGAAGAUGGGGCAUUAUUUGUAUUCUUGGCAAUUGCUUUCUUUAAAUACAAAUUGGAGUGAUUCCAUAGAGAUUCUGUAUUAAAUUAUUUAUUGUUCUUACAGAGAGCAACGAGAGGUUGUACCGGAGGGCAUUUAGAUUAAUAUGUGCACAAAAAAAGAGAGAGAGAGAGACGGAGAGCUCAAAAGAAGUUAAAUAAUGAUGAAUACCUUGUUGGAGUUUGAGGCCAAUUUGGUUCAUUUUGGUUGAUCCAUGAUGAUGAUGUUCCAUCUGAACCUCCCAUUGUUGUCUGUUUGUUUUAUAAUAAACAAUUAGAAGAUGCUCGAGAUAAAUAUUAUGUAGCAAAUUGGAGCACUCACAUUGUUCUGUCCACCUUGAUCAUUGCAUAAUAUGGAGCUUUGGUUGUCUGGAACCUCCGGUGGCGACCUGUUCUGUCCACCUUGAUUAUUGUUUUGUUGGGGAAUAAUAGAAAAAACUGAAGAAUAACUAAAUUGCAAGGAAUCAUUUUUUGAUAAAAUAUGCUUAAGAAUGACGUACGAGAGAGGCACAGGUAUAUUGAAUAUAUCUUCUAGUGAUUGAAGAUCGAACUCAUUUGAUGUCCAGUUGAUCAUGACAUCAUCCUCCGCAGAAGAUGGUGGGAACCCUUCCAUCUGAGGUUUAAAGAAGAACAGAUAAAACAGAUAAUAAAUAUAUAAGUGGGUACACCUUGUUAUAUCUAAGUCAAAAUAAAAGAAAAACAAAUAAAUGGUGAAAAGCACCUUGUUCUAUCUUAUAAUAUAAUAUUUGAUGGGGGUAUAUAUUAUAUUAUUACAAAUUACAAAUAUAACGAUCAUAACUAAGCCUCAAUAACUUGAAUACUUCCUUGUCCCUAAAUUCUGAUUCUCUCAAUUUGUUCAAUGUAUUUCUCCACUCAUAGGUCAUCCACUCCCCUCAAGUUUCCUGCCACUGUAAUAAUUCCCAAUGGCAAACCAGCACAUUCCCUUGCAACGUCUUUCGCAAUUCCUUCCAUUUCUGGUGAAAGUGCUAUAUCACGUCCAAGUUUCUCCAUGAACCAAGUCCAAGCUUCUCCUUUAGAAAGUGGCUUCACUUUGAUUUUGUGCUGGCAAGCCAUCCGAUGACAAACCGUUUCUGAUCGAGUUGUCAUAAUCAGCUUGCAUCCUUCUAACUUUUCAGGAAUUUCCACUUUGUGUAGCUCAAAAUUAUUCCACAAAUCAUCUAAAAUGAGAAGCUAUUUUUGUUUCUUCCUUAGUUCUUCUAACAAUUUGAGAGGUCUGAGAUGAACAUCAUCUUCACUUGAAAGGUCUAGAUCAAGAUGUUUAGCAAUAACAUUCUGCAAUCUAUUAAUGCUGAAAUCUUGAGACUUAGUCACCCACCAAACAUGAUCACAAAUAUCUGGUCUUUGUAGAAGCUCAUUAUGGAUAUGUUGCAGUAUGGUUGUUUUACCAACUCCCCCCAUCCCGUAAAUGCCAAUGGUUGGGACUUCAUCAUCCAUUAACAAAGACCAUAUCACCUUCUUAUUCUCUUCAAAUGCUUGACCCACUGGCUUUAUAGAGCUAUUAGGUAAUGGAACUCCUCUAGUCUUGUUGUUUUUCAGACUUUCAGAAGAUCUAGCUCCUGGGCCAGCCUGCACUACUGAUCUUCCACUAUUCUCAACGUACUCUUCCUCCACUGGUUGUGUCCUCACUCUAACCAUGUCCUGUGCAUCAUGCCUAUUUACAUCAUUGUUUACUAAUGGAGCACAAGGUUGAUCAUAACAUAUUCCAAAGUCAAGACAAAAUUGGGAUGCAUCUCCUUGAGGCUCCAAAAGCUGCACUUGCUCUGUUCUUGGUACAGUCUCAAAUGCAUCAUGCCAAAAAGAUCCUUCACCAGUGUUUUCCAUGCCAUUUUCCGCUUGUAGAUGCGAUUGAAUUCUCUGUUCUCCUGGAUCUUGUUCCAUGCCCUGAACUCCCACUUGUAUCCUUCCAAUACCUCCUCGCCAAAUUGCCGAGUACUGCAUUGCUUUGUUCCAACGAUCGAUCCACUGGUUCUGUCCUCAGUCUGCUCUCGAGUGCCCCUUCAGAAACUCUCUCUUCUUGUGCUCUCACUCCGGUCAUGCUUACUAUACGUCGUUUCCUGCUAUUGCAUGUGAAGAAAUCCUCUGUUCCCCUACUUCGGGUUCUAAAACCUGAACUUCUCUUUGUACCCUUCCAAUACCUCCUCCCAAAUUCCACAGUCAUUAAAAUUGAUUGAACUUGCUGUGAUUUUAUGUCCUUUUUUGCCAUCAUUCAUAGCUUUCCAGGCUGCUUCUUGAACUUCUGUAGUCACUGUUGCUACCCAAUUUUUGACCCAUGUUUUGAUAAUUUUUCAGAAAAAUCCAAAAAUAGAGAAAAACAUCGAAAAGCCAAAAAAAUACUUUUUUAAUAUAUUUGCGUUGUUUUUAGCUGUUGCUACCCAAUUUUUGACUCAUGUUUUGAUAAUUUUUCAGAAAAAUCCAAAAAUAGAGAAAAACAUCGAAAAGCCAAAAAAAUACUUUUUUAAUAUAUUUGCGUUGUUUUUAGCAUUUUCAGCGUCGUAAAAAAAAAUUUAAAUUUUCAAAGGUUUUUCGAACGCGUGCAACUUUUCACGCGUCAUUUUUAAUCAUUGAUUUUCCUCAUUGAGUCGACGUUGAUAUUGCUCAUUUUAAAAAAAUACAAACAAAUUAAGAAAAAUCAAAUUUACAAAAAGAAAGAAGUUGAGGGACCAAUUUUGAAAACCUAGCAAUAUUUUUGCCUAUAAAUACUGGUCUUCAACACACACAAAAGAGGGGGGGACAAUUUUGCACAUUCAGAAAAAACACAAAAAAACCUAACCCUAAACCUAAACCUAUCUCUAACCAAAAAAAAAAGAAGCCGCCGGCCCCCCAGGCUUUUGAUUUUUCCUUCCCCACAACAGCUAACCGAAAUCUCUAGCCUUCCACCAACUCCUCCUCCCUUGCCCUCUGCCAAACGGACAAACUCUCAGCCCCUCACCCCACACAAACCAGCCGCCCCACCCAUUCAGUUGGCCACUCUCUUUUCUCCAGCCAAAGCCAUCGCCCCCUUCUUCCUCUGGUCUCCCGACAAACCCAACAAUACCCUUUCUUCUCCGGACGACCGACCGCAACAACCCACACCGCCUCUCCGUCCGAUCUAUUCACUUCACAACCCGGAAGAAACCCACUAUCAGGCCCAAUCUUCCCCUCAAUAGCGUCUUCUUCGCCUUCGGUCUCUUCAACAGCAAUGGCCACAGACCAGCCAAGACCGAACAUCUAUUUCAACCGGUCGGUCGCAGAUCCACCCAUCAUCAACGACCUAGCAACGGCCACAGAAGACCAUCACUGCUAGAUCGGCCAUCAACAGAAGCCUAGUCGUCGGUGACCCCUUGGUCUUGCCGCCGCUGAAAUAGAGAAGGGAGAAGGUAGAGAAAUUGGAGUGAGCUAAAAAAGGAAAACUUAAACAGAUAGAAAAAAGAAAGAAAAUUAAAAUCGAUUGCCUUUUGUGUUUUUUUUUUUUGCAGAUAACGGUGGUUGUCACCACUGGCGAGGAAAAGAAGAGGGGAAGAAUUCGAUCCAGAUCCCCCCUGUUGCUGGGUUUUUCUCGUGGCAGUGGCACGUGGAGCAACGCGCCGCCACUGUUCCGGCCCUGCACUGUUCCUGAUUUUGUUUGAGAGGUUGUUUUUUUGUAACUUUAAGUUUGUUUAAUGUAAUAUAUUUUUAUUUUUUAGUUUUUUAUAAUUUGUACUUUGUAAAUGUGGAUUAAAAGAAAAGGAAAAGAAAAGAAACGAAACAAAAAAUAUAUAGUAAAAGUGAGUGUGUGUUUGGAUUUUCAUUUAUUUAUGUAUGUAUGUAUGUAUGUAUGUUUUUUUUUUAUGAUAAAAUCGCAAAGAUUAAAUAAGAAUUUAAUAUUUUGAUUUGCUCACAGUCUAGAAUUAUUAACUUAUACGUAAGUUGUAUUUCUAAUAUCUGAUGAAAAGACAAAAUUUUAAAACUUCUUUAACACGUCAAAGCCACGAAGCAACUUACCUCAGGUAGGGUGUGUGUUAGGGGUGCUAAUACCUUCCUUAACCACAACCAGUCCCUUACCCGUGAAUCUCUGACAAGACCAUUACACCCGGGUUUCCUAGUAGCCCUCAAUUAAAUACAAGGUGGCGACUCCAACGAACCAAAUCAAAGCAAACGCAUAACGAGAAAAAAUUGCCAGCCGACGCCGUGCGGGUGACGUGUGGCAGUCACCCCAAGACAAAUGUCAACACCACGCCUUCUCUCUCCUGAUAAAUGCCAUUUGAACCUUGAAAUGCAAAUUUUACUGGACCAUGUACGCUGACAAAACUUACACGUCAUGCUACCAUCAACCCUAUCUUCAACAUAAUUCCAAAAUGGAUCCUUCGAUCCACCCAUAGAAAAAGAAGGGGGGGGGGAGGGUCAAGGCUAGGAUGGAUGAGAAACUACUUCAUUGCUGUUACCUUAUUUUGCUAUUAAAAUUGAUAGUUAGUUUAUUGCAUAAUUAUAGGGGGGGAAAGACGAUGAAAAUUCAGUUAGACUUCUUACUUGUUGAGUAUUUAAAUCCCUAAUUUGACUUUGCAGGGAAUUGUCAAGGCUAGGAGUUGAUGCAUUUGGCAUAGCAGUUUGAUUUUGCAAUCCUGGGACUUGGAGGUUAUCCAUCUGUGACCUGUAUAAAAAUGAAGUGAUCAUAUUAUAAAACCUUUCGAUAAUUGGUAGUAUCUAAUUAUCAAAAGGGUCUUAAUACGUACUGUAUUAAAACACAACAGCUAGAAGUCACCUAGUAGAGUUGCCAAAGUGCCGAGGCCCGAAGUUCUGUUGUUGCAUAUUAUCUAUGUUAGGAAUUACUGCAGCUUGAUCGUCUUGUCCUUGAUUAGAAAGAAAUUGACUCCUGUAUCCAAAAUAAUUCGCAAGUAAUACAAUACGAGAUUUAAUAGUUUUACUGACGGAAUUUUUUCAUCGGCGUAAGACACAUAUUCCGUCGGUAAUUAAUUUACCAACGAAAUCACCAACAGAGAAUCUUUCAUCGGUAAUUUUUUGUCCGUCGGUAAAUCUAUUGGUAAUGAAAAAAAUUUAUUACUGAUGGAUUUACUAAUGGAACAUAAGCGUCGGUAAUAAUAUUUUUUUAUUACCAACGAAUUUACCAACGGACAAAUUAUAAAAUAUUUAAAAACAUUUUAAAAAAAAUCAUUUUAUAAAAUUAUACUCAAAAUGCUUGGAAAAAAAAACAAGAAAAUCAACUCAAACAAAUUUGCAACAAAUAAAUAAAAUGAAAAAAAAAAUUCAACUAAAAAAAUUCAUAUGAAAAAAAUGAAGUUGCAAUUGCUAAAAAUUUAAAAAUCCUAUAAAUAUAUCAACAAAAAUUGAUCUCAUAUGAAAAAAUAAAAUCUCACAACAACAUUUAUACAAUUAUUAAGAACAAAAACAAUUAAAAAUAAAAUAAAAGGCAAAUAUAGUGAAAACAAUCAUGAAAAAAGAAGAAAAAAGAAAAAUCUUACCUUAAUGUAGUUGCAAGUGAAGCUAAGGAGAGAUUUUUUUUUCGUAAAGCAUAUUAAUUAAAAAAAAAACUAAGAGGAUAAAAGAAGAAAGAAGAAGAAGACAUACCUGAGCAUGGAGGAAAAGAGAAGGAGAUGAGGAGAGAAAAGAAGACAAAGAAAUAGAUAUUGAUGUUUUUUACAUAUAGUGAAGAAGAAGAAGAAAUGAGUUUCUUUUUUGUGAAAUAAGGGGAUUCAGAUUUUUUAUUGGGGCACAUUAGCGACGGAUUUAUUGACGAAUAAUUGAAUAUUAAUAUUUUUUAAUUAUUUCGUCAGUAAUUCCAUCGGUAAUAUUUAAUAUAAAUUUUUAAUUUCGUAAAAAGCUUUCAGAAACCGCCAACAAUUAUCGAUGAUUUUUCAAUCCUUCGGUGAUUCCGUCUGUAAUAUUUAAAUGAAAAUUUUGAAUUACUUGAAUUUUUUCAGAAAACCGCCAAAUAAGACCGACGACUUUUCAAUUCGUCGGUGAUUUUGUCUGUAAAGAACAAGAAUUAACAGUGCAAUUGAAAAAGUGAACAGUUCUGGAGCUCUCUGGAAAAUACUGACGAAAAAUUCUGUUAGUGAUUUCCUUCGUAAUUGACAUGAUGAACAGUGUUCACAGUUUACCAAAGAAUUUACCGACGGAAUAAAUUCUGUCGGUAAUUACGUUGGUAAAAAUGACAUAUCAUCAUUUAUUGUUUUACUUUGUUUUAAUUUUUUUCCCCACUGUAAUUCCCUCGAUAUAUACCGAGGGAAUAUUUCCGUCAGUAAAAUCCCUCGAAAAUAUUUCCUUUGUAUUUAUCGAUUUUCUGGUAGUGAUAUUAAGCAUUACAAACUUAUGAUUAUCUUGCUGGGUUGCUGGGUUGAUGUCCAAGCUAUGAUGUUGCUUUCGUAAUUGAAAAACAAAUUUUUUUUAAUAGAAAAUACUAAAUAUGAAAAAUUGGAUACCGUGGAGCAGGAAAAGAAGGUACAGGUUGAAUGAAGCCACCAUGUUGUGAAGUGGUUGCGUUCGGUGUCAUAUAGCCAUGUCCCGGCUGAGGUUGAUGAAUAAAGGAAUUAUGAUGCCUUGAUGGAGUUGGGGGCCAAUUUAGUUCAUUUUGGUUGAUCCAUGAUGAUGAUGUUCCAUCAAAACCUCCCAUUGUUGUCUUUUUGUUUAACAAUAAACAAUUAGAUAAAUAUUUUUGUAUAAUACAAACACUUGCCAAUUCAAUGGACAUUGUAUCACAUUGGAGUAAGCAUGAGUACUCACCAUGGUUUCAGGAAAUGAAGUUAGAAACUUAGCUGUGUCACACGUGUGCGACAUCGUGGUGAAAACAUUCACUCUCGAAUUCUAUUUUUUAUGGAAAAUGUGUGGAGACAAGGAAUUCUUGCUCAAAACUGUCAUUUUUUAUCAAAACCGAGUCCCCCGGGUCAAUACGGGUCAAACCAUAUUGACCAGGGUAAAAAAUGAGUUUCCAUGACGUUUCGGGUCAAAACCGUCAUUUUCGAUCAAAAUCGUCAUUUUGGAUCAAAACCGAGUCCAUCGGGUCAAUAUGGGUCAAACCAUGUCAACCGGGAUAAAAAAUGAGUUUUCAGGUUGUUUCGGGUCAAAACUAUUAUUUUUCGGUCAAAACCCGGUUCACCGGGUUGAUACCCCUCAAAUGUUGUUUUCUGUGUUUCAAUAUAUAUUUUUUUUUUUUGCGGUUGAAAUGGGCUUUUUCUAAUACUGAUUUAAGUUUUUCAGUUUUAUUUAUAUAAUUAUUUAUUAUUAUAUAUAAUAAAACAAAAUUAAUAAUACAAAAAUUUAUUAUAGCGUCAGUUGCUGCGGUGCAUUAUUUUCCUUCGAAAUGAAUUCAUUGUCCCCUGCUCAUUGGCUAUAAAUAGCCACGACAUCAGAGGGAAAAAAAAAGAAAAAAAAAAGAAAGAAAGAAAAGAGAGUAUUACUAUUUGAAUUGUUUUUAGUUUUUCUUCACGAUAGUAAGAUAUUGUUUUUUAUUAAAAACAAGUUGAAAAAUAUCAAAAAUAUCCUAACCAUUUGAUCUAAUAGUGUUAAUUCUGGACCUUUGAUUUAAUAGGAUACAAUAGGGUUUACCAUACUAGAUUAAAACCCAAAUCCAUCUAAGCCUUUGAAAUAAUCUGCCUAUUGAUUCUAUCGUGCCAUGUCACCCGGUGUACCGAGCUUUCAGUGCAUCGCGCCACAACAGAUCAACGCUCAGCUCAUCCAGACCGUCUGAUCAACUUGCAGAUAAAGCCAAUCACAGCUGAAGGAUCAGUUCAUCCGCGAUCCAAUGGCUCACAACCUUCAGCUGCACCGGUGUCCCAUACUCGCGUUCACACCGAGCACAAUCUCGGAGCCUCUCUCUCCUCUCGACGGUGAUUCUCUCUCUCUCAUCCGAUCUCCCAUUUCCGGUCGUGUGAAGCUUUCAAACCACCACAGAAAGGUUGCUACCUUGCUAUAAAGCAAAACCCCGGCGGUUUUCAGCGUUUUCUCCGCCUCAUCUAGCCGGAAAACGACCGCGAUUUCGUCAACCACCCGAAACUUUAAACCGACGAUUCUCCCUCGUCAGCCAUCAACAGCCGUCGAAACCACCUUCAUCAGAAUACUCUCCAUCAGAUCUACUAGAAUCAACCAUUCGUUGGUUGGAAAUCUUGCCGGAAAAUUUCGCCGCCUCCAACAGUAACCGCGCGUGAGCCACACGCGCCACCAGGGGUAUUUUCAUAAUUUUCCAAGAAAUCCAAGGGUAUUUCAGUCUUUUACCUAUACAGUGGCACUCAAGUAAUUUUUUGAAAUUCCUAACAGUUUUUAUUUUAUUUUUAUAUAUAAGUAUUUGUAAAUUCUCUUGCAUGUAAAAAAAACCAAAAAAACCAAAAAUAAAUAUAAAAGGAAUAACGACGCGGGUCCAACACCCAUCUUAUCAUGUCAUCGUUCAUGGGUCCAAAGCCCAAUUAUCAAGUAUGGUUAUACCCAUUUCUCAACGAUAUCAAAAUAUUUUUUGUUUUAUAAAUGAAUAUUGUUUGUCGGCAUGUCUCUUUUUACAGAAAAGGACUGAUGUCAAGGAUAUUUAUACCAAAUAUGGAUUAUGUCCAUUAUUUCCUUUUGAUAAUCCAGACGUAACUCUCCUUUUUAGGGUCAAAUGUCAAUAUUUUAGACAAAUCUCCUAUUUUUAGGGACUAAUGUCAUUUUUAACGUGUCUCCUAUUUUUAGGGACCGACGUUAACCAUUUAAAAAAAAAACAAAAUUGCAAAUAAGCUCAAAAUAUAAUAGCAUUUGAAUCAAAUAAAAAACACACAAGUAAGGGUAACCUUUCUUUUGAAAGGAUGUUUUAAGGGUGGUGUCUACCUUCCCUUAAUCAUAACUAACCCAGUACCUGAAUCUCUGGGACCAGUGUCUAAUUUGGGAUUUCUAGUUCCCUCAUAUUACUAGAUGGCGACUCCAAUAAAAUAUUCAUUUCCCCCAAUCAAAAAAAAAAAUCUUUUUGUUAAAUAAACAAAAAAGCGGAGCCGUCGCCCGACGUCGUGUAUCGAUAGAAUGGCGACUCCGCUGGGGACCUAGGGUUGAACCAACUACUUGUGUGUGCUUUUCAUUUGUUUUUUUAUUAUUGUUAUUUAUUUUUUGAGCAUUUAUUUUAUUUGCACUAUUUAUUUUAUGCAAUAUCAAUUGUAAAUCAUUUCAUUUUUUAAUUACACAUGCAUGCAUGUUAUUUAUUUGUGUAUUCACACACUUCAGUGAACCCAUAAAAGCUCUGGACCCGAGCUCGUCCUUUUUAAGAUUAGAAAAGAAAGAUUCAGGUGGCAAGUGUGACUUAUGUCCACUGAUGCUCAUUUGGACUUUCGCUUGGAUUGUAACUCACCCUAUACAACGGGUAUUGUGGAAUUUUCUUCCCAUACUCAUGUUGUAUAAGGUUAAGAGGCCGACUACCCCAUGGGUAAUUCGGGCAAUCUAAGAACCAAAAAAUAUCUUUAGGGAUAGACUAAAUUGAGCCAAAUCUUAUGAGCUAGAUCCUAUCAAUUAGAUAUACCUUUUAGGACACAAACAAAUGUCAAUGCAUUAACAUACAUGUUUAUAUACAUUUCAUAUUCUCAUUAAAUCUCCACCGAUCCUUAUAGGAAGUGUGAGAAAAAAAACAUUACUAUUGAGGAAUUUUUGACCAGAUCAGAAUUGAACCAACAUGAUGAAGGGGAUUGUUUGCCAUCAGAAUAUAGCAUCAUAUUUCUCCCCUAAAUCGGUUCAAGUCCCUGUAGGUUUGGAGUCCUCAGUGAGAACUUUCUUAAGAGAAUCUGAUCUGGUCUGUUCCUCGUCAUAAGUUUAAAAAAAAAAAAAAUUUGAAACCAAUAACACACAUGCAUAAACCAUAUGGCAUUUUUGCAUCCAUUUGUGCAUUUCAUUUAGUUUACUUGCAUUCACUCAGGUUGAAAUAUAGGUCCCCCAAAAGGCCGUAAAAUUCAUUACACUCGACAACGAAGGAAGAUAAUGGAGAACGAAGAAAGGGCACACCUAGAGGCUCAUUAUCAAAGAGAGUUGGAGAACAUGAAAAAUGAUAUAGCACGACUUACAAGUCUACUCGAGCAGACCCUAGUAUCCAAGUCUGGGGAAGGUACCUCUACUCAGCCGGCAGUUGCAACUCCAUCUAUAUCUAUGCCAUCAGCUCCCUUUGUAUUCCCGCCUCAAAAUUUAGGGGCAAAUCCCUCUUCAUUUGAACAACAGUUCACUGCCAAUGUUCCACCAGCACAAGUGCCAGUUACUAUAAACCUGGCAACUGAUGACCCACAAAGGAUGAAAUUCUCUGAAAAUGUCGAUUAUGAUAAAUUGACCGCUCUAGAAGAGAGAUUGAAGGCAGUAGAAGGGGCAGACUUAUAUGAUCCUGUUUAUGCUGCAGAAAUGUGUUUAGUUCCAAAUGUAGUUGUACCCAGAAAAUUUAGGGUACCAGAAUUCAUCAAGUAUACUGGAACUGAAUGCCCAGUCACUCAUCUUAAAUCUUAUUGCAAUAAGAUGGCAGAAGUAGUGAAUGAUGAGAAACUUCUCAUCCAUUUCUUUCAAGACAGUCUUUCUGGAUCGGCAUUAAGCUGGUAUACAAGGCUGGAUAACACCAAGAUCAGAAAGUGGAAAGAUUUGGUAAAAGCCUUUGUGGAGCAGUAUAAAUUCAACAUGGAGGUAGCCCCGGACAGGUCAAGCUUGUUAGUCAUGGAAAAGGGCAGCAAAGAGACUGUAAGAGAAUACGCUUUGAGAUGGCGUGAAAAAGCAUCUCAUGUACAACCCUCUUUGUUAGAAAAAGAAAUGGUCACUCUUUUUUCUAACACUUUUAAAUCUCCCUACUUUGAACACCUGGUGGGUAGUUCGCUCAGCAUUUCUAUGAUGCUGUAACUAUCGCUGAGAGAAUAGAACAAGCGAUAAGAGCGGGGAGAAUGUCAGAGCCUACUGAGAAGAAAGGCUUUAUUGGGAAAAAGAAGGAUUCUGAGGUGAACAAUGUGGAAGGAGUGUAUAAGGGUAAGAAAACAAAUUACCACCAUUAUAACUUCCAAAUGCCUACCCAACAAGUUGCAAGUGUAAACUUCACUAAACCUUUCCCUACCAACCAACAAAACCAACCACUGACCAACAAAGUAACCAGAUCGUUAAUCCUCCAAGAAGGAAUUUUCAAAGAACCCAAGAACGACUGCCACCAUUACCACUUCCUUUGGGAAAUGUACUCAAAGUUGUUGAGUAUUGGGCAAGUAGCUCCCGUUCCCUUAACCCCACUGCAACCUCCAUACCCAAAUUGGUAUAAGCCAGAUCUGAAAUGCGAGUAUCAUGCUGGCGUGGCAGGGCAUAACAUUGAAAGUUGUAAUGCAUUUAAAAACAAGCUUCUACAAUUGAUAAAAGCUGGAUGGAUAACUUUUGAUGAUUCACCGAAUGUAAAUUCCAAUCCUUUGCCCAAUCAUGCCACAAGCAGUGGAGGAGUGAAUGCUGUAGGAAUGGAGGGUAAGAAGGAAAGAGUUUUGAAGGUUUCCAUGGAAAGACUGUAUGGUAUGUUGGUACAGUCUGGUUAUUUAUCUGAGUUUGAACCAGUGAUGAAUGAAAAUAACUACUGUAAGUUUCAUGGCAAGGUGGGACAUCACAUUGAUGAUUGUGAAGAAUUUCACCAAGAAGUGAAAAGGAUGCUGACUUUCGGCAUGUUAAGGAUAGAGAGUGAAGAAGAGAGUAGUGAAGUUGGGAUGAUAGGCCGUCAGGAGACAAAAAUGGAAGUUUGUAGACUCCAACCAACUGUGGGUGGUCCACCAAAACUAAUCCUGACCAAGCCUGUAUGCACAAAUAGUGAAAGUUAUGGCUCAAUGCCUUACAAUUAUGGGUAUUCUUUCAACAUUAAGAACCCUACUCCCAUCUUUCAUCCUGAAAUCGGUGGUUUAACUCGAAGUGGUCGGUGUUUUACACCAGAAGAAUUAGAAAGGCAGAGGAAAGCCAAAGGAAAAGAGAUAGUUGAUGCUUUUAAAGGCAUGGAAGUGAACAAGCCUAUAAGUGAAGACGAGUCUAAUGAGUUUCUGAAGUUGAUGAAGCAUAGUGAGUAUAGUGUGGUGGAUCAAUUGAAGAAAACUCCUGCUAGAAUCUCUUUAAUGUCACUUAUCUUGAGUUCUGAGUUACACCGUAAAGCAUUGCAAAAGGUGUUGAAUGAAGCAUAUGUGCCACAGGAUAUUACUCAAGAUACAAUGGAACAUUUGGUGGGAAGAAUUCAAGCCUCUAAUUACUUAUACUUCACAGAAGAUGAGCUAGACUCGGAAGGGACUGGGCAUAACAAGCCUUUGUACAUCACCGUGAAAUGUAAAGACUAUUUGAUCGGCAAAGUGCUUGUGGAUAAUGGUUCAGCGUUGAAUGUGCUACCAAGGCAUAUAUAGAUGAGAUGCCAAUUGAUGCUACUUACAUGAGACCAAGCACAAUAACAGCUAGAGCAUAUGAUGGUUCUCCUAGAAGGUGAUAGGGGCCAUUGACAUUGAAUUGUUUAUAGGGCCUCAGAUGUUUUUAUAACCUUACAAGUGAUGGACAUCCAUCCUUCGUAUAGUAUGUUAUUGGAAGGCCAUGGAUACAUGCCGCUGGGGCUGUGACAUCAUCUCUACACCAAUGUUUGAAGUACAUUAUCAAUGGUACUCUAGUGAAAGUUAAGGCAGAAGAAACCUUAUCCACGAUAAGGAAUGUGUCGGUCCCUUAUAUUGAAGCAGAAGAUUGCAAAGAUGGAAAUCUCCAUGCUUUCGAGAUUGUGAACACUGAAUGGGUACCAGAGAAUACAUGGUGUUAAGAAGACCAAUUAUUUCUGAUACUGCCAGAAUGAUAGCUAAAUACCUUUUGAAAUAUGGGCUACCAUUCUAGAAUGAUCCAAUUGCUGGAAAUCUUAAGAGAGUCAACAUAAUGAAAAUUAAGGCUGCUGAUCAGAAUUUUGGGCUUGGCUUCAAGCCUAAGAAAGAGGAUUGUUGCUACCCAAUUUUUGACCCAUGUUUUGAUAAAUUUUCAAAAAAAAAAAAAUAAUAAAAAAAUAAGGGUUUACAUGUGGCGAUAACAUAGAGCAUCAGGGCUAAUAUUAAGGGAGCAAUAUGUUUAGGAGAUAAUUACUGAAUCAUAUAUAAUUACUGCAAUAUAAAAUACCAUAGAUAUAUGAUUUGAUUUGUGCUUGUUAGGGAAAAUAAUCACUGCAAUAUAAAAUACCAUAUAUAUGGGAUUUGUUGGUGCUGAUUAUAGAAGACAAUCUCUGCAAUAAGUAUUGCAAUAUUUCCUUAAAUAACACGUGUAGAGAUUUUCUGUAUAAAUGAACAUCCAGUCAUAAUAAAAGAGAGGAGGAGAAAAUUUAGAAGGGGAGCAAUUUUAAAAAACAAAAAAAAAGGGGCAAGCCACAAAAGAGAAAACCUAUUUUUUUUCCUCCUGGCCGAAGCCAAGCCGUGCCUCCACCUUUGGCCUUGCGAUUUUGUUUUUUUUUUUACACAGAGACCAACCCCUCUCCCUUGGAAACCGACCAAAACCAGAUCCCCCUUAGCUGCCACUUUCUCCCCUUGGCCAUUUCAUUUUCCCUCUUCAGCCGACCAUUAGAGCAGCAGCCCCUCUCCUUUUGCAACCAAAACCAAAUCUCCUCCCUCACUUCUUCUUCUUCUCCCAGACCCACAGACACUCGGACACAAGCCUCUUUUCCCCUGUCUCAGCCGACUUAGAGCAUCCGGCCACCACCUCCUCAUCUCUCUCUAUCAGUUGCAGCCCCUUCGCUAGACCUUAAUACCCCAGCCUGCAACCACCGUAAACACCAUUUACAAGCCUUCCCUCUCUGUCAACACAGCCCACAUAGCCCCCAGAAACGACUCUCCACUCAUCUUUUUUUUUCCCCUCAGUUCAACCCCGCUUGAUAACAUUCACUACCAGAAAAUCGCUAAAUACCAACGGACAUACCGACGGAAUUUUUUCUGUCGGUAUUUUUCGGCCGAAAUCACCGACGGACAAUAUUCGUCGGUAAUUCAGUCGGUCAUUACCGACGAACUCCGUCCGUCGGUAAUUACCGACCGAAUUACCGACCGAAAAUUCAGAAUUAAUGAAAAAAGGGCGGGCAGUGGCGCGGAGGUUUUGGCGGGUGAUGUUUCCGACGGAAUCACCGACGGAAUUAAAAACUGGGGCCCGUACGCGUGAUGGGACCUAUUCACCGUCAAAAAAUACCGACGGAAUCACCGACGGAUUUGAAAUGCCAGAUCCGUACCGGUGAUGUGACGGGUGCACCGUUAAAAAUACCGACGGAAUCACCGAGGGAUUUGAAUAGCAGGUCCGUGCGGUGACGUGUCGAUUGCCCGUUAGAAUUACCGACGGUUUGCCGACGGAUUCACCGACGGAAUCCGUCGGUAAGUCCGUCGGCAAAAGUGAAUAUAUGGCACUCUGCCGACACUCUCCUCCCCCAUUUCUCCUUCUUCUUCCUAAUCCUAACCCUCCCCAUCUGCAAAAUAACCAGCCCCCCCUCGCCCCAAAACAAAAAUUUCCUCAUCUCAGCACAACAAGUUGUUUUGUUUUGUGGUCACAGCAUCCGUGUUCUGAUUUACCGACGGAUUUUAUCAUUUUUUGUAAGUAAUUCUAUCUUUUAAAAUUUUAACAUUUAAAUGUCAAUUUUAUUGUUUUUUUAGUAUAUGUAUUAUUUUUUUUUAGUAGAUGUACAUGUUUUAUUGUUAUUUCUCAAACAAACUUGUAGUAUAUGAAUGUAUAAUUUUAUACUUGUUAUGGUUUGUUUUAGAUUUUGUAAGAUUGUAUUUGUUUGAAAAUUGUUAAAACUUAAUUUGUAGAAUUACCGAAUUACAUGUUAUGUUUUGAAAUAAUUAAGAGCUUGCUUAAUUAAUGGGUCCUUUUUAUAGAGGUUCGAUAGAAGUCAUGGAUGAUCGUUCAUGGAUGUAUCUAGAUUCACCCCAAGGAUUGCGGAGGAUGGAUUAUUGUAACGGGGUUCAGGGUUUUAUUAAUUUCGCAACAUCUAUUCCCAGAAAUUUUACUGGAGGCGGUAUUAGGUGUCCAUGCAGGAAGUGUCAAAAUAAAAAGUAUCUGCAUCCAGAUGUUGUAAUGAUGCAUCUUCUACACAAAGGGUUUGUGGAGGAUUACGAGUGUUGGUAUGCACAUGGAGAGGUAUUUGUUAGUAAUAGGAGAAUGGGAGAAACGGUGGUUGGGUCAACUUCUAGUGCUAGCAACGUGCAUGAAGCGGCAAAUGACAACACUAAUCCUUACAGAAACAUGGUUAUGGAUGCAAUGAGAAUGAAUCAAGAUAAUGUCAAUCAAUGUCCAAUCGUAGAAGAAGAACCUAAUGCAGAGGCAGCUAGGUUUUUUGAUUUGUUGAAAGAUUCUGACGAACCAUUAUGGGAUGGCUGCACAAACCACAGUAAAUUAUCGGCUGUGGCACAGGUGUUCACCAUCAAGUCAGAUCACGGGUUGAGUGAGGCCGGGUAUGACAAAAUUAUUGAUUGGGCAAGAAGCAUUUUACCAGAAGGGAACAGGCUCAAAGAGAACUUCUAUGCUGCGAAGUCCAUGAUGAAACCCCUCGGUUUAGGAUACCAGAAAAUUGACAUGUGCCCUAACUUCUGCAUGUUAUACUACCUUGAAAAUGCUGUGAUGACCGAGUGCAUGACAUGCGGGCAUUCCCGUUACAAACCCAGAACUGGCAGGGGGAAGACUCUAGUGGCAUAUAAAAAACUUAGAUAUUUCCCGAUCACACCUAGACUGCAGAGGUUAUUUAUGUCACCAAGGACUGCUGAGCACAUGACAUGGCACCAAACACACGAUGUCGUUGAUGGUGUGAUGGUGCAUCCUUCUGACGGCGAAGCGUGGAAACGCUUUAACAGUGUUCAUCCUGACUUUUCUGCUGAAUCAAGGAAUGUUCGACUUGGGUUGUGUACAGACGGGUUCAACCCAUUUGGGUCAUUUGCUGCUCCCUAUUCUUGUUGGCCGGUCAUUCUCACAGUUUAUAACUUGCCACCGGGAAUGUGUAUGAGGCCGGAGUUCAUGUUUCUAUCUACUGUCAUACCCGGUCCAAGCAGCCCGGGGCGGAAUAUAGAUGUUUGUCUUCGACCGUUGAUAGAUGAGCUGGCGCAGUUGUGGUCCUCCGGAUCUCUGACUUAUGAUAUAUCGAGGAAACAAAAUUUCCUUAUGAGGGCGGCUUUGAUGUGGACUAUCAGUGAUUUUCCAGCUUAUGGAAUGCUUUCUGGUUGGAGCACGCAUGGGAAACUCGCAUGUCCAUACUGCAUGGAAAACAACAAGGCAUUCACGCUAGCAAACGGAGGUAAAGCUUCUUUUUUUACUGUCACCGUCGCUUCUUGCCACUUAAUCACAGGUUCAGAAAGAACAGAAAAGAUUUCUUUGUUGGUAGAGUUGAAAAAGAUGUUGCAUCCCCGCGUCUUUCUGGUGAAGAAUUGCAUCAUGUUGUAUCAGAGUACGGUGACAUUGUGUUUGGCCUUCAAUCAGGUAAGCAAAAGUUUCCUGGUUUUGGUUUGACCCAUAAUUGGGUAAAGCGAAGUAUCUUUUGGGAGCUUCCGUAUUGGAAGACUAAUCUUCUCCGCCAUAACCUUGACGUCAUGCACAUCGAAAAGAACGUGUUUGAGAAUAUUUUCAACACCGUCAUGGAUGUGAAGGGGAAGACAAAGGACAACAUGAAGGCUAGAUUGGAUAUAGCUUUAUACUGUAACCGUAAAAAUAUGGAGUUGGUUUAUGACGAGUCACGGGUUGCAAAACCAAGGGCAAGCUUCGUGUUAGAGAAAAACGCACAACUGCUAGUCUACAAAUGGCUUAAGAGUCUGCGUUUCCCGGAUGGACAUGCAUCGAACAUAUCAAGGCUUGUUAACAUAGAGGACUGCAGAUUGUAUGGAAUGAAGAGCCAUGACUGCCACGUGUUUAUGCAAACACUCAUCCCAUUAGCUUUUCGUGAUUUGUUGCCAAAGGGAAUAUGGGAUGCACUAACGGAGAUCAGUCAUUUCUUCAGAGAUAUAUGCUCCAGCAAGAUGAAUGUUGAGCACAUUGAGAUGCUUCAAACGAAUAUCAUCGAGACACUAUGCAAACUUGAGAUGAUAUUCCCUCCUUCAUUUUUUGACUCAAUGGAGCAUCUCCCUAUACAUCUACCGUUCGAGGCAAAAGCUGGAGGACCGGUCCAGUAUAGAUGGAUGUACCCAUUCGAACGGUGAGAUAUUACAGUUGCAAUGGAAUUCAUAUCUUAAAGUAUUUUCUAUGUUUUUCUUAUUUGAAAAUACUUGAAUUGUACUUCAAUGCAGGUACUUGUUUAAUCUAAAAAAAAAGGUUAAGAACAAGGCGCAUGUUGAGGCUUCGAUAUCUGAGGCCUAUAUUGUUGAAGAGAUAUCAACAUUUAUCUCGUACUAUUUCGAACCUCAUCUGAGAACAAGAAUCAAUCGCGUUCCACGGCAUGACGAUGGCGGUGAAGUGCCUUCCAGUGGGAACUUGUCAAUAUUCUCCAAUACUGGACGACCCACACCUAAAAAUGCCGUAAGAGGAAGAUAUUUGUCGGAAAUAGAAUUCAAACAAGCACACAACUAUGUUCUAUUUAACUGUGAUGAGCUGAGACCAUUUAUUCAGUAAGUCUAUAUAUGUGUAAUAGUAAUUAAACUUUGUCAGUAAUAUACUGUUAAUUAUAUAUUGUAAUAUCAUACACUCAUUAUCACUUGCAGGCAACAUCGACAAUAUUUGCUCUCCAAUAACUCGCAGCUGACCGAAUCCCAGAUCUUUCAAUUACAAGAUGAACAAUUUGCCACAUGGUUCAGAACACAUGUAAGCACUAUCACAAACUCAUUCUAACGUAUGCAUGUCAUUACGAGAUUCUCGUUCAUUUACCGUGUAUUGAUGUACAUUUAAUUACAUAUAUUUACAAGGUUUAUCAAAUGGGAAGGAGUGCGCCCAAGUCAUUGUCUUCACUAAGCCUCGGCCCUGAAAGAAAAGUUAAGUGCUACAACGGGUAUUUUGUCAAUGGAUAUGUUUUCCAUACUGAAGAAUACGGGCAAGGAAGAAAGACAUACAACUGCGGUGUUUGUGUUAAGGGAUCCACAAGUAGCCAGUUAGAAGUUGACUACUAUGGUAGAUUAGAAGAGGUCGUCGAACUGCAAUAUCAUAGCGAGCAGAAUAAAGUGUUUUUAUUCAAAUGCUAUUGGUAUGACACGACGGACAGAGGAAUCAGAGUUGAUCCGCACCAUGGUCUGGUCGAAAUCAACUCAAAAGCUAGACUCCGCAACAUAAACGAUGUCUUUGUUUUCGCAAAGCAAUGUCAACAAGUUUAUUACACAUACACCCCUUCAUUUAGAAAGGAUCGUUCAAGAGUUGAUUGGUUGUCCGUUUUAAAAACGAAACCACGGGGUCGUGUCGAGGUUGUUCAGGAUGAGAACGAAGACACAAGUGUGCGAGAUGAAGUCUUUCAAGUUCGUGAGUUGGUUGAACCAUAUCGAGUUGCUCCUUCGAUUGAAUUGGAAGAAAAUUCAAAUUUUCGAGUUCUCGAUGAUAGUCUUGUUGAUAUUGACGGAGAGGAGUUGAAUGUUGUUCUCAGCUCUAGCGGACAAGCAAAUGUCGAUGAAGAAGAUGAUAUCCAUAUUGAAGAUUGCGAUGAAGAUGAUGACAAUUCAAUUGAGGAAGAAGAAGAAAAUUCCGACUAAUUAUGAAAAUGAAGCCCUAUGUAAAAACAUUUGUCUCAUGUAAUUUAGAUUAUUGAUGAUGUAUUUUGUAAAACAAAAUAUUUUGUUUAAGCAAUGUGGUUUUGUUUUAUGUGAUGGACAGUUUAUCAGUUAAGUUUUGCAGGAAGGUAAACAGGCAAUACAAAGACAACCUUUCCUGCAUAAUGCAAUACCGACGUCCAUGCCGACGGACUCACCGUCCGUCGGUAUCUCACAGAGAGUUCGAAAAUAUUUACAACAAAAUGCCACAAUGACCGACGGCCAUGCCGACGGAAUAACAUCCGUCGGCAUCUCACAGUAAGCUCGAAAACAUAAAACCACCAUCGACGGUAUUACCGACGGCGUAGCUCCGUCGGUAAUUUGUCGGUUACCCAUUUUACCGACAGAAUUACCGACGGACCGCGCGUUUCCCAAAGUGCGUUAAUUAAUGCGCCCCUGAACUUGUCAGAUUACCGACGGAAUCACCGACGGACUUCGAAAAUUUUGGAGGGCUUUUAAAAAUUCGGGGCGAAAUUCGAAAAAUACCGACGGAAUUUUGACCUUUUACCGACGGAUUUGUAACCUGUUACCGACGGAUGUUAAUUCCGUCGGGGAGUCCGUCUGUAAAAUUGACCUAUAAGUUCCACCCCCGCCACUUCGCCUCAUUUUUUCUUCUUCUCCCCGCCGCUUCUUCUCUUCUCCUGCGUUUUUCAGCCUAGAUUUUUCAUUUUUUCCCCCUCAAUCCUUAAACACUUUCACCUUUAAUCUCUAGCAAGAUUUGGUGUUGUAAAUCUUCAUUAUAUUAAAAGGUAUGUGUUUUUUUUCUAAUUUAUUUUAUUUUAUUUUUAGUUGUUUUUAUUUUUGUUGUGUUGGUGUUUUUUGUUGCAAUGUAGAUAAAGUUUUGAAUUUGACACAUUAUUAAGGUAUGUAUAUUUCGUUCCUUUUUUUUUUGAAUAUUUUUUGAAUUUGUUGAAUAUUUGUUAAUUUAAUUGUUGAAUAAUUGAAUUUAAUUGUUGAAUUUCUUGAAUAUUUUUUGUUGUUGUGUUGUUAGAAUUUUUAUUAGGUAAUUUAACUUAGAAUUAGUUAAAGUUGAAUUUUUUGAAUAUUUUUUGAAUUUUUUGAAUUUGUUGAAUAUUUGUUAAUUUAAUUGUUGAAUAAUUGAAUUUAAUUGUUGGAUUUAUUGAAUAUUUUUUGUUGUUGUGUUGUUAGAAUUGUUAUUAGUUAAUUUAACUUAGAAUUAGUUAAAGUUGAAUUUUUUGAAUAUUUUUUGAAUUUGUUGAAUAUUUGUUAAUUUAAUUGUUGAAUAAUUGAAUUUAAUUGUUGGAUUUAAUUGAAUAUUUUUUGUUGUUGUGUUGUUAGAAAUGUUAUUAGGUAAUUUAACUUAGAAUUAGUUAAAGUUGAAUUUUUUGAAUAUUUUUUGAAUUUGUUGAAUAUUUGUUAAUUUAAUUGUUGAAUAAUUGAAUUUAAUUGUUGGAUUUAUUGAAUAUUUUUUGUUGUUGUGUUGUUAGAAUUGUUAUUAGGUAAUUUAACUUAGAAUUAGUUAAAGUUGAAUUUUUUGAAUAUUUUUUGAAUUUGUUGAAUAUUUGUUAAUUUAAUUGUUGAUAAUGAAUUUAAUUGUUGGAUUUAUUGAAUAUUUUUUGUUGUUGUGUUGUUAGAAUUGUUAUUAGGUAAUUUAACUUAGAAUUAGUUAAAGUUGAAUUUUUUGAAUAUUUUUUGAAUUUGUUGAAUUUGUUAAUUUAAUUGUUGAAUAAUUGAAUUUAAUUGUUGGAUUUAUUGAAUAUUUUUUUUGUUUGUGUUGUUAGAAUUGUUAUUAGUUAAUUUAACUUAGAAUUAGUUAAAGUUGAAUUUUUGAAUUUUUUGAAUUUUUUGAAUUUGUUGAAUUGUAAUUGUUAAUUUGUUGAAGUAUAAUUUGUUGAAUUUAUUGAAUUUAUUUUUUGUUAUAUUUUUUAUUGUUUUGAAUAUAAUUAUUGAUUAAUUUGUGAAUUGUAAUUGUUAACGUUGAAUUUAUCUUAGGAUUAAUAGUUGAAUAUGUUGGAAUAAUUAGUAUAGAUUGGUUCGAUUGGUUGUGGCUAUUGUUAAUAUUUGCAGGUUUGUGGAUUUGGGUAGUAUCUUUUUUAACUUUUGAAUUUUAUUUUACAAUUAUUAAUAUAAAAUUGUUUAGAUGCGCAAAAUGAAAACCAGAGCUGGUCGUCAAGUCGAAUCAAGUUCGUCUAGCAGCGAUGAUGAUGUUUCCUUAGGUGCCUCUCAAAAAGAGGCACCUACACCACCUGCGCCGUCAACCGAUGCUGCCUCUUCCAGCAAUGUUUCACAUCGCAGACGCGGCAUGCCUUCGUAGCGGAAUCAAUUUACCCGCCAGUUCGAGGCACAGUGGAAGGACGAUCUUUCAAUGUAAGUUUGUUAAUGUUUUAGUUUUUUUUAUAUAAAAAAAACAAAUUUAAAACAUAAUUUAUGAAGUAAUCACAAAUUAAUUUCAUUUCUUUUCAGGUUCACAAACAUUGAGGCCGCCCGAUUAAUAUCAUCGGCGUUUAAAGCGUCGAUGGAGAUUCCAUUGUUUCAAUGGAGUCAGAUAUCCAGACAUCCUGAAUGGAUGCCUCAAAUCAAUGCAUGGUUUCGUAGAUUUGAGGUUCGUGUUAAUAUAUAAUUUUCAGCUUAUUUGUAAUUAUAAAUUCAUGUUAUAAUUGUAAAUAAAUUAUUAACAUUUUAAAAAAUUAUUUUUUUAUAUACAGCAUCGAUUCUGCUGGGACGAUGAACAUGACAGUGUUGUGAGGAGGGUGUGGGAAAAUCACGCGGCAAUUAGGUAACAUCGAAAACAAUACGACUUUUUUUUACAUAAUUAUUUAUGUUUUGAAAUGUAAUUUUUUCGUGCGUGAAUUAGGUUGCGUGAUUUUUGGUAUGACGCCCAGAAAAAAGCAAAAAAAACAGCGAGGGAUAAGGGGUUACAAGGCUGGAACGAUGUUGCGGUUUGGAGGGAUUUCAAACCAAUAUACAUCCCGGAAGAUAUAUGGCCGCACUAUCUUCAGCACGUGACGUCUGAGCGGUUCACUCGACGCUCACAGUCCGGUGCCGGCAACCGGAAUCGGCAAAUUCAUGGCUCGGUUACAACGCACACCGGCGGCUCCGUUCCGUUUGCUGCACAUGCAAAACGGAUGGUAAGAUUAAUUUAAAUGAAAUAUAUCGUUCAAUUAAUUUGUUGUUAAUACAUUUUUUUCAUUAUAUAUAGGCUACGUCUCUUGGACGUGAGCCGAGCCCUAUGGAGCUGUUUGUGGAGACGCACGUGCGGAGUCAUGACCGCCAAAAGGGGACGCAACAGUUCGUUGACAACCGUGCUCAAUAGUUUGUGGUGUGUUUGUUUAACCAUUUUAUUUUGUAAGUUAUUAUUAUGUUUAUUGAAUUGAAUAUGUUUUUUUUUUUUUCAGGAGACCUAUAAUAAUCGGUUGAGGGAGAGAUACGGGGAUGAUCCUUCGACCCAUCCGGAAUUCGAUCCGGAUUUGUGGAUGGAGGCUGGAUCGUCAGGUGGACCCGAUAAAAAUCGGGUUUACGGGCUCUCCAACACUACCGCUGCCAAGUUGCGGUCGACCGGUACUGCUUCAACCGGUGGGAGCUCCCAAUCUGUAUCGAGCUCCCAAUCUAAGGAGUUUGUGGCCUUGCAGCAAAGGUGCGACCACCUAUCAGAGGCGUACACACAACUCAAAGAAGAGCAAAGAUUGGAACGAACAACGCAGAGCAGAGUCUGAACAACAAAGAGCGGCCUAUGAAGAGCUUCGUCAAAUGGUCAUGAACAUGACACAAGCGGAACAUGUGCGCCUAAUCCUUUUUGGCCGCCUAACCCCCACCCUCCUCCUCCUCCUCCUCCUCCUCCUCCUCCACCUUUAUAUUAAUUGUUUUUUUUUUAAACACAUUCAUUUUGUAAUGAAUAUUAUUUAACUUUGAGUUUUUGUUGCUUAAUAUAAUUUUAUUUGCAUAAUUGGUUUGUAUUACUAUUAAUUUAUAUUAUUUUUUCUAAUAAUUAAAAAAAAAAAUUACACAGGGAUUUACCGACGGAAUAAAUCCGUCGGCAUUGGACAGUGUCUGAGGUAUGCCAUCCCAUCACCGACAUACUCACCGACGGAAAUAAUCCGUCGGUAUAAAAAUACCGACGAAUUUACAGACGGAUUUAUUCGGUCGGUAUGAAAUAUCACCGACACUUUUGCCGACGGAGUUAGUCCGUCGGUAUUUACAUAACACCGACGGAAUGUAUUCCGUCGGUUAUUCCAAGCGGGAAACUUUUUUUUUGGCGCGCACAGGCCGUCGGUAAAACCGUCGGUAAAUGUGUUUUUUUUUAUUACCGAUGGAUAUAGCGACGGAAUGUGGAAUCACCGACAAAAGGUAUUCCGACAGGAGUAUUCCGUCGGUAAUAUAGUCGGUAAAUAAUUUACCGACGAACGUUCUGUCAAACACCGACGGAAAAUUUCCGUCGGUAAAACUGUGAAAUCUUGUAGUGGAAUCUCUGAAAUACCAGUUAGGUUUCUUAGUGACCAAAAUACUAGGUGGUGACUCCAAAGAACCAAAUCAAGCAAAAACGCAUAACGAGAAAAAUCGCCAUCGGAAGCCGCGCGGGUGACGUGCUUGUUUGAUCAAAAUUUAAUCAACAAUGCUUGUUUGAUCAUGAUAUUGUGUUGUUUUCCUUUUUCAACUUUUUAAAUCGAGGUUCCAAAUGUCAAUGGGAUUUUAUCUUUUUUUUUUUAGCCAAACUUUUCCCUUUAAUGAGAUCAUGCCUUUUCAAAAGUUCAUCUUGGUGGUUUUACACAUCACUUUCUUUUUCAAAGCGAAUCUUCCAUAACUACACCUGCACUUUACACUGAGAAUGAAUGGCCGGACUUUAAAGAAUCCAUAUUAGUUAUAGAGGAGGAGGAAUGAUAGGAAAAUAACAUUAGGGGAUUCACAAAAAUUAAUAACAUGAACAAGCUUGAAAACCUGCUAGAGAGGAGCUUGAAACCAUAGAUGUGGGUGAUGAAGAAAUCAAGAGAGAGUUGAAGAUACGGACUUUGAUCACCCUUAAAAAAAGAGAAGAGUUAUGUAGAUGUUUUUGCUUGGUCCUAUAAGGAUAUGCCUGGUUUGUAUAGGGUACCACUAGUAGAAGGAUGGAAGUUGGUUAAGCAAAGGUUGAGAAGGACUAAUCCGAAUAAAGGCAGAAAUUGAAAAACAGUGGAACGCCGAUUUUCUAGAAGUAGUCAAGUAUCUGCGAGUGUGUCCAACAUAGUGGUAGUAUCUAAAAAGGAAGAUAAAAUCAGAGUUUUUAUGGACUUUAGAGAUUUAAAUCGGACUAGCCCUAAAGACAAUUUUGUCUACCACACAUAGAUAUGUUUGACAAUGUAGCACGUAGCUCCACAUAUUCCUUUAUGGAUGGAUUUUUGGGCUACAAUCAGAUAAAAAUGACUUGAGGAUAAUGAGAAGAAACCUUUGUAACACCAUGAGGAACCUUUUACUAUAAAGUCAUGCCAUUUGGGUUAAAGAACAUUGGGGCCACCUACCAAAGGGCCAUGGUAACUUUAUUACACAACAUGAUGCAAAAAGAGGGUUAAAGUAAACGUGGAUGACAUGAUCUAGAGAGGGAGAGAAUCAUGUCCAAAUAUUGAAGGAAUUAUUUGAAAAAACUAAGGAGGUACAAAGUUGAGGCUUAACCAUGCAAGGUGUUUAUUCGGGGUGAAAUCUAGGAAGUUGGGAUUUAUGAUGAGUGACAAAUGGAUAGAAGUGGACCUUGAUUAAGUAAAGGCUAUUCAAUCUAUGCCAACUCCCAAUACUAAGAAGGAUGUAAGGAGGUUAUUGGGAAGGUUGAAUUACAUUGCUCGGUUUAUAUCCCAAUUAACCAUGACUUAUGACAUCAUCUUCAAUUGUUAAGGAAGAAGAAUCUUGGAAUUUGGAAUAAGAGUGUGAAGAAGCUUUCGCAAAAAUCAAGCAAUACCUACCGAAUCCACCCCUAUCUAUCAAGCUAAAUUGCAAAAUGGCAAGUUCUACUAGCUGAGUACGACAUAGUAUAAAUGACAAGGAAAGCCAUGAAUGUCAUCACCAAUCACCUAGCUGACCAUGCUGUGGAAGAUUUUGAGCCGUUAAAAUUUGAUUUUUCUGAUAAAGAUGUGCUUUCAGUUGAGGAAGGGAAAUCAGAUUGGUGGAUUAUGUACUUUGAUGGUGUUGUGGUAACGAAGUGGGGGCAGUGCUAAUCUCUCUUGAUAAGAAACAUUAUCCGGUUUCAGUUAAGUCGCAGUUUGGGUGCAAUAAUAACAUAGGAGUAUGAAGCUUGCAUUCUCAUUUUAGAGGUGGCAUUGGAGCAGAAUAUUAGAAAGAUAGAUAUGUAUGGAGACUCGAUUUUGAUUAUUACUAAGAGAAAGGAAAAUGGCAAACCAAGGAUGAGAAGUUAAGACCUUACUAAGAAUACAUGUCUAAAUUGGCUAGAGAAUUUAAGGAAAUAAAGUUCACCCAUCUAGAAAAGGAAAGAAACCAUUCUAACGCUUUGGUCACGCCAGCUUCUAUGGCUAGAAUAGACUUUGGGCACAAGGUACAACCGGUACACAUUGAUAUAAGAAAUAACUUAGCUCAUUGUUGCUCCGUUGAAAGAGAAAUAGAUGGAAACCCUUGGUACUAUGAUAUCAAGAAUUUCAUCCAAAACCAGACAUAUCCCAUGGGGGCAUCCAAAAUCAACAAGAAGACUUUGAGGAGAUUGACAAUGGAUUUUUAUCUUGGUGGGGAAACUUUGUAUAAGAAAUCAUAUGACGGAACUUUGUUGAGAUAUUUGGAUGACGUAGAGGCAAAAGGUGUUAAAGAAAUUUAUGGAAAGAGAUUUGAUAUGUCGAUAUGGUCCACUAGAAAAUAUUAUAACUAAUAAUGCGCAUAACUUCAAUAGCAAGAUGAUAAUAGAACUCUGCGCUAAAUGAAAAAUUAAGCAUUCCAAUUCCUCGCCAUAUAGGCCAAAGAUGAAUGGUCCAAAAAUGUCAAGAAGAUCAUUUAGAAGAUGGUAGUCACUUACAAGGAUUGGCAUGAGAUGUUGCCAUUUGCCCUUCACGCAUACCGCACCAUAAUCUGAACUUCAACAGGAGCCACCUCGUACACUUUGGUAUAUGGAAUGGAGGCGGUGAUGCCUUUAGAAGUGAAAACCCCCUUAUUAAAAAUAUUGGUAGACUUUGAGUUUAAAAGAGUUGGACUGGGUAAAAGUUAGAUAUGAAUAGUUGAAUCUGAUCAGUGAAAAGAGGAUAGCUGCAAUUUGUCAUCAUCACGGAUGGCCAAAUCAUAUGAUAAGAAGCUUCGACCUCGAGGAUUCCAUAAAGGAGAUCUUGUACUGAAGAAAAUAUAGCCUUUAUCAGGAGAAGAUCAGAGUAAAUGGGAAGCAAACAAUAAGGGCCCUUACAUGGUGAUUAGUACUUAAAAGUGCAUAUUUAUCAAGGUUUUGUAUCAUCAUUUUGCACUUAAAGUAUCAAUAACUCCUUAAUUAAAGCAUGUUUUAUAAUAACAAGUCUAAUACUAUAAAAUGCCCUAAUAUAUGGUAAAUGUUCAUCUUAAAUGCAGGCUUAUCACAUAAAUCAAAGGAUUGAUUGAUGAAUUCAACUACUGAAAUUUUGAAGAUAAAGAAGAGUGAAGCUUAGAAAAGAGAUAUUGGUGUAGUCCAAACUGGAACACUAUUCGGUAUUUGGGUCAUAUCUCGAGUUCUAGAUGUAAAAAUGAUCUCAAAUUUUUACAAAACCUUGGUGAGACAUAGGCCUACAACUUUCAUGUGAACAUAAAAAUCUAACAAGGCCGUUUUCAAGUCCAAAUCAAAGCAACAACGGAGAAGUCCGAAUCUGUCCUGUAGCCCGUACACUGUUCAGUGUUUGGCCCAUAUCUGGAGUUCUAGAAGUCCAAAUUACCUCUACUUUUUUUUCCUGGAAAGCUGUGUCAAUUUUCUACAACUUUCAUGUUUUCCAGUGGACCCAGUUCGGAUGGUAGCAUUUUUGUUUUAUUUAGAAAAGAAGAUAAGGAUUUUCACCAAGUCAAAAGUUGGCACCCACUCAACAAUUAGUCAUCAAAUCAAUAAUUCCGAAUUUUGGCCUAUAAAAGGAGGCAUUUGCCAUGUAUUUGGUGGCUUGGUUGUUCAGAUCAAGCUCAUGCUCUUUAUUUCUCUCUUUAUAUUUUUUUUUGUAAUUCUUAAGUUUUGUUUUCAUUAAUUUCUUGUUUAUGCUUUUCAUUUCCUUUCCUUUCCUUUCCUUAGUUAACUUGUAUCUUAUUUAUGUUCUUGUUUUGUUUAUUUAUGUUUCUCUUCUUCAUUAUGUUUAGCUAAGUUUAUUAUGUCAAGGUGAAAAGGUUACACUAAUGGUGUAAGAACAAGUAUGGUGUAAACUCAAUAUGGAUCUUAAUGUUUAAUAUUAACAUGUCUUAUCUUUUUAUCUUACUAAUUCUUAAUACCUUGCUUGUUAAAUGGUUAAUCUAGAUUUGUGUUGUAUAACAUUUGAUACAUCAAAUGCUUGGCACUCUCAUAGCCCAACAGUAUGGUAUUACCUACACCUGGGCUAUGAAAAUAACUUGAUUUGUUGUUAACAUCAGUUAAUAUCAUGAAUUCCUGACAAUAUUUAAAAGUUUGGUGUUAUGUAAUUAAGAUAAUUAAUAUGAUCAUGUUAAUAAUUUAUAAUGAGCUAUUAAUGAGAAAUCAUUCGAUUGGAACCUCCUUUGUGUGUGGUUUCCAGUUGAAUCAUAAGAGUUUAUACUAUACUUGUUUGAAAUACCAUUGGUGGAUUCUCUAACCUUGACAUUUGUUUUUAUCAUUGUUAAUCCUUACAUUAAUCUUUCAUCUCAAAGUUCUCAUUAAUUUCUUCAUCAUCUUCUUCUUCUUCUUUUAUUAUUAUUAUUAUUAUUAUUAUUACUACUACUACUACUACUACUAUUAUUAUUAUUUACAUUCUGUUUAUAUUAUAUAAUAUAUCUCUUUGAUCUUUUCAUAAACUUAGUAUAUAGGCUGGAAACCUGUGACCCGAUCUUUUAGAUCAUUCUCAGGUAUAACAACGCCACGUACUGAGUAUUAUUAUUAUUGUCAUUAUUAUUAUUAUUAUUAUUACUAUUACUAUUAUUAUUACUAUUACUAUUAUUGUUAUUAUUAUUGUUAUUAUUGUUAUUAUUGUUAUUAUUGUUGUUAUUAUUAUUGUUGUUGUUGUUGUUAUUGUUGUCUUGUUAUUUAUAAUUUAUACAAUUAACCUCUCUGUGGUUCGACCCCGGUCUUGCCGGGUUAUUUAUUACUUCGACACUCCUGCACUUAAGAGAAGACAUCAAUCUUUUGGUCGUGUCAAGUUUUUGGCGGCCAACUUUUGACUUGGUGAAAAUCCUUAUUUUCUUGUCUGAAUAAAACAAAAAUGCUACCAUCCGAACUGGGUCCUCUGGAAAACAUGAAAGUUGUAGGAAAUUGACUCAGAUUUCCAGGAAAAAAAAAAAACAUGGAGGUGAUUUGGACUUCUAGAACUCCAGAUAUGGGCCAAACACUGAACAGUGUUCAGGCUGCAGGACAGAUUCAGACUUCUCCGUUCUUGCUAUGAUUUGGACUUGAAAACGGCCUUGUUAGAUUUUUAUGUUCACAUGAAAGUUGUAGGCCUAUGUCUCACCAAAUUUGUGUAAACAUUUGAGGUCAUUUGGACAUCUAGAACUCGAGAUAUGACCCAAAUACCGAAUAGUGUUCCAGUUUGAACUGCACUAACAUCUCUUUUCUAAGUUUCACCCUCUCUUUAUCUUCACAAAUUUCAGUAGUUGAAUUCAUCAAUAAAUCCUUUGAUUUAUGUGAUAGGCCUGCAUUUAAGAUGAACAUUUACUAUAUAUUAGGGCAUUUUAUAGUAUUAGACUUGUUAUUAUAAAACAUGCUUUAGUUAAAGAGUUAUUGAUACUUUAAGUGCAAAAUGAUGAUAUAAAACCUUGAUAAAUAUGCACUUUUAAGUACUAAUCACCUAACCACACACAGAGUUUAGCUUUGGUUAAAGGGAAUCGCCAAAUGGGAUUUCAGGUUAACUAAGUUACACACCGACUUUGCUUUAGAUUAAAAGAGAUUGCCAGAUGAAAUCUCAGGUUAACCCAAUCAAAAGGGUAGGUUGCCCGUGAAAAUAGACCAGCGUGCGUAUGUGGGCAGGUCGCCAUUGAAAAUAGACUAGUUUUGAGUGUGUAUGAACAAGUCAUCUAUGAAAAUAGGCAAAAUUUUCUUUAAAAAGUGAAGUCCUUAAAUGAGUGGAUCACUCAGCAAUCAAAGAAGACUUUUUUUUUCCCUUUCUUCUUUACAAGCUUACUAUGCAAAACAUUAAGGAGUUUUGCUUCGUAAGCAUUGUAAAGAGGGGGCAUCUGUUGCUAUCCAAUUUUUGACCUAUGUUUUGAUAAAUUUUCAAAAAUAAAAAAAAUAAGGGUUUACAUGUGGCGAUAACAUAGAGCAUCAGGGCUAAUAUUAAGGGAGCAAUAUGUCAAGGAGAUAAUUACUGAAUCAUAUAUAAUUACUGCAAUAUAAAAUACCAUAGAUAUAUGAUUUGAUUCGUGCUUGUUAUGGAAAAUAAUUGGGAGAUUGAAGAAGCCCAGUUGUUUUCAAGAAGUAAUGAAUAAGCGUCUGCUUAUAUUUGCUUUUAUGUGCUUUGUGUGCUUUGCUUUGUGUUUUUGUACCUAGUUGAAAAUCUUGGCUCAAGAUGUCAACAUAAGGUCUUUUCAUAAUUAUUGAGUCAGCUUUUAAAAUAAUAUUGAGAUCCUGUAUUUUCUUCAACAAUUGUUAUCUUCUUUUGUUUUGUUUGGCUAUAAGAUACGCAUUUACACUAAAAACACCUUCUGCUUUCAGGAAUUCUGAAAGUGAAUCCUCCAUAAAUCCACAAACAUAUUGCAUUGAAAAUGAAUGGCCAAACUUUGAUAAAGAUGAGAUUGCAAUGGACGAAGAGGAAUGGAAUGAAGAUUAUAUGAAAGAGUUUCCUAGAUAGGUAGAACAGUCUGAGCAUGCUUGGAAACCUACAAAAGAAGAAUUAGAGGUGAUAAAUGUAGGCACCGAGCAAGAUAAAAGAGAGCUAAAGAUUGGAACUCUGAUUACUACAGAAGAAAGAUGCAGUUUAACCUCAUUACUACAAGAGUAUAUGGAUGUGUUUGCCUGGUCUUAUGCAGAUAUGCCUGGUUUAGACAUUGAUAUUGUAGUACACAGAGUGCCUUUGAUAGAAGGAUGUAAACCUGUCAAGCAGAAAUUGAGAAGAAUUCGCCCGGAUAUUCUACUCAAGGUCAAGGCAGAGAUAAAGAAGCAGUGGGAUGCUGGUUUUCUAGAAGUCAUUAAAUACCCUCAAUGGGUAUCGAACAUAGUGGUUGUACCAAAGAAGGACGACAAAAUCAGAGUAUGUGUAGACUUCAGGGAUCUAAACAAAGCUAGUCCAAAGGAUAAUUUUCCUUUGCCUCACAUAGAUGUCUUGGUAGACAAUGCUGCUAGAAGCUCAACUUAUUCCUUCAUGGAUGGAUUCUCCGGGUAUAACCAGAUUAAAAUGGCUGAAGAAGAUAAAGAGAAGACCACUUUUGUCACACCAUGGGGAACAUUUUGCUACAAAGUGAUGCCAUUCGGGUUAAAGAAUGCUGGAGCCACAUAUCAAAGGGCAAUGGUGACACUUUUUCAUGAUAUGAUACACAAAGAGAUUGAAGUGUAUGUGGAUGACAUGAUUGCCAAGUCUACGAAUGAAGAAGAUCACGUUCAGAUUCUAAGAAAAGUAUUUGAUAGACUAAGGAAGUAUCAUUGAAAUUGAAUCCUGCAAAUGCUCAUUUGGGGUGAAGUCUGGAAAGUUGCUAGGGUUUGUAAUAAGCAAUAAAGGAAUAGAGGUCGAUCCUGAUAAAGUGAAAGCAAUUCAAGCAAUGACAGCUCCUAAAACCGAAAAAGAAGUAUAUUGCACGAUUCAUAUCUCAGUUAACAGCAACAUGUGAGCCAAUUUUUCGAUUGCUUCGAAAAAAGAAUCUUGGUACUUGGGACAAAGAUUGUCAAUAAGUUUUUGAUAAAAUAAAGCAAUACUUACAGAAUACACCUUUAUUAGUGCCACCUGUGCCUGGAAGACCUUUGAUCUUGUAUUUGACAGUAACUGAGGAAGCAAUGGGUUGUGUGUUGGGACAACAUGAUGAGUCUGGAAGAAAGGAGCAAGCUAUCUAUUAUCUGAGUAAGAAGUUUACCGAUUGUGAAUCCAGAUAUACUAUGAUUGAGAAGCUAUGUUGUGCUCUUGUAUGGAGCACGAAGCGUCUUCGACAAUAUAUGUUGUAUUAUACCACUGGUUGAUCUCAAAAAUGGAUCCUCUUAAAUACAUCUUUGAGAAACCUUACUUGUCAAGUCGAAUAGCAAGGUGGCAAGUAAUGUUGGCCGAGUAUGACAUUGUAUACAAGACAAGAAAAUCCGUAAAAGGAAGUGUAAUUGCUGAUCAUUUGGCAGAUAAUGCUAUCAAAGAUUAUGAGCCUUUGAAAUUUGACUUCCCGGAUGAGGAUGUGUUGAUAGUAGAAGAAGACAAAGAGAAGAAUGAUUGGUGGAUUAUGUAUUUUGAUGGGGCAGUGAAUGUAUCUGGCAAUGGAGCAGGGGCUGUGAUAAUCUCACCUGACCAGAAGCAAUAUCCCAUCUCAAUCAAACUACAAUUUGAAUGUACCAACAAUACUGCUGAAUAUGAGGCUUGUAUCCUUGGGUUAGAAGCUGCUUUAGAGAUGAAAAUAAAGAAGCUUGAUGUCUAUGGGGAUUCAAUGUUAAUAAUCUGUCAAGUGAAAGGCGAAUGGCAGACCAAAGAAGAAAAAUUGAUCCAUAUCAACAAUAUCUCUCAAAACUAACUGAGGGCUUUGAUGAGAUAGAUUUACCCAUAUGGGAAGAGACAAAAACCAGUUUGCUGAUGCUUUGGCAACCUUAGCUUCUAUGGCCAAAAUUGAUUACGGAAUCAGGGUACAACCAAUCCCAUUGAGAUUAAAAAUUUUCCAGCUCAUUGUUGUUCACUUGAAGGAGAAAUAGAUGGGAACCCAUGGUUUUAUGACAUCAAGCGGUUUAUCCAAUAUCGAGAAUAUCCCUUGGGGGCAUCUAAAGCAGAUAUGAAGACCUUGAGAAGGUUAGCCAUGGAAUUUUACCUGGAUGGAGAAAUUCUAUAUAAAAGAUCAUUCAACAAAACUUUACUAAGAUGUCUAGAUGAAAUCGAAGCUAAGGUAGCAUUGCAAGAAAUUCAUGAAGGAAUUUGUUCAACUCAUGCAAGUGGGCACAUGAUGACUAGACAAAUGCAACGAUCUAGGUACUUCUGGAUGACCAUGGAGAAAGAUUACAUCGAUUAUGUCAGAAAAUGCCAUAAAUGUCAAGUGUAUAGUGAUAAGAUAAAUGCACCUCCAGCUCCUUUGUUUAAUAUGACAUCAUCAUGGCCAUUUGCAAUGUGAGGAAUAGAUAUGAUUGGUCCAAUCAACCCAAAGGCCAGCAAUAGGCAUCAAUUUAUCUUAGUAGCCAUUUAUUACUUCACAAAGUGGGUGGAGGCCAGCUCUUAUGCUCAUGUAACUCAAAAAGUGGUCAAGUGCUUCAUUGAGAAAGAUUUGAUAUGUCAGUACAGUUCACCUGAGAAGAUAGUGACCGACAACGCCUAAAAUUUGAAUGGAAAAAUAAUCAUAAAAUUAUGUGUGAAGUGGAAAAUUAAACAUUCAAACUCAUCUCCUUACAUACCAAAGAUGAAUGGUGCUGCCGAAGCUGCAAACAAGAAUAUCAAGAAGAUUAUCCAGAAGAUGAUAGUCACUUAUAAGGAUUGGCAUGAGAUGCUUCCUUUUGCUCUGCAUGCAUAUCGUACAGCAGUAAGGACAUCCAUUGGAGCUACACCUUACUCAUUAGUAUUUGGGAUAGAAGUAGUGAUGCCUUUGGAAGUAGAAAUUCCAUCUUUGAGGGUAAUAAUAGAAUCUAAACUAGAAGAAGCUGAAUGGGCUAAAGUGAGAUAUGAGCAGCUAAACAUGAUAAGUGAGAAAAGGUUGGCUGCAAUUUUCCAUCACCAGUUAUACCAAAGAAGGAUGGCCAAAGCAUAUGACCGGAAAGUCCGACCAAGAGAAUUCAAAGAAGGGGAUCUUGUACUAAGAAAAAUCUUACCAUUACCAAGUGAAGACCGAAGCAAGUGGGCACCAAACUAUGAAGGCCCAUAUGUAGUGAAGAAAGCAUUCUCCGGAGGAGCUCUGUUGUUAACUAGGAUGGAUGGAGAUGAUUUACCUAGGCCUGUGAACUCUGAUUCUGUGAAAAAGUAUUAUGUAUGAUGUGUUUCAUCCAAUCAAAUCAAUGAAGUUUUGGCCAGGAAAUUCUCUUUGCAUAUACCUCACCAAAAAGCCCAUGCAUGAUCUCAAUGGCUCAACAAUUUGAUCUUUCAAACUUUUUUACAGGAGAAUCCAUUCUUCUUAAAUGAGGUUUUAAAAGAACUGAUUUUGUUUGUGAUUUCAAUGAAAUAAAUCAAUGAUUUUGUUUGGAAUAAUGUUCAGAACAAUUCCCUUGAAAGAGAUGACCAAACAAGUCAAAAACAUGCAAUUGGAACAACUAUCACCCAAAUUAUGUCUUGGAUCCACAUUUUAUCAGCAUGAAUAAUGGUUGGUAGUACAUUAGUUUGUCAUGGACUCCAAAACAUGGUAUCUUACAAAUCCAAAGCAUUACGGGAUGUGGACAAAGUUUAUUGGUUUUAACUGAUCUUACUUGAAAUGAGGAAAGGCCAUCUUUGAUAUUCCUUUCACUUUCUUUAAAAUUAUCCUUUGCAGUCCCAAUUUGAGCCGAGUCUAUUUAAAGUUUUUUUCUUUCACAAGAACCUUAACUAAGAUCACACCCUACACUAGGGGGCAAAAAGAGAAAUAUGAUUAAGAAAUUGUCUUGAAGGCAUGUGAGCUUAUAAAGAAAGUCUGACAACAAAGAAUUCAAUAAAAUUCCAAACAAUUGAGAGAAUUCCUAACAAAUAUGGGAAUAACAAAAAAAAACAGAAGUUCCUCAUUUGGAAUAUUUAGCAUCAUUUUUGUUGUCAAGGUAGCAAAAAAAAUGCCAAGACAAGAUAAUAGUGAUCUAUAGUUUAUAAGCCCUUAAACACUUUUUUGAGCUUAUGGAAUACUCUUUCUUUUAUAGCCUUGAGCCAUAAAAUACAUUACGUGCCUUUGAAGUCCUUUCUAAUCAAGUAAGCAACCUGGAUCAAUAAACGGCGUUCUCAAAAUAUAAGAGACUUUUCCAUAAAGAGUCAUGGCGUAGCAAAUAAUUACUCGUUAUUAUUCAUGCUGUUAAAAAGAGUGUUUCUAAAAUAAAGGCAAAUUGUUUCUUUUCUCUCACCUUCAAGCAAUCGCUUGAACACUUUGAAAACCAAAGCAGAAGUCAUCUCAUCACUUACCUUCAUCUUAGAUUACUUUUACUAAGAGAUUUGACAUAAAGCCCAGAGUUGCCUGAACAUUGUUAUAAACAGACAUUGAGAGUUUCAGUUUUCGAGAACAAAACAGAUCUUUUGAAAAAUCAUUUUUGAAAAAAGGUUUUCUUUGUAAGAAAAAUGAAUAUAUGGCACACUACGGCACCAUUAGAAAAUCAGAGAUUCUAAUGACAAACAAGAGCAAAGGAGGAAAUGAAUGAGGCAGUUAAUUCUCCCAGGGGGUAGAGAAGCAGUUACCAGAUCCUUAAUGGCACAAAGAAAUUUGCUUCCCUAGUGGAAAAUACACAUGAUAAAACUGUGGACUUCUUCCAGCAUGAGGACUGAAAUAGUAUGAUUUGCAGUAUCUAUGAAAGGAGAUUGUUGACUCUCACAAUAUGAUCAGUUAGACAACAAGAUAACUGAUACAUCUUCAGUAAGAGAAAUGCAGAUGAAAUCCCAGGUGAAGCGGGAUAAUCCUCAUAUAUUGACCAUAUGAAUUGGUUAAAGAAUCUUCAAUAAUGGGAAUGUUGCCUAUAGAACAAUGUCGGGCCAGGGAGAAGCUAAUUCUUCAGUGAAGUUACCAAUAGAGAAAAGUGCAGUGACUGUUGGGAAACUCAAACAAAGCUUAUCUUAGAAAAUGAACAACAUGGGUCGGCUUGAGUAGAUUUGAAGUACGCGUAAUCAAAAGAGCUCACUAAAAAUCAAGAUCCUUAAACAAGAUGAACGGGGAUCUAUAUUUCAAAAACAGGUAAGAUGCACUGCAUAUCUUCUAACUUCAUGAGAAUUGCACAUUUGUUUUGCAGAUAUUUCACGAAACAAAAUUCCUAACGGGAUCCAACGAGAUUCAGAUGAAAUGAAGUUCUUCUAAAUCACAUCAAAUAUGACAAUGCCACAAAAGCAAAAUUCAUGAAUGUAGACAAGAAACAUGGAUUUUUAUUCAUGGAAAAAGGGUUUACAAGUACAAACGUUAAACACUGCGAGGACGAUUAGGGAUAUUUUCAUCUUGAUGAUUAAGCAUUACUCGAAAUUCCUCAAAUUGGUUAAUUAUGCGCUCCAUCCUUUCCUCGAACUCGAGGUGUCGUGUGUUAACAUAGUCCCUCCAAAAGUCAGCAAGUGCAUUGAGCUCUUGGUUUCUCCUCUCCAAUUCGUUUUUGUGACGUCUCUCAUCACAUAGUCUUUUCCUUAAAUUCUCAAUUUGAUUAUGGAGCUCAGGAAUUUGAGUAUUCAACUCAAGUUUUCUGGCAUGAAGACACUCCGCAACGUUCACCAAAGACGAAGUUGCUCUGAGACUGAGAGCAAGUGACUGAUUCACUACUUCAAUAUCGGUCCUGGCUGCCAGCAUCAUUUCAUCACGAGGAAGGGUCAUGUCUCUAGCCACGGCUAUAGCAAUAUCUUCGUUGUCCAUUACAGUAUCCGCUAUUGUAACUGGACGACCAUUCACUUCAAAGGUAGUACGCCAAACUACAGGCUCUACAGCAGGAACAAGGUCUGGAUUAGCAUUGGAAGAAGAGGAAGACAUGGUUAAAACUUCAAAAGUUAAGAACUUUGAAAUUAUUGAAAAUGGGAGAAGUUGAUGAUGUCUUUUGCCAAAUACUACGUGAUUUAUAAGGAAUUUGCUCCUACCAUCAUUUUGAAUAGAAGCUCAAAUCUUAGUAGUACAUAUAAGACUUUUUGAAGAAGCUUUCAUCAUUUCUGAGAUCGAUUUGCAAAUCAGAUCUCAGCCGUACAUAUAAGACUUCCUUAAGAAGCUUUCAUCAUCUUUGAGAUCGAUUUGCAAAUCAGAUCUCAGCCGUACAUAUAAGACUUUCUUGAGAAGCUUACAUCACCUUUGAGAUCAAUUUACAAAUCGGAUCUCCACCGUGCAAGUAUGACUUCCUUUAGAAGUUUUCAUUAACCCUGAAACCAAUGCUGAAAUCACUUUCAUGUAUUUCACAAAAUCAAUGCUGAAAUCACUUUCAUGUAUUUCACAAAAUCAAUGUUGAAAUCACUUUCAUGUAUUUCACAAACAGGUUGGUCACCUAGAAAAUAAGACCAAUGCUGAAAUCACUUUUAUGUAUUUCACAAAAAUAAUGUUGAAAUCACUUUCAUGCAUUUCACAAAUAGGUUGGUCACCUGGAAAAUAAGACCAAUGUUGAAAUCACUUUCAUGUAUUUCACAAGAACAAUGUUGAAAUCACUUUUAUGUAUUUCACAAACAGGUUGGUCACCUGGAAAAUAAGACCAUUGUUGAAAUCACUUUCAUGUAUUUCACAAAACCAUUGUUGAAAUCACUUUCAUGUAUUUCACAAACAGGUUGGUCACCUGGAAAAUAAGACCAAUGCUGAAAUUACUUUCACGUAUUUCACAAAAUUAAUGUUGAAAUCACUUUCAUGUAUUUCACAAACAGGCUGGUCACCUGGAAAAUAAGACCAAUGUUGAAAUCACUUUCAUGUAUUUCACAAAAUUAUUGCUGAAAUCACUUUCACGUAUUUCACAAACAGGUUGGUCACCUGAAAAAUAAGACCAAUGCUGAAAUCAUUUUCACGUAUUUCACAAAAUCAAUGUUGAAAUCACUUUCAUGUAUUUCACAAACAGGCUGGUCACCUGGAAAAUAAGACCAAUGUUGAAAUCACUUUCACGUAUUUCACAAAACCAUUGUUGAAAUCACUUUCAUGUAUUUCACAAAAUCAAUAUUGAAAACACUUUCAUGUUUUUCACUUGGGCAGGUCGCCUAGAAGAAUAGACCAACUGAAAAAUCUGUGUAUUUUUCAACACCUACAUCGUUUUUCUUUACAAAACUUACUAUGCAAAGUCAAAAGAAAAUGAAUUUUCCAAUGUCUUUGCACCGUAAGCAUUGUAAAGAGGGGGCAACUGUUGUAACCCAAUUUUUGAUUCACUAAGAUUUUCUUGAAUGUUAUUUUAUUUCUAUUAUUAUUCAUGAAAUAAAAAAAAUUUAAGAAAAAGUUUAAUAUUCAUUUUUCUCGAGUCAACCGCAUCUUUCCAUAAAAAAAACACCGAUUUCACAGGGUCAAUACAGGUCACACCAUGUCAAUCAGGGUAAAAAAAGAAUUUUCAUGACGUUUCGGGUCAAAACCGUCAUUUUUGGUCAAAACCAUCAUUUUUUAUCAAAAACCGAGUCCACCGGGUCAAUACGAGUCAAACCAUGUCGACCAAGGUAAAAAAUAAGUUUUCAUGACAUUUCGGGUCAAAACCGUCAUUUUUUAUCAAAACCGAGUCUACCGGGUCCAUACGGGUCAAACCAUAUCAAUCGGGGUGAAAAAUGAGUUUUCAUGACGUUUUGGGUCAAAACCAUCAUUUUUUUAUCAAAAUCGAGUCCCCCGGGUCAAUACGGGUCAAACCAUGUUGACCAGGGUAAAAAAUAAGUUUUCAUGACGUUUCGGGUCAAAACCAUCUUUUUGGUCAAACCCCUUAAAUGUUUUUUUUUUGUGUUCCAAUAUAAAUUUUUUUUUUUUUGCGGUUGGAACAGGUUUUUUCUAAGACUGAUUUAAGUUUUUUUGUUUUAUCUAUAUAAUUAUUUAUUAUUAUAUAUAAUAAAACAAAAUUAAUAAUACAUAAAUUUAUUAUAGUAGGUGGGUUAGUUGAUGCAGUGCAUUAUUUUCCUUCGAAAUAAAUUCAUUGUCCCCUGCUUAUUGGCUAUAAAUAGCCACGACAGAGGAAAAAAAAAAGAAAAAAGAAAGAAAGAAAGAAAAGAGAGUAUUACUAUUUGAAUUUUUUUUGUUUUUCUUCACGAGAGUAAAAUAUUGUUUUUUAUUAAAAACAAUUUGAAAAAUACCAAAAAUAUCCUAACCGUUCGAUCUAGUAGUGUUAAUUUUGGACCUUUGAUUUAAUAUGAUACAAUAGGGUUUACCACACUAGAUUAAAACUCAAAUCCAUCUUAGCCUUUGAAAUAAUCUGCCUUUUGUUCCUGUCGUGCUACGUCACCCGGUGUACCGAGCUUUCGGUGCACCGCGCCACAACAGAUCAGUGCUCCGCUCAUCCAGACCGUCCGAUCAACUUGCAGAUCAAGCCAAUCACAACCGAAUGAUCGGUUCAUCCGCGAUCCAACGGCUCACAACCUUCAGCUGCACCGGUGUCCCAUGCUCGUGUUCACACCGUAGCACAAUCUCAGAGCCUCUCUCUCCUCUCGACGGUGAUUCUCUCUCUCUCAUCCGAUCUCCCAUUUUCGGCCGUAUGAAGCUUUCAAACCACCACAGAAAGGUUGCUACCUUGCUAUAAAGCAAAACCCCGGCGGUUUUCAACGUUUUAUCCGCCUCAUCUAGCCGGAAAACGGCCGCGAUUUUGUCGACCACCCGAAGCUUUAAACCGACGAUUCUCCCUCGUCAGCCAUCAACAGCUGUCGAAACCACCUUCAUCAGAAUCCUCUUCAUUAGAUCUACUAGAAUCAACCAGUCGUUGGCUGGAAAUCUCGCCGUCUCCAACAGUAACCGCGCGUGAGCCACACGCGCCACCAGGGGUAUUUUCAUAAUUUUCCGAGAAAUCCAAGGGUAUUUCAGUCUUUUACCUAUACAGUGGCACUCAGGUAAUUUUUUGAAAUUCCUAACAGUUUUUAUUUUAUUUUGAUAUAUAAGUAUUUGUAAAUUCUCUUGCAUGUAAAAAAAAACAAAAAAAAACCAAAAAUAAAUAUAAAAGGAAUAACGACGCGGGUCCAUAAAACAUAUUAAAUUCUUCUUUAAUCCUUGCAAUUUUAUCAUAAAUAAUAAUAAUAAAAAAACAUCCAUAAAACAAAUACCAACACACAAAUAAAAAUUCAAUACUAAACAAAAAAAUUACAUCAACCAAUUUAAAAUUACAAAACAGCCCCUAAAACAUCCUAGGGAUUCUGGAUCAGUGCACGGGAAUAGUGGCGCGGGUCUUCCCACACGCCGUCGCGAAUAAGGCCGGAAAACGGGUGGAUCUGGCUCAGCUUCCUUUCUUUUUCCCUUCUCUGCUGGUGGUGACACCCACCGUCACCUGCAAACGAAGAAAAGAACACAGGCAGUCGAUUUUAUAUUUUUUGUUUUUGUUUUGCAGAUCUGCUUCUCUGGUUCGGUUUUUUUUUUCUGCAUCUCAGUGUCUUUUCGUUUCCCCUUGUUCUCCAUUUCAAACGACCGGCAGUGUGACCAUAGGGCUGCUGGCCUUUGGGUUUUGUCCGAUCUGCAACUGUUGGUGGCCGGUGAAUCUGUGGACGGUGUUGUUAUGGCUGACGGAAGAAAGCGGACCGAUUUGGGAUCUGUGGGUGCCGCUGCCGGGCUGCUAUCAGACGGUUGAAGGGGAGAAGGCUGGGUCGGCUGAGAGAGAUGCGAACUUGUGGGGGAGAUGGAGGCAGGUUCAGGAGCUGCUAUGGGUGAAGAAGAGUUAGUGUGGGUUUGUGAGGGAGAGGGGGUUGUGAGCCAGGAAGAUUUGGUGUGGUGAGGGGCUGAGAAUUUGUGUCUCUAGUAAGGAGGACCGGUUGAGAGGAGAAUGAGGUGACUGGUCUGUGGGGCUGAGACGAAGAAGGGGUUGCGGUGUGGCUGCUAGGUGAGGGAGAAGAAGCUUUGGUCGGGUCUGUCAGAGAAAAACAAGUCAAGCCAGGGGAGGGGGGCGGUCGGCUUGGUUUUGGGUAAAAAAAAUCAAACUCUGGGGGGCGGCUGUGUUUGGGAUUUCUUAGGGUUUUUUUGUGGUUUAGGGUUUUUUUUUUUUUUUUUGUAUUUUCCUGAUGUUUCAAAAUUGCCCCCAUUUUGUGUGAGUUGAAAACCAGUAUUUAUAGGCAAAAAUGUUGCUAGGUUUUCAAACUUGGUCCCUCAACUUCUUUCUUUUUGUAAAUUUGAUUUUUCUUGUAUUUUUUGAAAACGAGCAAUAUCAACGUCGACUCGAUGAGGAAAAUCAAUGAUUUAAAACAUAACGCGUGAAAAGUCGAACGCGUUUGAACGACCCUUAAAAAUUUUAAUUCUUUUUAGACGACGCUAAAAAUGCUAAAAACGACGCAAAUAUAUUAAAAAGGUAUUUUUUGGAUUUUCAAUGUUUUUCUCUAUUUUUGGAUUUUUCUGAAAAUUUAUCAAAACAUGGGUCAAAAAUUGGGUAGCAACAGAUGCCCCCUCUUUACAAUGCUUACAAAGGAAAACUCAUCAAUGUUUUGCAUAGUAAGCUUUGUAAAGAAAAACUUGUCUUCUUAUCUUCAUAACUUGCUCAAUAUCCACUCAUUUAAAGACCUUACUUUUUUCUUUUUCUAUUUCUUUCUGUCUCUCUCUCUCUCUCUUUUUCAUUAACUUGAGAUCCCAUAUGGCGACCUCCUUUACCAAAACCAAAGAAUGUUGUAGCUCGGUUAACCUGAAAUCCCAUAUGGAGAUUCCCUUUAACCAAAGCUACAUGAGAUCCCAUCUAGUAACCUCAUUUAAUUGGAACUAAAAAAUGUGUGUAGCUCGGUCAACCUGAAAUCCCAUCUGGCGAUUCCCUUUAACCAAAGCCUCAUGAGAUGAUCUGGAUGCCUGGAUAUCUGACUCCAUUGAAACAAUGGAAUCUCCAUCGACGAUUUAAACAUCGAUGAUAUUACUCGGGCGGCCUCAAUGUUUGUGAACCUAAAAAGAAAUGAAAUUAAUUAAAUAGUGACUUCAUAAAUUAUGUUUUAAAUUUGUUUUUUUUUAAAAAAACAAACUAAAACUUUAACAAACUUACAUUGAAAGAUCGUCCUUCCAUUGUGCCUCGUACUUGCGCUGUGAAGGCACGCCGCUUCUGCGAUGUGAAACAGCGCUGGAAGAGGCAGCAUCAGCUGAUGGCGCAAGUGGUGUAGGUGCCUCUUCUUGAGAGGCACCUAAGGAAAUAUCUUCCUCGCUGCUAGACGAACCUGAUGCGACCGGACGUGAAGCUCUAGUUUUCAUUCUGUGCAUCUAACCAAUUUUAAUAAUUAUAUAAUUAAAUUAAAAUGUUAAAAAAAAUUCGGCAGCACCUCCCCUAUACUUAGAUACUACCCAAAUCCACAAACCUGCAAAUAUUAACAAUAGCCACAACCAAUUGACCCAAUCUAUACUAAUUAUUCCAACAUAUUCAAUUACUAAUCCUAAGGUAAAUUCAACAUUAACAAUUACAAUUCAACAAAUUAUUCAAUAAUUAUGCCAAUACAACAAUAAAAUAUAUUCAAUAAAUUAAAAAAGAAUUAUAAACUAACAAUUAAAAUCAAUGGAAACAAUUAAACACAAAUUAUGCAAUAAUAGAGUAAAAUUACUAAGUAUUCCAACAUAUCCAAAUACUAAUUCUAAGGUAAAUUCAACAUUAACAAUUAUAAUUCAAAAACUUAUUCAAUAAUUAUGGCAAUACAACAAUAAAAUAUAUUCAAUAAAUUAAAAAAAAUUAUAAACUAACAAUUAAAAACAAUGAAAAUAAUUAAACACAAAUCAUGCAAUAAUAUAGUAAAAUUACUAAUUAUUCCAACAUAUGCAAUUACUAAUUCUAAGGUAAAUUCAACAUUAACAACAAAUAUUCAACAAAUUAACUAACAACAAUUAUGCCAAAACAACAAUAAAAAAUAUUCAAUAAAUUUAAAAAAAAACUAUAGACUUUAGGGAAGAAAUAUGCAUACCUUAAUAAUGUGUUGAAAAAAAAAAUUUAUCUACAUUACAAAAAAAUACAACAAAACAAAAAACAUAAAAAGCAUAAAAAUAACUAUAAAUAAAAUAAUAUAAAAUAGAAAAAAACACAUACCUUUUAAUGUGAUGAAGAUUCACAACCAACCUUGCUAGAGAUUCAACAAAGCUUGAAGGCUUGAAGAUUUGAGAGGAAAAAAAUCAAAAUUUUAAGUUAAACCUUAGAAACGGAGGAGAAGAAAAAAUGAACUGAAGGGGCGGCCGGAUGAACUUAUAGUGCAGUUUUACCGACGGAUUCACCGAUGGAAAUAUAAAAUUAUUAUUAUUUAAAUUAAAUCCGUCGGUAACACGCUAAAAAUCCGUCGGUAAUUUUUGGAUUUCGCACCGAAUUUUUUAAUUACCCUCCAUAUUAAAAUCCGAAUUUUUAAAUCCGUCGGUAUUCUGACAUGGUUAAAGGUGCAUUCAAUCCACACCCUUUGGAAUUCGCACAUUCCGUUGGUAUUUUUGUCGGUAAAAUUGCCCACCGACAACUUACCGACGGACCUAUUCCGUUGGUAUAAACGUCGGUGAUUGUGGCAUUUUGGUGUAAUUAUUUUCAAACUCUCUGUGAGAUGCCGACGGACGGUGGGCCGUCGGUAUGGACGUCGGUGAUUGUUCAAUGUACAAGAGAUGUUGUGUUUGUAUUUUCUAUUUACCUUCCUGUAAAAAAUUCAAUGAUAAAUUGUCCAUCGCACAAAACAAUAGCAACAGUUCUUAAACAAUAAAUAUAUAUUUCAUGCUACAAAAUAUAUCAUCCAUAGUGUAAAUUACAUGAAGAAAAGGGUUUUACACAGGGCCUCGUUUUGAUAGUUACUCAGAAUUAUCUUCUUCUUCGUCAUCAAUUGAAUAGUCAUCACCUUCAUCGCAAUCUUCAAUAUGGAUAUCAUCUUCUUCAUCGACAUUUGCUUGUCCGCUAGAGCUCAAAACAACGUUCAACUCCUCUACGUCAACAUCAACAUCAACAUCAACAAGACUAUCAUCGGAAACAUGAAAAUUUGAAUUUUCUUCCAAUUCAAUCGAAGGAGCAACUCGAUAUGGUUCAACCAACUCACUAACUUGAAAGACUUCAUCCUGCACACUUGUGUCUUCGUUCUCAUCCUGAACAACCUCGACAUGACCCCGUGAUUUCGUUUUUAAAAUGGACAACCAAUCAACUCUUGAUCGAUCCUUUCUAAAUGAAGGGGUGUAUGUGUAAUAAACUUGUUGGCAUUGCUUUGUGAAAACAAAGACAUCAUUUAUGUUGCGGAGUCUAGCUUUUGAGUUGAUUUCGACCGGACCAUGGUGCUUAUCAACUCUGAUUCCUCUGUCCGUCGUGUCAUACCAAUAGCAUUUGAAUAAAAACACUGUAUUCUGCUCGCUAUGAUAUUGUAGUUCGACGACCUCUUCUAAUCUACCAUAGUAGUCAACUUCUAACUCGCUACUUGUGGAUCCUUUAACACAAACACCGCAGUUGUAUGUCCUUCUUCCUUGCCCGUAUUCUUUAGUAUGGAAAACAUAUUCAUUGACAAAAUACCCGUUAUAGCACUUAACUUUUCUUUCAAGCCCGAGGCUUAGUGAAGACAAUGACUUAGACACACUUCUUCCCAUUUGAUAAACCUUGUAUACAUGUAAUGUACAUCAAUAAACAGUAAAUGAACGAGAAUCUCGUAAUGACAUGCAUACGUACAGUAAUUUUGCAAGUUAGAAUGAGUUUGUGAUAGUGCUUACAUGUGUUCUGAACCAUGUGGCAAAUUGUUCAUCUUGUAAUUGAAAGAUCUGGGAGUCGGUCAGCUGCGAGUUAUUGGAGAGCAAAUAUUGUCGAUGUUGCCUGCAAGUGAUAAUGAGUGUAUGAUUUCACAAUAUAUAAUUAGCAGUAUAUUACUGACAAAGUUUAAAUAGUAUUACACAUAUAUAAACUUACUGAAUAAAUGGUCUCAGCUCAUCACAAUUAAAUAGAACAUAAUUGUGUGCUUGUUUGAAUUCUAUUUUCGACAAAUAUCUUCCUCUUACGGCAUUUUUAGGUAUAGGUCGUCCAGUAUUGGAGAAUAUUGACAAUUUCUCACUGGAAGGCACUUCACCGCCAUCAUCAUGUUGUGGAACACGAUUGAUUCUUGUUCUCAAAUGAGGUUCAAAAUAGUAAGAGAUAAAUGUUGAGAUCUCUUCAACAAUAUAGGCCUCAAAUAUCGAAGCCUCUACAUGCGUCUUGUUCUUAACCUUUUUCUUGAGAUUAAACAAGUACCUGCAUUGAAUUACAAUUCAAGUUUUCCAAUUAAGAAAAGCAUAUAAAAUACUUUUAGAUAUGAAUUCCAUUGCAACUGUAAUAUCUAACCGUUCGAAUGGGUACAUCCAUCUAUACUGACAUGUAAUUCGGUAAUUCCACAAAGUUUUAACAAUUUACAAAUAAAUACAAUCUUACAAAAUCUAAAACAAACCAUAACUACAAGUAUAAAAUUAUACAUUCAUAUACUACAAGUUUGUUUGAGAAAUAACAAUAAAACAUGUACAUCUAUUAACAAAAAUACAUAUACUAAAAAAACAAUAAAAUUUACAUUUAAAUGUUAAAAUUUAAAAAGAUAUAAUUACUUACAAAAAUUGAUAAAAUCCAUCGGUAAAUCAGAACACGGAUGUUGUGAUCAAAAAACUUUAAGAAAUACAACUUGUUGUGCUGAGAUGAGGAAGAUUUUUGUUUGGGGGUGAGGGGGGGGCUAGUUAUUUUGCAGAUGGGGAGACUUAAGAUUAGGAAGAAGAACGAGAAAUGGGGGAGGAGCGUGUCGGCAGCGUGGCCAUAUAUUCACUUUUUUCGACGGCCUCAUCGAUGGAAUAACAUCGUCGGUGCAUAUGUCGGUUACUCCAUCGGUAAUUUUGACGGGAAAUAGACACAUCACCGCACGAACACGCUUUUCAAAUCCCUCGGUGAUUCCGUCGGUAUGUUUGACGGUGCACCCAUCACAUCACCCGUAUGGAUCUGGUAUUUCAAAUCCGUCGGUGAUUUCGUCAGUAUUAUUGACGGUGAAACGGUCCGAUCACACGUACAAGUCCCUAGUUUUGAAUCCGUCAGUGAUUCUGUCGGAAAAAUCACCCGCCAAAACCUCCGCGUCAGCUGCCCGCCUUUUUUUCAUUAAUUAUGAACUUUCUGUCUGUAAUUUCGACUGAAAAAUACCGACAGCAAUAUUGUGUCGGGGAGUCCGUUGGUGUUUAGCGAAUUUAUGGUAGUGAACUAAAAACUGCGUAUAGCUCGGUCAACCUGAAAUCCCAUCUGGCGAUUUCCUUUAACCAAAGCCACCUGAGAUCCCAUCUGGCGACCUCAUUAAACCACAACCAAAAAAUAUGCGUAGCUUGGUCAACCUGAAAUCCCAUCUAGCGAUUCCCUUUAACCAAAGCUACUUGAGAUCCCAUCUGGCGACCUCAUUCAACUGAAAUAAAAGAAUGUGUAAAACGCGGUUUCAUUGUAAUGGGUGACCAACCCAGGUGGAAAGAAUGUGAAAAACAGUCUCAUUAUGAUGGGUGACUACCCAGAUGGAAAGAAUAUGAAGUGCGGUCUCAUUGUAAUGGGUGACCUACCCAAGAAAAAGAAAAGAGUGGUCUCAUUGUAAUGGGUGACCUACCCAGAAAAAAAACAUGGAGAAUUGGUCGCAUUGUAAUGGGUGACCUACCCAAAAAAAUGUUGGUCUCAUUGUAAUGGGUGACCUACCCAAGUGAAAGAAUGGUCUCAUUGUAAUGGGUGACCUACCCAGAUAAAAAACAAGGAGAAUUGGUCGCGUUGUUCUGGGUGACCUACCCAGAAAAAUUUUGGCGAGGGCUCAAAGGCGCACUCAAAAGGAGGUAGGGUUAGAAAACGCACUACCCGAGAAGUGAGGGCUCAAAAGCACACUCAAAAGGAGGUAGGGUUAAAAAAUGCACUACUUGAGAAGUGAGGGCUCAAAGGCGCACUCAAAAUAAGGUAGGGUUAGAAAACGCACUACCCAAGAAGUGAGGGCUCAAAGGCGCUCUCAAAAUGAGGUAGGGUUAGAAAACACACUGCUUGAAUGGUGGUGGCUCAAAGGCACACUCAAAAGGAGGUAGGGUUAGAAAAUGCACUACCUGAGAAGUGAGGGCUCAAAGGCGCACUCAAAAGAAAAUAAGGGCUCAAACGGUGCACUUGAAAUGAGGUUGGGUUAGAAAACGCACUAUCCGAAUGGUGGUGGCUCAAAGGCGCACUCAAAAUGAGGUAGGGUUGGAAAACGCAGUACCCGAAUGGUGGUAGCUCAAAGACACACUCGAAAUAAGGUAGGGUUGGAAAACACACUACCUAAAAGGUGGUUGAUUAGUACUUAAAAGUGCAUGUUUAUUAAGGUUUUAUAUCAUCAUUUUGCACUUGAAGUAUCAAUAACUCCUUAACUAAAGCAUGUUUUAUAAUAACAAGUGUGAUACUAUAAAAUGCCUUAAUAUAUGGUAAAUAUUCAUCUUGAAUGCAGGCUUAUCACAUAAAUCAAAGGAUUGAUUGAUGAAUUCAACUACUGAAAUUUUGAAGAUAAAGAAGGGUGAAGCUUAGAAAAGAGAUGUUGGUGCAGUCCAAACUGGAACACUAUUUGGUAUUUGGGUCAUAUCUUGAGUUCUAGAUGUCCAAAUGAUCUCAAAGUUUUACACAGAUUUGGUGAGAUAUAAGCCUACAACUUUCAUGUGAACAGAAAAAUCUAAGAAGGCCUUUUUCAUGUCCAAAUUAUAGCAACAACGGAGAAGUCUGAAUCUGUCUUGCAGCCCAGACACUGUUCAGUGUUCAGCCCAUAUCUUGAGUUCUAAAAGUCCAAAUGACCUCAACUUUUUUUUCCUGGAAAGCUAAGAGAAUUUCCUAGAACUUUGAUGAUUUCAUAUGAUUCCAGUUCUGAUGUUAGCAAUGACGUUUUAUUCAGACAAGAAGAUAAGGAUUUUCACCAAGUCAAGAUGUGGCCACCCACUCAACAAUUAUUCAUCAAAUCAAUAGUUCCAAAUUUUGGCCUAUAAAAGGAGGCAUUUGCCAUGCAUUUAGGCAUCUUGGUUUCCAGAUCAAGAUCAUGCUCUUGCUUUCUCUCUUUGUAUUGCUUAUGUUUUGCUUUCAUUAAUAUCAAGUUUAUGCACUUCAUUUCCUUUCCUUUACUUAGUUAACUUUUUUCUCAUUUAUGUUCUUAUCUUGUUCAUUUAUGUUUCUUUCUUUCAUUAUGUUUACCUAUGUUAAUUAUGUCAAGGUGAAAAGGGUACACUAAUGGUGUAAGAAUAAGUAUAAUAUAAACUUAACAUGGACCUUAAUGUUGGAUACUAACAUGUUUUAUAUUUGUUAUCUUGUUCACUUUUAAUACUUUGCUUGUUAAAUGGUUAAUCUAGAUUUAUGUUGUAUAACACUUGGUACAACAAAUACUUGGCACUUUCAUAGCCCAUACUGUAUGGUAUAACCGACACCUGAGCUAUGAAAGGAACUUGAUUUGUUGUUAACAUAAGUUAUAAUCAUGAAUGCCUGACAAAAUUUACAAGUAUUAGCAUUAUUCGAAUAAGAUAACUAAUGUAAUCAUGUUAACAAUUUACAAUCCGAUUGGAACCUCCUUUGUGUGUGGUUUUCAAUUGAGUAAUAAAAAGAGUUUAUAUUAUACUUGUUUGAAGUACCAUUAGUAGAUCCUCUAACCUUGACAAUUAUUUUAUGCUUGUUUAAUCCUUACAUCAAUAUCACAUCCCAAAGCUCUCUUUAUCUUAUUAUUAUUGUUAUUGUUGUUGUUGUUGUUGUUGUUGUUGUUUAUAAUUUAUAUAGUUAACCUCCAUGUGGUUCGACCCUGGUCUUGCCGGGUUAUUUAUUACUUCGACACUAUUGCACUUGGAAGAAAACAUCAAUCUUUUGGGUCGUGUCAAGUUUUUGGCGCCGUUGCCGGGGAGGUAAAUUCUUGUAUAAAUUAUAAUAUUUAUUUUAUUUUGUCUUUUCAUUUUUCAUUUUAUCUAACUUUUGUUUCUUUUCCUUCUCUUUUAUUUCCUUCCUUAUAUUCUCUUCUUACACGUGCAUGAGAGUUUGGUCAUGUACAUUAAGUGGUAGACUUUGUAGGGUAUCCUCAGAAACAUUUUACCAGUGUUGGGAUAGGUAUCGAGACUUGCUUAAUACUUGCCCUCAUCAUGGUUUUGAAACAUGGAGAUUGGUUUCAUUUUUUUAUGAAGGUUUAACACCUAGAGAUAGGCAAAUGGUUGAAUUGAUGUGCAAUUGAACUUUCGAAGAUAAAGACCCUAAUGAAGAAAUGGAGUACCUAGACUUGCUAGCCGAAAAUGCUCAAAAUUGGGACACCACAUGUACUUAUAAGGCACCAAGUAAAACUCAACCUCAUACAUCUAGUGGAGGUAUGCACAACCUUAGGGAAGAUCAUGACCUCCAAGCCAAGUUUGCAUCUUUAGCUAGAAAAGUCGAAUCACUUGAAUUGAAAAAGAGUGGUCAAUUAAAAUCUUUCAAGACAUUGUGUGUCAAAUCUGUGAAACAAGAACACUCAACAAAUGAUUGUCCAACUUUGCCUUCUUUUAGGAAUGCCUCCAUGAACAAGCCCAUGCUUUAAACAGUUUCCAAAGGCCCAACAUAACCCAUACUCACAAACGUAUAACCCUGGUUGGAGAAAUCACCCAAAUUUCAGUUGGAAGAGUGAUAACAAUAAUGCAAACUUCACAGCCACCGUUUCAAGCAUACCAUAAUUUCCAAAAUUCUCAUGGAUAUGCACCUCCUUAUGCUCCACCUCCUAGAAGAAAUCUUGAGGAAACAUUGCAUGCAUUCAUUGAAAAGCAGGAGACAAUCAACACUCAACUUGCUCAAAGCAUGACUGAUUUUAAAGAUGCUCUUGCAAAAUUAACAUCUGCUCUCAGUUUUCAAGAAAAAGGUAAGUUUCCUUCUCAACCACAAUAAAAUCCAAAGGGGCAAUAUAAUGCAAAUGCAAGUAGUUCUGGAAGCCAACACAUGGAUCAAGUCAAAUCAGUCAUCACUCUUCGUAGUGGUAAGGUUAUUGAAAAACCCACUCUUGAACCUUGUGAGAAAGAUGAAGAGUCUAUCUUUGAGGGUAAGAAAAGGGUUGAACCUGAACAUUUCCUCAUGCCAUGACCAAACAAAGGAAAGUCAAUCACAAUUCUGAAAUCCUUUAAAUUUUCAAACAGGUAAGGAUCAAUAUACCUUUGUUGGAUGCUAUUAAACAUGUUCCUUCCUAUGCUAAAUUUUUGAAAGAUCUGUGCACUGUGAAGAGAAAACUGAAUGUGAAAAAGAAAGCCUUUUUAGCCGAACAAGUAAGUGCCAUUCUUCAUAACAAUAAUGCUUUGAAAUAUAAAGACCCUGGUUGUCUUACAAUUUCUUGCUUUAUUGGAGAACAAAAAAUUGAAAGAGACUUACUUGAUCUUGGAGCUAGUGUGAGUUUACUUCCAUAUUUAGUCUUUCAAAGUCUCAAUCUAGGUGAGUUAAAACCAACCUUUGUAACUCUUUUACUUGCUGAUAGAUCUGUAAAAGUGCCUAGAGGAAUAGUUGAGGAUGUGUUAGUACAAGCUGAUAAAUUCAUUUACCAUGUAGAUUUUGUUGUCUUGGAUACACAACCUGUUGAAGCAUGUAAUUCAAUUCCUGUCAUUUUAGGACGUCCAUUUCUUGCCACUUUUAAUGCAUUGAUUAAUUGUAAGAAUGGACUGAUGAAGCUAUCAUUUGGAAACAUGACAUUGGAGAUGAAUAUUUUCAACAUUUACAAGCAACCUGGAGAUGAUAAUGAUUUACAGGAAGUGGACUUUAUUGAAAAAUUAGUUCAUGAUCAAUUUCAAACCACUUCUAGUGAAACUGAGAUUGAUGAAUCUGAUGAUUUGCAAAUGGUCUAUUUUCAGGAAGAAUCAAAGGCAUGCAAUUGGAGACCACAAAUUGAAGAAUUGCCACCACGAUCAAUUGAGCCCAUACCUUCAAGUGUUCAACCACCAAAACCUGAUUUGAAGUCGUUACCAUUUAAUCUCAAAUACUCAUUUUUGGGAGAAAAUGAAACUUUUCCGGUAAUAAUCUCUUCCAAACUUAAUGCACAUCAAGAAGGUAAGUUAUUACAGACUUUGAAAAUGCACAAAAAUGCAUUAGGAUGGACCAUAGCUGACAUAAAAGGAAUUAGCCCUUUGAUUUGCACACACAGAAUUUAUUUGGAGGAAAAUGCUAAACCCUCUAGAGAAAUGCAACGAAGGCUUAAUCCUAAUAUGAAAGUAGUGAAAAAUGAAGUCAUUAAGCUUCUAGAUAAUGGAAUCAUUUAUCCUAUUUCUGACAGCAAAUGGGUAAGUCCUACCCAAGUUGUACCUAAAAAGUCUGGAGUCACUGUGAUAACAAAUGAGAAAAAUGAGUUAAUUCCAACGAUGAUUGUUACUGGUUGGCGCAUGUGCAUUGACUAUAGGAAACUUAAUUCAAUGACUAGAAGAUCAUUUCCCUUUACCUUUCAUGGAUCAAAUCCUAGAAAGAGUUGCAGGUCAUGAAUUCUAUUGUUUCCUAGAUGGCUAUUCAGGUUACAAUCAAAUUGAAAUUGCAUUGGAAGAUCAAGAGAAGACUACUUUCACAUGUCCAUUUGGUACUUUUGCAUAUCGAAGAAUGCCUUUUGGGUUAUGUAAUGCACCAGCCACGUUCAGUGUUCAGCCCAUAUCUUGAGUUCUAGAAGUCCAAAUGACCUCAAAUGUUUACACAAAUUCAGUAAGACAUAGGCCUAUAACUUGCAUUUGGACAUCAAGAUCUAAGAAGGCCGUUUUCAAGUCCAAAUUAUUCAACAACGGAGAAGUCUGAAUAUGUCCUGCAGCCCAGACACUUUUCAGUGUUCAGCCCAUAUCUUGAGUUCUAAAAGUCCAAAUGACCUCAAAUGUUUACACAAAUUCAGUAAGACAUAGGCCUAUAACUUGCAUUUGGACAUCAAGAUCUAAGAAGGCCGUUUUCAAGUCCAAAUUAUUCAACAACGGAGAAGUCUGAAUAUGUCCUGCAGCCCAGACACUGUUCAGUGUUCAGCCCAUAUCUGGAGUUCUAGAAGUCGAAAUGACCUUAUCUUUUUUUUCCUGGAAAGCUAAGAGAAUUUCCUAGGACUUUUAUUUGGACAUCUAGACCCAGUUCUGAUGCUAGCAUUUUUGUUUUAUUAAGACAAGAAGAUAAAGAUUUUCACCUAGUCAAAAGUUGGCCACCCACUCAACAAUUAGUCAUCAAAUCAAUAAUUCUGAAUUUUGUCAUAUAAAAGGAGUCAUUUGCCAUGUAUUUAGGGGCUUGGUUUUUCAGAUCAAGUUCUUGCUCUUUAUUUCUCUCUUUAUAUUUUUUUUGUAAUUCUUAAGUUUUGCUUUCAUUAAUAUCUUGUUUAUGCUUUUCAUUUCCUUUCCUUUCCUUAGUUAACUUGUAUCUUAUUUAUGUUCUUGUUUUAUUUAUUUAUGUUUCUCUUCUUCAUUAUGUUUGGCUAAGUUUAUUAUGUCAAGGUGAAAAGGUUACACUAAUGGUGUAAGAACAAGUAUGGUAUAAACUCAACAUGAACCUUAAUGUUUAAUAUUAACAUGUCUUAUCUUUUUAUCUUACUAAUUCUUAAUACCUUACUUGUUAAAUGGUUAAUCUAGAUUUGUGUUGUAUAAUACUUGGUACAACAAAUGCUUGGCACUCUCAUAGCCCAACCGUAUGGUAUUACCUACACCUAGGCUAUGAAAGGUACUUGAUUUGUUGUUAACAUCAAUUAACAUCAUGAAUUCUUGAUAAUAUUUAAAAGUUUGGUGUUAUGUAAAUGAGAUAAUUAAUAUGAUCAUGUUAAUAAUUUAUAAUGAGCUAUUAAUGACAAAUUGGCCAAUUGGAACCUCCUUUGUGUGUGGUUUCCGGUUGAAUAAUAAGAGUUUAUACUAUACUUGUUUGAAAUACCAUUGGUGGAUCCUCUAACCUUGAUAUUUAUUUUUAUCAUUGUUUAAUCCUUACAUUAAUCUUCCAGCUCAAAGUUCUCAUUAAUUUUUUCCUCCUCUUUUUAUUGUUAUUAAUAUUAUCACUAUUAAUAUUAUUAUUAUUAUUAUUAUUAUUAUUAUUAUUAUUAUUAUUUACAUUCUGUUUAUAUUAUAUAAUAUAUCUCUUUCAUCUUUUCAAAAACUCAGUAUAUAGGCUGGAAACCUGUGACCCGAUCUUUUAGAUCAUUCUCAGGUAUAACAACGCCACGUACUGAGUAUUAUUAUUAAUAUUAUUAUUAUUAUUGUUAUUAUUGUUGUUAUUGUUGUUGUUGUUGUUGUAUUAUUGUUAUUUAUAAUUUGUAUAAUUAACCUCUCUGUGGUUCGACCCCGGUCUUGCCGGGUUAUUUAUUACUUUGACACUCCUGCACUUGGGAGAAGACAUCAAUCUUUUGGUUGUGUCAAGUUUUUGGCGUCGUUGCCGGGGAGGUAAAUUCUUGUACAAAUUUUAGUAUUUAUUUUGUUUUUUUCUUUUCACUUUUCUUGUAUCUAACUUUGUUUCUUUUGUUUUGUUUCUUUUUCUUUUGUUUUCUUCUUCCUUUUAUUCUUUUUCUACACGUGCAUGAGUGUUUGGUCAUGCAUAUUAAGUGGUAGACUUUCUAGGGUAUCCUCAUCAUUUUCAGAAAAUAUGGCCGAAGAAGAUAACCAGUUACUUCAUAAUGAGAAUAAUGAGAAUAACCGUGUUAGGACACUUAGAGACCACAUGAAUCCCAUAAGAACAAGUGCACCCUCAUGCAUAGUUUUCCCUCCUGAUGCAUCUCAUUUUAAUUUUAAGCCAGGCAUUAUUCAACUUUUACCUUCUUUUCAUGGCUUAGAUCUAGAAAAUCCAUACUUGCAUUUGGAGAAUUUGAGAAGUUUGUAACACCUAUAAUGACUUAAAUUGUAGCAUGAAUACCAUUAGAUUAAAGCUUUUUCCUUUUUCAUUAAAAGAUAAAGCUAAAACAUGGCUACAAAAUUUAGGUCAGGAUCCAUUCGUGCUUGGGAUGAAAUGCAACAACAAUUUUUAAAGAAGUUUUUUCCAUCUCACAGAACAACUCUUUCAAAAGACAAAUCACCACUUUCACUCAAAAACCAGGAGAAACAUUUUACCAAUGUUGGGAUAGGUAUCGAGACUUGCUUAAUACUUGCCCUCAUCAUGGUUUUGAAACAUGGAGAUUGGUUUCACAAUUUUUAUGAAGGUUAACACCUAAGAUAGGCAAAUGGUUGAAUUGAUGUGCAAUGGAACUUUUGAAGAUAAAGACCAUAAUGAAGCAAUGGAGUACCUAGACUUGCUAGCUGAAAAUGCUCAAAAUUAGGACACUACAGGCACUUAUGAGGCACCAAGUAAAACUCAACCUCAUACAUCUAGUGGAGGUAUGUAUAACCUUAGGGAAGAUCAUGACCUCCAAGCCAAGUUUGCAUCUUUAGCUAGAAAAGUCGAGGCACUAGAAUUGAAAAAGAGUGGUCAAUUAAAAUAUGUUCAAGACAUUGUGUGUCAAAUCUGUGAAACAAAUGAACAUGCAACCAAUGAUUGUCCAACUUUGCCUUCUUUCAAGGAAUGCCUCCAUGAACAAGCCCAUGCUUUAAACAGUUUCCAAAGGCCCAAUCAUAACCCAUACUCGCAAACAUACAAUCCUGGUUGGAGAAAUCACCCAAAUUUCAGUUGGAAGAGUGACAACAAUAAUGCACAAACUUUACAGCCACCGUUUCAAGCACACCAUAAUUUCCAAAAUUCUCAUGGAUAUGCACCUCCUUAUGCUCCACCUCCUAGAAGAAAUCUGAGGAACGUUGCAUGCAUUCAUUGAAAAGCAAGAGACAAUCAACACUCAACUUGCUCAAAGCAUGACUUUUAAAGAUGCUCUUGCAAAAUUAACAUCUGCUCUCAGUUUCAAGAGAAAGGUAAGUUUCCAUCUCAACCACAGCAAAAUCCAAAGGGGCAAUACAAUGCAAAUGCAAGUAGUUCUGGAAGCCAACACAUGGAUCAAGUCAAAUCAGUCAUCACUCUUCGCAGUGGUAAGGUUAUUGAAAAACCCACUCUUGAACCUUGUGAGAAAGAUGAUGAGUCAAUCUCUGAGGGUAAGGAAGGGGUUGAACCUGAACAUUGUGAAGAAAAGACUGAUUCUCCGCCAGCACUUCCAUUUCCUCAUGCCAUGACCAAACAAAGGAAAGUCAAUCACAAUUAUGAAAUCCUUGAAAUUUUCAAACAGGUAAGGAUCAAUAUACCUUUGUUGGAUGCUAUUAAACAUGUUCCUUCCUAUGCUAAAUUUUUGAAAGAUUUGUGCACUGUGAAGAGAAAACUGAAUGUGAAAAAGAAAGCCUUUUUAGCCGAACAAGUAAGUGCCAUUCUUCAUAACAAUAAUGCUUUGAAAUAUAAAGACCCUGGUUGUCCUACAAUUUCUUGCUUUAUUGGAGAACAUAAAAUUGAAAGAGCCUUACUUGAUCUUAGAGCUAGUGUGAAUUUACUUCCAUAUUCGGUUUUUCAAAGUCUCAAUCUAGGUGAGUUAAAACCAACUUCUGUAACUCUUUUACUUGCUGAUAGAUCUGUAAAAGUGCCUAGAGGAAUAGUUGAGGAUGUGUUAGUACAAGGUGAUAAAUUCAUUUACCCUGUAGAUUUUAUUGUCUUGGAUACACAACCUGUUGAAGCAUGUAAUUCAAUUCCUGUAUUUUAGGACGUCCAUUUCUUGCACUUCUAAUGCAUUGAUUAAUUGUAGGAAUGGACUGAUGAAGCUAUCAUUUGGAAACAUGACAUUGGAGAUGAAUAUUUUCAACAUUUACAAGCAACCUGGAGAUGAUAAUGAUUUACAGGAAGUGGACUUUAUUGAAAAAUUAGUUCAUGAUCAAUUUCAAACCACUUCUAGUGAAACUGAGAUUGAUGAACCUGAUGAGUUGCAAAUGGUUAUUUUCAGGAAGAAAAGGCAUGUAAUUGGAGACCACAAAUUGAAGAAUUGCCACCACGAUCAAUUGAGUCAUACCUUCAAGUGUUCAACCACCAAAACUGAUUUGAAGCCGUUACCAUUUCAAUCUCAAAUACUCAUUUUUGGGAGAAAAUGAAACUUUUCCGGUAAUAAUCUCUUCCAAACUUAAUGCACAUCAAGAAGGUAAGUUAUUACAGACUCUGAAAAUGCACAAAAAUGCAUUAGGAUGGACCAUAGCUGACAUAAAAGGAAUUAGUCCUUUGAUUUGCACACACAGGAUUUAUUUGGAGGAAAAUGCUAAACCUCUAGAGAAAUGCAACGAAGCUUAAUCCUAAUAUGAAAGAAGUAGUGAAAAAUGAAGUCAUUAAGCUUCUAGAUAAUGGAAUCAUUUAUCCUAUUUCUGACAGCAAAUGGGUAAGUCCUACCCAAGUUGUACCCAAAAAGUCUGGAGUCACUGUGAUAACAAAUGAGAAAAAUGAGUUAAUUCCAACUAGGACUAUUACUGGUUGGCGCAUGUGCAUUGACUAUAGGAAACUUAAUUCAAUGACUAGAAAAGAUCAUUUCCCUUUACCUUUCAUGGAUCAAAUCCUAGAAAGAGUUGCAGGUCAUGAAUUUUAUUGUUUCCUAGAUGGCUAUUCAGGUUACAAUCAAAUUGAAAUUGCAUUGGAAGAUCAAGAGAAGACUACUUUCACAUGUCCAUUUGGUACUUUUGCAUAUCGAAGAUGCCUUUUGGUUAUGUAAUGCACCAGCCACGUUUCAAAGAUGCAUGCUUAGCAUAUUCAGUGAUAUGGUUGAACGUUUUCUUGAGAUUUUUAUGGAUGAUUUUUCUGUUUUUGGUGAUUCAUUUGAUGAUUGUUUAACUAACUUGGAAAAGGUUUUGAACAGGUGUGAAGAGAAGAAUCUUGUACUGAAUUGGGAAAAAUGUCACUUUAUGGUAACAAACGGCAUUGUACUUGGUCACAUUGUUUCAUCGAAAGGAAUUGAGGUUGACAAAUCUAAAAUCGAGUUAAUUGCCAACUUACCAACACCAAAAUCUGUUAAAGAUGUUAGAUCAUUCUUAGGACAUGCUGGUUUUUACAGAAGGUUCAUCAAAGAUUUUAGUGUAAUAUCUAAACCAUUGUGUAACCUUCUAACAAAGGAAAAUGUUUUUGAAUGGACUGAACAAUGUGAAAAAGCCUUUGUUAAACUUAAAGCUUGCUUACUUCUGCUCCUGUCAUUCAACCUCCUGAUUGGUCACUACCUUUUGAAAUAAUGUGUGACGCUAGUGAUUAUGCCGUGGGUGCUGUCUUGGGACAAAGAAAAGAUAAGAAACCUUAUGUGAUUUACUAUGCAAGUAAAACUUUAAAUAGUGCUCAAAUGAAUUACACUACCACUGAAAAAGAAUUACUUGCAGUAGUAUUUGCAUGUGACAAGUUCAGAUCUUAUCUUGUUGGCUCACCUGUUGUUGUUUUUAGUGAUCAUGCAGCAUUGAAAUAUCUUCUCUCUAAGAAAGAUUCUAAGGCUAGAUUGGUGCGGUGGAUUUUGUUACUUCAAGAAUUUGAUAUCACAAUCAAAGACAAGAAAGGCACCGAAAAUGUUGUCGCGGAUCAUUUGUCAAGAUUGACAACCGAUUCGAGAUCUGACAUCACACCAAUCGAUGACUACUUUCCUGAUGAAUCUUUAUUUUCUGUCUCUACGAUGCCUUGGUUUGCUAAUAUUGUUAAUUUUCUUGUUUCAGGACAAUUGCCAGCUCAUUGGAGUACCCAAGACAAAAGAAAGUUCUUGAACGAAGUGAAGAACUUUUAUUGGGAUGACCCUUAUUUAUUCAAAUAUUGUCCUGAUCAAAUAUUUCGAAGAUGCAUUCCUGACAAUGAGGUAAGUAGUGUCAUUAAAUUUUGUCAUUCUGAGGCAUGUGGGGGUCAUUUCUCAUCAAGAAAGACAACUGCAAAAAUCUUACAAAGUGGAUUUUACUGGCCCACCAUGUUCAAAGACUCACAUGCAUUCUGUAAGACUUGUGAAAAUUGUCAAAAGUUGGGAUCUAUUUCGAAACGUCACAUGAUGCCUUUAAAUCCUAUUCUUGUCAUUGAGAUCUUUGACUGUUGGGGUAUAGAUUUCAUGGGUCCAUUUCCUCCAUCAUUUGGUUUCUUGUACAUAUUGGUCGUAGUAGAUUAUGUUUCAAAAUGGAUAGAGGCAAUUCCAAGUCGAACCAAUGAUCACAAAACAGUGAUAAAGUUUUUGAAAGAAAACAUUUUAAGUCGAUUUGGAAUCCCUCGAGCCAUGAUAAGUGAUGGUGGAACACAUUUUUGCAAGUCAUUUGAGUCUUUAAUGAAGAAAUAUGGAAUCACACACAAAGUUGCCACCCCUUAUCACCCUCAGACGAGUGGACAAGUAGAACUUGCUAAUAAGUAGAUUAAACAGAUCUUAGAGAAAACAGUGAACCCUAAUCGGAAAGACUGGUCUUUAAGACUUAAUGAUGCACUUUGGGCUUAUCGAACUGCGUAUAAAACAUCAUUUGGUAUGUCACCUUAUAGACUAGUAUAUGGAAAACCUUGUCACUUGCCUGUGGAAAUUGAACAUAAAGCUUAUUGGGCUAAUAAAGCUUCCAAUUCGAACAUUGAUGAUGCUAGUCAGCUACGAAAAUUGCAAAUAAAUGAGCUUGAGGAAAUAAGAAAUGAUGCAUAUGACAAUUCAAGAAUUAAUAAAGCAAGACUCAAAGAGUUUCAUGACAAGAAAAUACUGAGAAAAACAUUCAAUGUUGGUCAAAAAGUCUUGCUUUAUAAUUCUCGACUCCAUUUAUUUCUUGGAAAACUAAGAUCAAGAUGGAGCGGUCCUUUUAUUGUGAAACAUGUGUAUCCAUAUGGGGCCUGUGAUAUAGAAAAUCCAAAGAAUGGAAAUGUUUUCAAGGUAAAUGGGCAUCGGUUGAAAGUUUAUUUUGACAAUUUUUCAGUUGAAAAUGACUAUUGAAUUGAGUGAUCCUGUAUAUAAAGAUUGAUUCUUUUUCUCACAUUGUUUUGUGUUUUGUUUUGGUGUAUCUUUUUUUUUGCUAGUUUCUCUCACCCCGGUCAAAUGGCGGAUAACGGUACUCCAUGACUCUUAAGUCGGUUCUUUUAGUUUCCCAUGAUAACUUAUAUCUGUGUAUAUAAUUGUGCAAUUCUCUGCUCUUUCUUCUUUCUUUGAAUCUCUCAUCCAAUUCUCAUUUGAAAAUGGACACCACUCUUGAAAAAUUGAAAAAUUAUUUUCCCGCUCUGCCUCAAAAUGCGAUUACAAAAAUUUACCGUGCUAGAUGUGCGAGAUUGAGGUUGUUAAUGAAUCAUGGAAUUCUUGAAGAUAUUCAUUGGCUAAUUGAAGCAAAGGUUCGGUUAUCAGGUGAGUCCUCCAAUUCUUUCAUUUCACACAUGCCUGGAACAAGUAAAAGCACUUUUGCAAAGAAACGUCGUGCAAAACGACUACAACUCUGUCACAAAUGUGCCAGAUGGACUUGUAAUGCGACAUGUCGUUCUUUAGGAAUGGUAUCUGUAAACCGUGAAGAUAAAAUACAAUUCAUUAAGGAUGGCCUGAGUAAGGGGUCUUUAGAUAAUCUUCUAUUGACUCUUGAGACGCACCCUAGUGGAGAUGUGCAUCGUGCAAUUUAUGAUUUAUGGCCCCAAUUCCAUAAAGAACAUGCUCGACUUAGUCUUGGGAAUCUGACUAAAAAAGACCCUGUUUGCCAGUUUUUAAGAAAACUGGAUGGGAAGCCUAUCCCCGACCCAGAUAGGGCGUUUAAGCUGUUCUUGGACGUAAAACCAAGGGAAGAUGUGAGCCACAAUCACAACUACCUAUACAUACAUGAUUUGUCAAGCCGUUUUUGGACAUAAAACUAAGGGAAGAUGUGAGCCAUAAUCACAACUACCUGUACAUACACAUGCCUUUUUCAAAUAAAUAAAGAGAGAGAGAGAGAGAAAGAGAGUGAGACUACGGUUGGCCUACAUAUAGGUGGUAUGAUUGCAUUUUCAAUUUCUCAUCUAUAAAUUCUUCUCUUCCUUCCCUUCAUUUCUACUCAACCCAUACUUUCAUCAAAUAUAGAAGUGUGUAGAAAUGGCAGGUUCCUCAAGUCAUAACAUAAACAAUAUUUGUGUUUUCGGUGGAUCAAGUCUUGGGAAAGAAAAAAAGUUUUUAGAAUCAGCAAAUCAUCUUGGUCAGGUAUUAGCUGAGCGAAAGAUUCAUUUAGUGUAUGGAGGAGGCAGCCUUGGGUUAAUAGGGGGAGUGUCAAUAGCUGCAUUUUUAGGAGGUACUCAAGUUUUGGGGGUAGUCCCCAAAGCUUUAGCAUAAGGGGACAUCAUUGGAAAAACAAUUGGAGAGGAAUUACAAGUCCCCAUAAUUUCUGAUCGACUGAAUGCCAUGUUUAACCAUGCUGAUUCCUUCAUUGCCUUACCAGGUGGUCUGGGCACAUUGGAAGAGAUCUUUCAUAUUUCCUCUUGGGCCCAACUGCACAUUCACCAUAAACCCAUAGGUUUGUUAAAUGUUAAUGGUUUUUAUGAUAAGUUGUUGUCUUUUCUUGUUCAUGCUAUGGAACAGGAAUUUCUAACAUCUUCAGCACGACAAAUCAUAAUCUCUACUGCUACUGCUGAACAAUUGAUUGACCAACUACAAUCUUUCAUCCCUGUAAUUAAUCCCUCCAUGAGUCGCAUAAAAUUGGUCAACUAAGAGAAAGCCGUAAAAAGCUUAGAUGUGGAUUUGAGCUUCGUUUGUAAAAACUUUGUGUCUUUUGGUUUUAUUAUUGUGUUUUGUUGUUUCUUAUAUUUGUUUAAGUGUGUUUCAGGUUUGUCAGUGUUCGUUAUUUCAGGUGAUGUCUUCUAUACUCUAUCUUUCUACCUUAAGACAUUGAGGACAAUGUUUCAUUUUGGUUGGGGGGAAAGGGUAGUAGUUGAUAAUUAAAAAAAAAAAACUAAAACGGUGGAGCAUAAGGAGGUGCAUAUCCAUGAGAAUUUUGGAAAUUAUGGUGUGCUUGAAACGGUGGCUGUGAAGUUUGUGUAUUAUUGUUAUUACUCUUCCAACUGAAAUUUGGGUGAUUUCUCCAACCAGGGUUAUACAUUUGUGAGUAUAGGUUAUGGUUGGGCCUUUGGAAACUGUUUAAAGCAUGGGCUUGUUCAUGGAGGCAUUCCUUAAAAGAAGGCAAAGUUGGACAAUCAUUUGUUGAGUGUUCCUUGGUUUCACAGAUUUGACACACAAUGUCUUGAACAGAUUUUAAUUGACCACUCUUUUUGAAUUCAAGUGCUUCGACUUUUCUAUCUAAAGAUGCAAACUUGGCUUGGAGGUCAUGAUCUUCCCUAAGGUUGUGCAUACCUCCACUAGAUGUAUGAGGCUGAGUUUUACUUGGUGCCUCAUAAGUAUCUGUGGUAUCCCAAUUUUGAGCAUUUUCGGCUAACAAGUCUAGGUACUCCAUUGCUUUAUUAGGGUCUUUAUCUUUAAAAGUUCCAUUGCACAUCAAUUCAACCAUUUGCUUAUCUCUAGGUGUUAAACCUUCAUAAAAAUGUGAAACCAAUCUCCAUGUUUCAAAACCAUGAUGAGGGCAAGUAUUAAGCAAAUCUCGAUACCUAUCCCAACAUUGGUAAAAUGUUUCUCCUGGCUUUUAAGUUAAAGUGAUGAUUUGUCUUUUGAAAGAGUUUGUUCUGUGAGACGGGAAAAACUUCUUUAAAAAUUUUUGUUGCAUUUCAUCCCAAGCACGAAUAGAUCCUGGUCUCAAAUUUUGUAGCCAUGUUUUAGCUUUAUCUUUUAAUGAAAAAGGAAAAAGCUUUAAUCUGAUAGUGUUCAUGCUACAAUUUGAGUCAUUAUAGGUAUUACAGACCUCCUCAAAUUCCCUUAAAUGCAAGUAUGGAUUUUCUAGGUCUAAACCAUGAUAAGAAGGUAAAAGUUGAAUAAUGCCUGGCUUAAAAUUAAAAUGAGAUGCAUCAGGAGGGAAAACUAUGCAUGAUGGUGCACUUGUUCUUGUGGGAUUCAUGUGGUCUCUAAGUGUUCUCAUACGAUUAUUCUCAUUAUUCUCAUUAUGAAGUGAUUGAUUAUCUUCUUCGGCCAUAUUUUCUGAAAAUGAUAAGGAUACCCUAUAAAGUUUACCACUUAAUGUACGUGACCAAACUCUUAUGCACGUGUAAGAAGAGAAUAAAAGGAAGAAAAUAAAAGAGAAGAAAAAGAAACAAAAGUUAGAUAAAAUGAAAAAUGAAAAGAGAAAAUAAAAUAAAUAUUAUAAUUUAUACAAGAAUUUACCUCCCUGGCAACGAUGCCAAAAACUUGACACGACCAAAAGAUUGAUGUCUUCUCCCAAGUGCAGGAGUGUCGAAGUAAUAAAUAACUCGGCAAGACCGGGGUCGAACCACGAAGAGGUUAAUUGUAUAAAUUAUAAAUAACAAUACAACAACAACAACAACAAUAAUAACAACAACAAUAACAAUAAUAGUAAUAAUAAUAUUAAUAGUAGUAAUAAUAAUAAUAAUACUUAGUAGUAAUACUAAUAAUAAUUAUAAUAGUAAUAAUAAUAGUAGUAAUAUUAAUAAUAAUAAUAGUAAUAAUAAAGAGAGCUUUGAGAUGUAAAAUUGAUGUAAGGAUUAAACAAUGAUAAAAACAAAUGUCAAGGUUAGAGGAUCCACUAAUGGUACUUCAAACAAGUAUAGUAUAAACUCUUAUUACUCAAUUGGAAACCACACAUAAAGGAGGAUCCAAUCAAAUUAUAAAUUGUUAACAUGAUUACAUUAGUUAUCUUAUUCGAAUAAAGCUAAUACUUGUAAAUGUUGGCAGGCAUUCAUGAUUAUAACUUAUGUUAACAACAAAUCAAGUUUCUUUCAUAGCUCAGGUGUCGGUUAUACCAUACAGUAUGGGCUAUGAAAGUGCCAAGUAUUUGUUGUACCAAGUGUUAUACAACAUAAAUCUAGAUUAACCAUUUAAUAAGCAAAGUACUAAAAGUGAACAAGAUAACAAAUAUAAAACAUGUUAGUAUCCAACGUUAAGGUCCAUGUUAAGUUUAUACUAUACUUAUUUUUACACUAUUAGAGUAUCAUUUUCACCUUGACAUAAUUAACUUAGCUAAACAUAAUGAAAGAAAGAAACAUAAAUGAACAAGAUAGGAACAUAAAUGAGAAAGAAGUUAACUAAGUAAAGGAAAGGAAAUGAAGUGUAUAAACUUGAUAUUAAUGAAAGCAAAACAUAAGAAAUACAAAGAGAGAAAGCAAGAGCAUGAUCUUGAUCUGGAAACCAAGAUGCCUCAAUACAUGGUAAGUGCCUCCUUUUAUAGGCUAAAAUUUGGAACUAUUGAUUUGUUGACUAAUUGAUGAGUGGGUGGCCACAUCUUGACUUGGUGACAAUCCUUAUCUUCUUGUCUGAACAAGACAUCAUUGCUAACAUCAUAAUUUUCCCAGAAUCCUCAGGAAUGUUCUAGGAAAUUGUCUCAGCUUUCCAACAACAAAAAAAGAUGAGGUCAUUUGGACUUCUAGAACUCAAGAUAUGGGCUGAACACUAAAUAGUGUCUGAGCUGCAAGACAGCUUCAGACUUCUUCGUUGUUUCUAUAAUUUGGACUUGAAAAAUGCCUUCUUAGAUCUUGGUGUCCAAAUGAAAGUUGUAGGCCUAUGUUUUACCUUUCCAUCCAUAUAAAAUGGACCUAAAUCCGAGAUCUAGAGCUCCAGAUAUGAUCCAAUUACCGAGCAAUGUUCCGGUUUGGAUUGCACCAGCAUCUCUUUUCUAGGUUUGGCCAUCUCUUUGUCCUUUCACUUUCAAUGCUUAAACUAAUCAAUCAAUCCUUUUAUUUAUGUGAUAGUCCUGCAUUUAAGAUGAGCAUUUACUAUAAAUUAAGGUAUCUUAUAGUAUUAAACUUGUUAUUAUAAAACAUGCUUUAGUUGAGUUAUUGAUACUUCAAGUGCAAAAUGAUGAUAUAAAACCUUGAUAAACAUGCACUUUUAAGUACUAAUCAGUCACCUUAUAGACUAGUUUAUGGAAAACCUUGUCACUUGCCUGUGGAAAUUGAAUAUAAAGCUUAUUGGGCUAUUAAAGCUUUCAAUUCAAACCUUGAUGAUGCUAGUCAGCUGCGAAAAUUACAAAUAAAUGAGCUUGAGGAAAUAAGAAAUGAUGCAUAUGACAAUUCAAGAAUUCAUAAAGCAAGAAUCAAAGACUUUCAUGACAAGAAAAUACUGAGAAAAACAUUCAAUGUUGGUCAAAAAGUCUUGCUUUAUAAUUCUCGACUCCAUUUAUUUCCUGGAAAACUAAGAUCAAGAUGGAGCGGUCCUUUCAUUGUGAAACAUGUGUAUCCAUAUGGGGCCUGUGAUAUUGAGAAUCCAAAGAAUGCAAUGUUUUCAAGGUAAAUGGGCAUCGUUUGAAAGUUUAUUUUGACAAUUUUUCAGUUGAAAAUGACUCUAUUGAAUUGAGUGAUCCUGUAUAUAAAGAUUGAUUCUUUUUCUCACAUUGUUUUGUGUUUUGUUUUGGUGUAUCUAUUGUUUUGCUAGUCUCUCUCUCACCCCGGUCAAAUGGCGGAUAACGGUACUCCGUGACAUAAGUCGGUUCUUUCAGUUUCCCAAAUAACUGAUAUCUGUAUAUAUUUGUACAAUUCUGUGCUCUUUCUCCCUUCUUUGAAUCUCGUCUCCAAUUCUCUUUUGAAAAUGGACACCACUCUUGAAAAGUUGAAAAGGUAUUUUCCGCUCUGCCUCCAAAUGCGAUUACAAAAUUUACCGUGCUAGGUGUGCAAGAUUGAGGUUGUUAAUGAAUCAUGGAAUUCCUGAAGAUAUUCGCUGGCUAAUUGAAGCAAAGGUCGAUUAUCAGGUGAGUCCUCAAAUUCUUUCAUUUCACACAUGCCUGGAACAGGUACAAGCACUUUUGCAAAGAAACGUCGUGCAAAACGACUGAAAGUCUGUCACAGAUGUGCCAGAUGGACUUGUAAUGCGACAUGUCGUUCUUUAGGAAUGGUAUCUGUAAACCGUGAAGAUAAGAUACAAUUCAUUAAGGAUGGCCUGAGUAAGGGGUCUUUAGAUAAUCUUUUGUUGACCCUUGAGACGCAUCCUAGUGGAGAUGUGCAUCGUGUAAUUCAUGAUUUAUGGCCACAAUUCCAUAAAGAACAUGAUCGACUUAGUCUUGGGAAUCUGACUAAAAAAGACCCUGUUUGCCAGUUUUUAAGAAAACUGGAUGGGAAGCCUAUCCCCGACCCAUAGAGGGCGUUUAAGCCGUUCUUGGACGUAAAACCAAGGGAAGAUGUGAGCCACAAUCACAACUACCUGUACAUACAUGAUUUGUCAAAAUAAAUAAAUAAAGGAAGAGAGAGUGUGAGACAACAGCUGGCCUACAUAUAGGUGGUAUGAUUGCAUUUUCAAAUUCUCAUCUAUAAAUUCUUCUUUUCCUUCCCUUCAUUUCUACUCAACCCAUACAUUCAUCAAAUAUAGAAGUGUGUAGAAAUGGCAGGUUCCUCAAGUCAUCACAUAAGAAAUAUUUGUGUUUUCGGUGGAUCCAGUCCUGGGAAAGAAAAAGAGUUUUUAGAAUCAGCAAAUCAUCUUGGUCGGGUACUAGCUGAGAGAAAGAUUCAUUUAGUGUAUGGGGGAGGUAGCCUUGGGUUAAUGGGAGGUGUGUCAAUGGCUGCAUUUUGGGAGGCAGUCAAGUUUUGGGGGUUGUCCCCAAAGCUUUAGCAAAUGGGGACAUCAUUGGAAAAACAAUUGGAGAGGAACUACAGGUCCCACAAUGUCUGAUCGACUAAACGCCAUGUUUAACCAUGUUGAUGCUUCAUUGCCUUACCAGGUGGUCUGGGCACAUUGGAAGAGAUCUUUCAUAUUUCCUCUUGGGCCCAACUGCACAUUCACCAUAAACCUAUAGGUUUGUUAAAUGUCAAUGGUUUUUAUGAUAAGUUACUGUCUUUCCUUGAUCAAGCUGUGGAACAGGAAUUUCUAACAUCUUCGGCACGACAAAUCAUAAUCUCUGCUGCUACUGCUGAACAAUUGAUUGACCAACUACAAUCUUUCAUCCCUGUCAUUGAUCCCUGCAUGAGUCGCCUAAAUUGGUCAACUAAGGAAAGCCGUAAAAAGCUUAGAUUAGAUUUGAGCCUUCAUUUGAAACCUUGUGUCUUUUGGUUUUAUUAAUAACAUAUUAUUUUGUUUUGUUACUUAUAUUUGUUUAAGCGUGUUUCAGGUUUGUCAUUGUUCGCUGUUUCAGGUGAUGUCUUCUAUACUCUAUCUUUCUACCUUAGGACAUUGAGGACAAUCUCUCGUUUUGGUUGGGGGGGGAGGGUAGUAGUUAAAAAAACAAAAAACCUAACUUACUAACUGUUUUUGCUAUUAUUAAAACCAUUUGACAAAAUUGUUGUUAGGAUGGCAGAGUAUGGAGUCGGUUUUAUUAACUCUUGAGAUGCAUCUUAGUAAGUAUCCUUAUUAGGAUGGCAGAGUAAGGAGGAAAUUUUAUUGACUCUAGAGACGCAUCUUAGUAAGUAUCAUUACCAAGGUCUAUCAUAAUACUUCUUGAAAUAUUCAGGUUUACAAACUCUCACAUUGUUAUCACUUGAUUCUGCUCAUAUACUCAUUUAACAAGUAUUCUUAAACCUUCAUUUUCACACACACACUUUAACAUAUGAUUGUGGGUUGCACAUUGGAUUAUUACAUUAAUUAUGUUCUUUUGUUGAAGGUAACAACUAAGGGAAAUGGAUAGUAUAUAAAUUGCAAGAAAAAAAAAUAAUACAAAAAAAAUUGAUAAUAUUGAUGAUAAUAAAAACGUAGAUAAGUUUGGUUUCGUAGCCUCCUUAACCUAAGCAAUUAAGCCUGAAAGGGUGUUUUAACACCUAAUACCCUAAAGUCAACUGACUUGGGAGCUAUUGGCCCAAAGCUUGUUACAUGGGUUAUGGAGAAAGGCUUAAGGGAAUCAAACAUUUCACUAUCUACGUAUCAGUAUCUGCAACUCGAGUUGCUAAGCUCGUAGGGUUGUCUCAACACCUAAUGCCCUAAGACCAACUGGUCUGGGAGUCAUUAGCCUAAAACUCGUUACAUGGGUUAAAGAUACAUUGUGUUUUAAGUUGUAUGUGUAUUCAAAAAAAAAAAAAAAUAAUAAUAAUAAUAAUAAUCCUAACCCAAGGAAGUUAACCUUAAACAUUCGAACAUAAUAUUGUUUUCUUCCAACAAAAGCCCCAUCGUCUAUGUUUUCAUACAUUGAGCACAUAAAAAGAAGGUUUAUUAAUAUCUUGUUUAAGAAGUAUGAAGCAGAAAUAUAAAUUUAAUGAGAGUUUGUUUAUCUGGAUAGAUUAAUGGAAGUUGAAUGAUGAAUGCCUUGCUUUAUGGAACUUGCAAAUUGUUUUUUCUAUUUUAACGCUUUGAUUAUUAGGGACUAGUAAUAAGCUGGUUGGGGGGUGAUUAAUACUUAAAAGUGCAUGUUUAUUAAGGUUUUAUAUCAUCAUUUUGCACUUGAAGUAUCAAUAACUCCUUAACUAAAGCAUGUUUUAUAAUAACAAGUGUGAUACUAUAAAAUGCCUUAAUAUAUGGUAAAUAUUCAUCUUGAAUGCAGGCUUAUCACAUAAAUCAAAGGAUUGAUUGAUGAAUUCAACUACUGAAAUUUUGAAGAUAAAGAAGGGUGAAGCUUAGAAAAGAGAUGUUGGUGCAGUCCAAACUGGAACACUAUUUGGUAUUUGGGUCAUAUCUUGAGUUCUAGAUGUCCAAAUGAUCUCAAAGUUUUACACAGAUUUGGUGAGAUAUAAGCCUACAACUUUCAUGUGAACAGAAAAAUCUAAGAAGGCCUUUUUCAUGUCCAAAUUAUAGCAACAAUUGGAGAAGUCUGAAUCUAUCUUGCAGCCCAGACACUGUUCAGUGUUCAGCCCAUAUCUUGAGUUCUAAAAGUCCAAAUGACCUCAACUUUUUUUUCCUGGAAAGCUAAGAGAAUUUCCUAGAACUUUGAUGAUUUCAUAUGGUUCCAGUUCUGAUGUUAGAAAUGACAUUUUAUUCAGACAAGAAGAUAAGGAUUUUCACUAAGUCAAGAUGUGGCCACCCACUCAACAAUUGUUCAUCAAAUCAAUAGUUCCAAAUUUUGGUCUAUAAAAGGAGGCAUUUGCCAUGCAUUUAGGCAUCUUGGUUUCCAGAUCAAGAUCAUGCUCUUGCUUUCUCUCUUUGUAUUGCUUAUGUUUUGCUUUCAUUAAUAUCAAGUUUAUGCACUUCAUUUCCUUUCCUUUACUUAGUUAACUUCUUUCUCAUUUAUGUUCUUAUCUUGUUCAUUUAUGUUUCUUUCUUUCAUUAUGUUUACCUAAGUUAAUUAUGUCAAGGUGAAAAGGGUACACUAAUGGUGUAAGAAUAAGUAUAAUAUAAACUUAACAUGGACCUUAAUGUUGGAUACUAACAUGUUUUAUAUUUGUUAUCUUGUUCACUUUUAAUACUUUGCUUGUUAAAUGGUUAAUCUAUAUUUAUGUUGUAUAACACUUGGUACAACAAAUACUUGGCACUUUCAUAGCCCAUACUAUAUGGUAUAAUCGACACCUGAGCUAUGAAAGGAACUUGAUUUGUUGUUAACAUAAGUUAUAAUCAUGAAUGCCUGACAAAAUUUACAAGUAUUAGCAUUAUUCAAAUAAGAUAACUAAUGUAAUCAUGUUAACAAUUUACAAUUCGAUUGGAACCUCCUUUGUGUGUGGUUUCCAGUUGAGUAAUAAAAAGAGUUUAUAUUAUACUUGUUUGAAGUACCAUUAGUGGAUCCUCUAACCUUGACAAUUAUUUUAUGCUUGUUUAAUCCUUACAUCAAUAUCACAUCCCAAAGCUCUCUUUAUCUUAUUAUUAUUGUUAUUGGUGUUGUUGUUGUUGUUGUUAUUGUUGUUCAUAAUUUAUAUAGUUAACCUCCUUGUGGUUUGACCCCGGUCUUGCCGGGUUAUUUAUUACUUCGACACUCUUGCACUUGGGAGAAGACAUCAAUCUUUUGGUCAUGUCAGUGGUGAUGAAACACCGAUCUAACAAUGUUGAAAAUAAUGCAUUAUGAUCAAUAUGCAUGUAUACUUACCUGAGAAAAAUAGGUCCCCAUUUCUUCAUGAUGUCUUUCUUUUCUCAAAAGUUGGAGUGUUAGCAAUGAACUUCGAUGGCUUUUUGGCUCUUGCUUACUCGAGUCAUCUAUUGUGAUCUUGACCUCUAGGAAGGACUUGUGAUCAUCAUACUUCUUUGUCCUCCACCCUUUAUCUCAAAGGUUGCCGAUUUUGCCCAGCAGUUUCUUAGAAAGGGAAUCGUGGAGCCAGCCUUACCAGAUAUAUAUAUUUUUUUUGCUCCCCAACUUGAUCAUGCCCCCAAGUGUUCAAUUCAGGUUUGGGGAUGAGGCUAUGUGAAGGAAGGUUUGACAAGGAGUUUUUUUCAUGCAAAAUUUUUGGAAUUCCAAAGCUAUUCCAGACACAGAAAUCAGUUUGACAUCGAUUCAAAGCAAACUCAUUAUGAAGAAAUUCAAGUGAUUCCUAUAGAGAGGUUAUUCGAAGUGAUGAAAACUUUUUGUUUUGCUUUUGGUGAAAAAUAUGAAGUGACAUUUGGCUGGUCGAAAUGGUUCAAUAUGAGACUUUCAAAGAACCAGUCUUGAAAGCAUUCAUUUUAUUUGCAUGAAUAAUGAUUUGGUUCACAUGAGAAAGCAUUGCCUACUGAUCCAGAUUGCUUGCCUUUGAUCAGAAAGGACUUAAUUAGGCACGUAAUGUAGGCUGGGGCUCUUGGUUAUGAAGAAAAUGAUAUUUGUAGGCUCAAAAGGUGUUUAAGGGAUUUCAAGACUAAGGAUCACCUGUGCUUGUUUCCUGACCUUUUAUCAUUUGAAUGUCUUUCCAAAACUAUCUAUUGUGCCCCCUAGUGUUGGGCUUGGACUUUUUCUCUUUGUUUUUGUUCUCUUCAUUUGGUUUUGAGCAUCAUCGUAUUGGUUUCUUUUUUUUUCUGCUCAAAAUCAUUGGAUCCUUUGGAUUUUUCUUCAUGCCCCCAAGCUUUGUUUGGGCACCUUUGAUGAUUAAGAAUUUUUGUUGAUGCCCCCUAGUGUUGCUCGGGCACUUUCAAUCAUUAAGGUUUUUUUUUUCUAUAUCAUCGCACUUGCCCCCAAUGUGGGGUGUAAUCCUAGCCAAGGUUAUUCAUCUCAAGAAAAGUAUUAGGCUCAAAAGGGGACUGCAAAUGAUAUAUUUUAGCCUCGUGAACGGAUUAUCAAAAAUGGCCUUUCCUCGUCUCAAACUUAUGCACUUAGGAUCGGUAAGCUUUGCUUUCAUGCGAGUAUGCAACGUAAUUUCUCAUUAUUCAUUCAAAUAAAACUCAACUUUUGGAGUCACAUCAUGAUGUGUGUUUGGUUUUUUUUUUUGUGUUUUGUGUUUUUUUUUUGUUUUGUUUUCUAGGUGUAUGGUUACCUUUCUAAGGAAUCACCUGAAUUUCUGGAACUCAUUUGUUUUUUGGACAAACAUCAAUAUGAUUUCUAUUUUUGUACUAAACUUUGAAUUCCUAAAAAUCCUGAUGUGCGAUCAUGCAUAAUUUUGGAUGAAAGGGGAAACAUACCCAAGGAUUCUUGGUGUAAUGGCUUCAUACUUAACAGUUACGCUCAAUAUGUUCUUUUUAUGAAACAACAAAAAAAUGAAGGUAUGUUAUGAAUACAGGAAAACACAUUAUCUUAUUAACAAGAAAGGCUCAUUUGACAGGGAAAGUUUUUUUUUUUUUAUGAAAUUUUGAGCCAAAUUACCAACUAGAACAGGUUGAAACAAAAAUCAAGAAGUUUUCUAGGCAUGAUCAAACUAAGGUUUUUCUUUUUUCAGAACAACAACAGGCUCCAUUCUGUACUGGCGGUGCAAUUCCCUUUUAGUCCGCCUUCCCACAAAAGAUUUUGUAGAAAUACAGGAUUGUGUUGAGGCUCUUGACUACGUUUGCCCUCAAUUUCUUCGAGCUGAGUCGUUGUUAGGUUUUGAACAAAGAUGAUAGGUCGAUUGAAAGGAAACUUUCCUAGAAUUAUGUUUCAGUAUUUGCUCGAGUAAGCUAGAGGCAAGUCAAACUUGUCUUCAGAAACUCCAACUCUUCUUAAAAAGGGACCUUUCAGCGAACACACUCUUCAUCUUUCGUGCUUUUUGCUCAAAGUCGGGUGUUGUAGACUCGUAGGGGACCUACUUUUCAUCCCGGUGCAUGCAUGGCAAAUGAAUGAACAUGUGAUCUAUAUGAUGAACUCGCCCUUCAAGGGGCGACAAUAUGGUCAUAACUCUUGUAUGAUGGAACAAGAAUUGUGAUUUUUGCCCAAACUCUACAAUGAAAAUUUUCGAAGUGACGGCCAAUGUGUCACCCACAAGUCUUGAGUUCAAGAUGCUUCAAGAAGGGUUUGCUCUAAUGCAAAUAACGAUAACACAUACAACCUAAGGACAAGUUCUAUUUAUUAUGUGAACAUGGGUAGGUUUUCUACCUGGUCUCAAGAGGGUCUCAUAUAUGCCCAGUGAUGUUCUUCAUAAAGACAGUAUGGGGGCGUUGCAAGGAAUAGUUAAGGCACGUAUACCCACCAUUACCAAGCAGGCACUCAGAUAUGAGUUGGGUGUUUCACGCAUCUGAACCCCGACCAAUAGUCUUAGGGCAGAUUGCUAGUUCCCCACCUAUCCUAAAAGCUUGUGUGUGCUUUCAAAAUUAAAACAAUGUGAUGCAUGAGACAAUUCUAUAAAAUGCAUGGAAAAAAAAUAUUAACAAAAAGAUAAAAAUGCAAAAACUUAAACACAUCAAAUACACAAAGCUUAGUCCAAUAAUGUCAGAAACAGUACCUUCCCUAGUGGAGUCGCCAUUCUGUCGCACGUCAGAAAAUCUGUGCGGCAUCGGCUUGGCCAUUUUUUCAUUGUGCAUUGUGCAUUGCUUUGCUUUGAUUCGUUGGAGUCGCCACCUAGUAAUUUAUUAAAGACUACUAGGAAACCGAAUGUACUGGUCUUGUCAGAGAUUCGCGGGUAAGGGACUAGUUGUGGUUAGGGAAGGUAUUAGCACCCCUAACGCACCCUACCUGAGGUAAGUUGCUUCGUGGCUUUGACAUGUUAAAGAAGUUUUAAAAUUUUGUUUUUUCAUCGGAUAUUAGAAAUACAACUUACGUAUAAGUUAAUAAUUCUGGACCGUGAGUCAAUCAAAAUAUUAAAUUCUUCUUUAAUCUUUGCAAUUUUAUCAUAAAUAAUAAAAAUAAUAAAAACAUCCAUAAAACAAAUACCAACACACACAUACACUUUCACUAUAUUUAUUUCUGUUCUUUUCUUUUUUUGGUUACAUCCACAUUUACAACAUAUAAAUAAAAAUUAAUACUAAACAAAAACAUUACAUCAACCAAUUUAAAAUUACAAAACAUCCCCUAAAACAUCCUAGGGAUUCUGGAACAAUGCACGGGAAUAGUGGUGCGCGUCUUCCCACGCGCCCCGGCCACUAGCGGCGUGUGGGUUCACGCGCCGCCGCGAACAAGGCCGGAAAACGGGUGGAUCUGGCUCAGCUUCCUUUCCUUUUCCCUUCUCUGCUGGUGGUGACACCCACCGUCACCUGCAAACGAAGAAAAGAACACAGGCAGUCGAUUUUAUAUUUUUUGUUUUUGUUUUGCAGAUCUGCUUCUCUGGUUUGGUUUUUUUUCUGCAGCCAGUGUCUUUUCGUAUCCCCUUGUUCUCCGUUUCAAAUGGCCGGCAGUGUCACCAUAGGGCUUGUCGCACCUCAAAAAAAAUCCCGCGCGGCGUUCGAUGGCGAUUUUUUCGUUUGUUGUUGCUUGAUUUGGUUCUUUGGAGUCGCCACCUAGUAUUUUGGUCACUAGGAACCCUAACUGGUCUUUCAGAGAUUCUAAGGCAAGGGACUGGUUGCGUAAAGGGAAGGUAUUAGCACCCCUAGUACGCCCUACCAAAGGUAAGCUGUUUGGUGUUUGGUUUUCUCUAUAAUUGCUAUGGUGUUGGUGUUUUCUAAUCCCAUCAAUUUUCCCAAGUUUGAUUCAAAUAAAAUUUGUUUAGAUAGAAAUCCAAGGAGAUUUCAUGUGUUUUGAAAGCUCAUUUUUCCCUUAGUAUUUCAAGAGUUUGCAACUCGUAAAUCGCAAGGAGGGACAAAAAAUUUAGAAAUCUAAGGAAAUUCAAAGCGCUUUAAAAGCCUCAUUUUGCCUUAGUAUUUCAUACUUUCACGGCUUGUAAACCGUGGAGUCAAAAAUUUGAAAUUUUGAAAUGUCCUCGAUUAUAAUCAAGGCUUCUUUCAAGGAUGUGUGCGGAUUUAUUACUCCCAAUAAUAUUUUGGAUAUUCGUCCUUUACGGAUUUCUUUAUCCAAACAUUAGCGGUGAAUAAUAGAUGAAUUCCCCCUACCCAAAAUAAGAUUUUUAUAGUUUUUAGAAUACUGGCCAAUACCCUUUGGAGUUUUACAAACAUGUUGUAAAAUCCAGAAAUGCAAGAAAAUAAUUUGUGUUUAAGAAAUCUAUGCGAAAACACAUUUUCAAAACUUCCAAUAUUUUUUUUUAUAUAAAAAGAACAUUCAAAACAUGUUAGAGUAUUGGACGUAUGCAUGAAAACAAAAACAUUUUUUUUAAUAAAUAUUUUUUUGUUGACGAAAACCGGGUAUUUUAAUACCGGAUUUGUAUCUUUGUAGUAUAAAAAUACAAACCGAUAUUAAUCAAAAUACGGUAAUAAAAUUGCAGAAAAAUCACAAAUUCUUUAAAAUAAUUUUUUAAGAAUUUUUAUUUUUUUAAUAAACAAUUUUUAGGUUUGGCCUCGUUUGGCCCAUAUGGCUGGGCUAGACCUAGCAGGCCUAACCGGGUCACUGGCCUGAGCCAGUGUCCUGGGUGGAAGCUCACGUGUGCAUGCUUAGUACCAUAUACAAAUGGUACUGUUUAAGUGAAUUAUAAUUCGCUAUGAACAGUCAAAAUGCAAAAGGAAACCACGCAUAGUAACAUGCAAAAGAAAACCACGCAUAGUAAUAUAUGGUACUGUUCAAGUGAAUUAUAAUUCACUUGAACAGUAACAUUUGCACUUCACUGUUCAACUGAAUUAUAAUUCACUUGCACAGUGAAAAUGCUAAAGGAAAUCACAUGCACAGAGAUGCAAAACGCUUACCUGGACGUGGAACCGAAAGGAACGAAGACGAUGUCGAACACUCACAGUGAUGCUGGUGGCGGUGGAGAGGAAGCCGACGAGGGCUCACGGUGGUGCUGACUGUGGUAGUGGCUGGUUUGGCAGUGGCGUUGCUGUGGCUCCUCUUCCUCUUCCUUACUGUUUUGGCGCUGCUUCUUCUCUUUAUUUCCUUUGCUCCCUCUGUCAACAAGGUUCUUCUCUUUCUUCAACAGCUUCGCGGAGAUGCUGGUGGUGGCAGCCUGGGAAGUGGCCUGGAUGGUGGCCAGCCCUUCUUCCUCUUCUUCUGUGCGUUUUUCUCUUCAGCUCUGUUCUCCUCUGUUUUCGUUUCUUCCUUCCGCUUUUCACAGGGCUGUUGUUGACUGAGAUGGCAAUGGCAGCUGGUGGUUGGCCUUCCUCUUCUCUGCUGCUUCUGCGUUAUUUCUUCUGUUUGUCUAGUCACCUUGCUUCUCUGCUUCUUCUUCCAAGCAGCGGUUCUAAGAGCAAGGUGGGCGGUGGCAGUAUUAUUUCAAAUGGUGGGAAUAGAGAGAAAGAGAGAGGUUAUAGUUCUUCUCUUCCCCUCUGUUUUCCUCCUCUCUUUUGUUCCCGGUGUUCUCCCUCUCUCGUCUCUCGUUCCAAAAAAGCCCCCCCUCCUGUUGCUGGUGUCAAGAGCAGUAUUUAUAGGCUAGAAGGGAGCGGGCUGUUGAUGCGCGUGGGGAGCAGGGGAGCGGCCAGUGUCUUCUGUCGGUGGCCCAACGGCGUGGGGCCUCGGUUGGUUGGUGGGCUAGAGGGACCGGCAAAAAUUAAAAAAAAACUUCUUUUUCCUUCUUCCCCGCUGCAUGUUCGGGGGGAAGAAGAAAGGGGAAUAGUGCCGUUCAAAACGGCAUCGUUCGGCCCUUCUCUCUCUUUGAGUUUUUUUUUAAAUGUAUGAAACGGCGCCGUUUUGGAGAAAACGCGUCGUUUCAUUUAAAUGUGGCACCAGAACGCGCCAAAUUUCAAAUCAGCCCUUAAUCAUCUUUUUUCCUUUCAAUUGCAUCCCUGCCAAUUUCUGUCCCCGUCCCUAUAGUUGGCCACGUUUUCCACCUUGGUCCUUGGCCUCUAAUUUAUGCAAUUUAGCCCUCAAUUGAUCAAAAAACUUCCAAUUUCUUCAAUUAGGCCCCUGGAUCAAUUCAAUACAGCCCCCCUAUUUACGCGCCUUUUCCAAAUUGGUCCCUGGUUUCGGAUUUUCUCAAUUAAGCCCCUAAUUGGCCAUUAAACUUCAAUAUUUAUGCAAUUAAGCCCCUGAUUUGACCCAAUAAAAUCCUAAAAAAUAUAUUUUGGCCCUAGAACUUAAAUUUCUUCUAAUUAAAGCCCAAAUUGACUUAAAAAUCAAUUUUCCUCGAAAUCAAAUCCUCUAUAAAUCCAAUUAAAAAUCCAAUUAAGUCUAUAAACAUCCAAAUUUGGGCUUUUCUCCUCAAAAUUUAAAUUUUCCUUCUAAAUAGGGCCCUCAUCCUUCAAGAAUAUACUGUCAAAAAUCCAAUCUUUGUAUUUUUAUACUCCUUGACCAAUUUUCUGACCAUCUUCUGAGUGCUUCUGCCUUCCGUUAUUUUUCUAACCUCCUUUGGCUAUUUAUUUUAUUUAUUUUUGUGGGGACUCGAAAAUGGGUUACAACAGGGCUGCUGGCCUUUGGGUUUUGUCUGAUCUGCAACUAUCGGUGGCCGGUGAAUCUGUGGACGGUGCUGCUAUGGCUGACAGAAGAAAGCGGACCAAUUUGGGAUCUGUGGGUGCCGCUGUCGGGCUGCUAUCGGGCGGUUGAAGGGGAGAAGGCCGGGUCGGCUGAGAGAGAUACGAACUCAUGGGGGAGAUGGAGGCAGGUUCAGGAGCUGCUAUGGGUGAAGAAGAGUUAGUGUGGGUUUGUGAGGGAGAGGGGGCUGUGAGCCGGGAAGAUUUGGUGCGGUGAGGGGCUGAGAAUUUGUGUAUCUGGUAAGGAGGACCGACUGAGAGGAGAAUGAGGUGACUGGUCUCUGGUAAUUUGUGUUCUUUUUUUGUAUUUUCCUGAUGUUUCAAAAUUGCCUCCAUUUUGUGUGAGUUGAAAACCAGUAUUUAUAGGCAAAAAUAUUGCUAGGUUUUCAAACUUGGUCCCUCAACUUCUUUCUUUUUGUAAAUUUGAUUUUUCUUGUAUUUUUUGAAAACGAGCAAUAUCAACGUCAACUCGAUGAGGAAAAUCAAUGAUUUAAAACAUAACACGUGAAAAGUCGAACGCGUUCGAACGACCCUUAAAAAUUUUAAUUCUUUUUAGACAACGCUAAAAAUGCUAAAAAUGACACAAAUAUAUUAAAAAGGUAUUUUUUUGGAUUUUCGAUGUUUUUCUUUAUUUUUGGAUUUUUCUGAAAAUUUAUCAAAACAUAGGUCAAAAAUUGGGUAGCAACAAGCAUCAUGCAAGUAAUUUCAAUAUUGAUUAAUAAGAAUAUCCUUGUUGAUUUAAAGGACUAUUUUCAUCAUUCAUAUCGAAAAUAAUUAUGUUUUGCACAUAAUAUUUAACAAAAAUGAUUGAAGGAAUGAUAUAUUAUUGAAUAUGAGCAAAUUUAAGGUUACAAUCUAUUAGUAUUCUUACAACGGAAGGAUUACCACUCAAACUUUACAAAGGGACGAACGACAUCCUUUGCGUUAGGAUGCUCCCACUCCACUACUGUCUCCCACAAUUCUUUUGGAUACACUAUGAUUUCUUUAAGAGAAGGGGAAGGAGAUGGCUGGCCAUUUUCAAGCAACGGAAGACAAAUUGGCAUCCUCUUCGGCUUCUAACAACGGAUUACAGUAAUUUCUUUAAGAGAAUUGCAAAUCAGUUUUGCACUGCAAAUGUGUAACAACCCUAAUUUUUUUAUUAGUUUAUUCGUUAAUCUCCCCCCUAUAAAGGGUAGAUGAAGCAAACUUUUUAUUUUUUUUUUACUCGCCGAAAUGUCUAACGAAAUUUCAGAAGGGUCCCCUCUAUACCGGGAGAUCCCAAGUUAUCGACAAUGUACCUGCACACAUUUUGAAUCACAUCACAUCCAUGUUUAGUACAAUCAACUGCAUAACUCAUUCUAGAUUAUGCUCAGGACCAUAUUCGUUCCCAAACUCCAUCUUACAUCACACAUAAGUUAAUAAUUAAAAGAGCCAAUUUCAGCAUGAAAUUUCAUAUAUAUAUAUAUAUAUAUAUAUAUAUAUAUAUAUAUAUAUAUAUAUACACAACACAGUUUAAUAUUCUAACAUAGUCUAGUACAUUCUAAUAUCCCAAGCAUAGGUUGAUACAUUUAAUAUUUCAGAAACAAAAUAUUACGAAUAGAAUAUUCCAUAUAGGUUACAUGUUUACUACAUGACAAAAUUAUACCACAAAUCCCUAAGUUCCUAACUUAUACAAAAAAGGAUCAAAGAACUUUAAAUCUAUUCCUGACGUGAAUGGGAGGGACCUGCAAAAAUAUAAAUUUUUCAUAUAAUUAAAAACAAAUGAUUAAAAUACAAGCAAUUUACAGAAUAAAAUUAAACAGCAUAUAUAUCUACUUAAAUCAUAUGAGAUUCUAAAUACAACCACAAACCUCUUUUAAUGGUUAUAUAAGAAUUCUUUAUUCUUCUUUCUUUCUUUUUUUUCUGUUGACUACUUCUCCCCCCCCCCUCCUCAUCAGAAAGACUAUUGCCGACUCCAAUGACCUCCAUUAGUGUCUUUAGUUGCCCGUCCAGGAACAACUAAUUAGUUUCAUGAAAAUAUGAGAUUCUAAACGUUUGUGUCAUUAACUAUUUUUAAAACUAAAAUAGUUAAUCAUUGUUUCAUAUUACCUUGGGUGAUUCUCAGGUAUGCCGAUGUCAAGAUUCUUGACAUCAUUAGCUUUCACCUCAGAAAGCUAAUCAAGUAUAUAAAUUUUGCCGAUAUCGACGUCACCCGCCGAUAUCAUUAACUAUUCUGAAACCGAAUAGUUAAUCAAGUUUGUAAAUUUUGCCGAUAUCGACAUCACGUGCCGAUAUCAUUAACUAUUCUGAAACUGAAUAGUUAAUCAAGUUUAUAAAUUUUGCCGAUAUCGACGUCACCCACCGAUAUCAUUAACUAUUCUGAAACCGAAUAGUUAAUCAAGUUUAUAUUUCUCCUCUCAUGUACCAGUAAUGCCGAUGUUAUCCAGCUUGGUUAACAUCAUUAGCCUCCCAUAUCAAGGACAAACAAAUCAAAUUCGAGAAACAAUCUUUACCAAAAUUCGUUGUUACGAUCUAUUUCCUCCAAAAGAACCCAUAAAUUAAAUCUAGUCCUCCGUUUCAUUUUAUUUCAUUUUUUUUCCUCGUCAAUAAGCAUCAAAUUUUUAUAGUUCAAAAGUUAGUUAAAAUGAUUAUUAACUAGAGGAGAUAUAGAUACCAAGUACCUACUUGUUGUGGACGCUCGACUUGCGUUCCCUUGUGGUUGAUGUACUCCUCCUGCGGUUCCUCCUGAAACCAAAAACACCCAUCAUUAUUCCAUAUUAGUCCACAUAUCACACGCAAUAGCAACAUUGGAAAUAAUAUUGAUUUCUCUUUUACCAAAUCUUUUCUUUCUCACUUACAUUUCCUCAUUAUUAUCCUUUAACUUUUCAGCUCAUUAGUAGUCCAAGUGGAUAUCAUAAAUUCAAUUUUGAUCACAGUUUAUUCUUUUUGAAGAUCAAGACACACUUUAUGAAGGGCAAGAAAACAAAUUCUACCCUUAAUAUGGCUAAAUUUUGCCAUUUCAUCAACUUGGCCGAAUCUGCCAAUAGGGGUGGCAGCUUGACCUCUCCUCAAUUUUUUAUUUGUAUCUGGAGUUCUAGAACUCCAAAUUAGGCGGGGUCAGAUUCGUUGGAAAGCUAACAUACAACUUCUAUGAGGGGACCCUCCCUGAAUUCUGUAGUUUUCAGGUGCAAAAUCCCCCCAGGAAACAGGGCAACGAACCUGCCCUGUUUUGUUAAUGGAGAAAGUAUCUCCAAUUCAUCUUAAAUCCCUGCUUCCUCAUCAGUCACAGCCAUGCCUUCCUUUUAUUCAUGGCAUUCCCGUCUCAUUUUAUGUCCUCUUAAGGUCACUUGUACCAAAUUAAUUAAUUAAGCACAUCAUAAGUUCUCAUUCCCUCUCUACAGUAUCCAGCAGAGAACGUGGCCAAGGGAACCAAGAGUUCCCUUCCUCUCUUUUAUGCACUCAUUUCUUCUUUUUCUUUAAGGCACUUAGAUUAUUCUAAUCCAUUUAACCUCACUCAUUUCUACAUUUUCCCAAUAUUUUAUGUUAAAGAACCCUAAUUCCCAAUUCAAGAAAGGCAUAAACUUCUAAUCAAAUUGAAGUUGAUUUCAUAGAAAUUGGAAUUGCAACUCCUUACUUGGAUGGAAAUCUAAACUUUACUUCACAAAUUUUAGAAGAAUCUUAGCCUUCUUCUCCUUGUAUGUAGUCAACCACUCUUCCCCCUCUUUUCUUCACCAAUUCUUCACUUUUCUUCUUGUUAAUUCUUCCACCCGAUUGUGUUCCUCCACUUAAUAAUUCCAAGGCUUAUUUGGGUUUACUAAUUUUAGGUGUUUACUCCAAGUUUUGAUGAAAGAAAAAUCUGAAAUUCUCCCCUCCUCCUUAUUCUUAUUAUCAUCCGGCCAUGGAUGAGAGAAGGGAUGGGUAUUUAUAGUCCCAUCUCUUCUUAAUUCCAUUUUGGCCCCAUCUUUCACCCCUUUUUUUAUUUCUUUAUUUUGUAUUUUUUUUUUUUUGCUUUAUUUUAUAUUAUAACAUUUUGAAUUAUUAUAAACCUCUCCCUCUUUAUAUACUUUAUUCUCGGGCUUCAUAAAAUGCUUUUCAAUUCUGGUAAACCAAACUAUUCCAAAGUUCUUAACUUUGGGAGAAUGAAUUCCGUGAUGGAAUUGGAGAUGCUGCUUUCUACAUCUGUGUUCCUAUUAUCUCCUCCAUUUUCUCACAAUCACUAACAAUAAUCACUUCCAGGUUUAUGAAGUUUGGCAGCAACACAAGUGGGAACAACUUCUUCAUACUGUUACAUCCACCACAAUAAAGCUUUUUAAGACCAGAAAACAUACCAUUAUAUGAUGGCAAUGGUGGUGGAGCAGAGCAGAACCAAGAAGAUGAAACCCUGCUCUCCAUGCUAUUGCAAUCCCAAAUGUUGAUUUCCUCCAGUUCAGUUGCAUUCUCUAAUGACAAAACAUCGCAUAAACUUCUUGCAUCGAUGCAUCCACAAACCAGUCCUUGAAUGCCAUUUAAGAACUUGACCUGAAAAUCUCUAUCUUUGUUGAUAAUCAAACUACCCAACCCAACUGUUUUACUUGGAAAAUCAUUAAAGUCUCCCCAAAAAUCUUUAUCCACCAUUCCUACAAAAAAUUUGUAUGCGCUUAAUGAUUGGAUCCCAUCCCGAGAUCUGAGAUACUCCAUGAAGUCAAAGAGACGUUUGAAAUGGCAUUCCAAAGUUUCCAAAUUUCUCAAGGAUCCUACUUCCUUGAGAAAUAGAGUGGAUAGAUUUGGACACAUUGGUGAAUGGCUGGAAGAAAUUUCUACGAUCUCGUUUUGCAUUAGUGAAACUCUCGUCAGAUUCUCAGUCCACUCCUCUGCAUCUGGCAACUUUUUUAAUUGUGCACCAGCUUUAACCAUGCCUGUAGAGUUCUCUAGCAGUAUUUGGAUGACCAUGUCCCUAAUCAAGUCAUGCAUCUUGACACAUCUACUAUCAUCUUCCAUGGAGGUAGCACCUUCCAAUAAGCAGACAUUUUCAAGCCUAUUAAGCAUCGUGUGGCCCUCACCAAAUGUAUCUCCCCUGCUCCUCUUUCCUUUAAUUAUUCCCUCAUCGAUCAAAUAACCUAUCAACUCCUCCCUUUCAAUCAUAUCAUCUUCAAGAAAUAAUGCACAGUACAAGAGACAUUGUUGAAGUGCUAAAUCACCUAACCGAUCAUAACUAAACCUCAAUAACUUGAAUACUUCUGUGUCCCUAAAUUCUAUUUCUUUCAAUUUAUUCAAUGUAUUCCUCCACUGAUGGAGGUCAUCCACUCCCCUCAAGCUUCUUGCCACUGUAAUAAUUCCCAAUAGCAAACCAGCACAUUCCCUAGCAAUAGCUUUAGCAAUUCCUUCCACUUCUGAAACUGUCAUGUCAUGUCCAAGAUUCUCCUUCAACAAAGUCCAAGCUUCUCCCUCAAAAAGUCGCUUCACUUGGAUUUUGUGAUUGCAAGCAAUUCCAUGACAAACUGUUUCUGAUCGAGUUGUCAAAAUCAGCUUGCAUCCUUUCAAUGAGACAGGAAUUCCCACUUCGUGUAGCUCAAAAUUAUUCCACAAAUCAUCUAAAAUGAGAAUCCAUUUUUGUUUCUUCCUUAGUUCUUCUGACAAUUUGGCAGGUCUGAGCUGAACAUCAUCUUCGCUUGAAAGGUCUCGAUGAAGAUGUUUAGCAAUAAGAUUCUGCAAUCUAUUAAUGCUGAAAUCUUGAGACAGAGUCACCCACCAAACAUGAUCACAAAUAUCUGGUCUUUGUAGAAGCUCAUUAUGGAUAUGUUGCAGUAUUGUUGUUUUACAAACUCCCCCCAUCCCAUAAAUGCCAAUGGUUGGGACUUCAUCAUCCAUUAACAAAGAACAUAUCACCUUCUUAUUCUCUUCAAAUGCUUGACCCACAUUUAUAGAGCUAGUAGGUAAUGGAACUCCUCUAGUCUUGUUGUUUUUCAGACUUUCAGAAGAUCUAGUAGGUAAUUGAUCUUCCAUUUCUGCCCUUCCCCUUGCAGUAACUCCUACUAUUGUUGUAAUUCCACAGUCAUUAACAUUGACUGCAGUUGCUGUGAUUUUUUGUCUUUUGUUGCCACCACACAGAGCUAGAAAGGCUGCUUCUUGAACUUCUUUAGCCACCCCACGACAAAUGGCAACACCACGCCUUUCUU
rnacentral:lncRNA from 1 species